rnacentral:lncRNA from 1 species
AUACUAAAGGUAGAUUCAGCAUCAUGUAGAAGUUGAGGAAGUCGACUCGUCGGCACUGAUUCCAAGGAAUAACGCUUAUUCUCAAUAAGGUAGGAACUUGCAUAAGUAGUAACUCUCACUAAAAAACCCAAAGGCUAUGGCAAAAACUCGAGUAGGGACAAAAUCCAUAGUCUAAGGAAAAAUGUAUGAGAAAUGCAAAGUUAAAAGAAACGUUUACAGGACGUCAUCAGGGAUAUGACCAGCCCAAGGUGGGUCCUCAUUAAAACCUAGUUAGGUAGCAAAAACCCAUUGGAAAAAAUGCUCCUAAUCGUAGGGAAAAAGAGUACAUUAAGAUCAAGCAAGUAUCUACAUGAUACUCCCCCUGAGUUUGACAUAAUUCCAAAGAGAAAUAGCAAAGUUACAACUUAGAAAGUUUACGCAUACCAAUUCCAUGAACAAGCUUCUGAAACGUCGCAUUCGGCAGUGAUUUGGUGAAGAGGUCGGCCAGAUUAUCUUGCGAACGGAUUUGCGUGACUUCAAUCUUCUGAUGCUCUUGUUGUUAAUGUGUAAAGAAAAACUUCUGCACAAUGUGCUUGGUGUUGUCUCCUUUGAUGUAACCCUUAUUGAGCUGUUCGAUGCAACCUGCGUUGUCCUAAAAAAUUGUCGUCGGGGCAUUAACGGCGGGAUGAAGAUCGCAAGAGCUUCAAAUAUGGCCCACUACUGCUCUUAACCAAAAGCAUUCUUGAGUUGCUUCAUGUAAGGCGAGAAUUUCAGCAUGGUUAGACGAAGUGGCAACUAAGGACUGUUUAGUUGACUACCAAGAGAUUGCAGUGCCUUCAACGGUAAAGACAUAACCCGUUUGAGAACGCGCCUUGUGCUGAUCGGAUAAGUAUCUAGCGUCGGCAUAACCAAUAAGGUGAGAAUCAACCCGAUGAGCAUAGGGUGCGGCAUCACUUGAGGAUUCGUAGGGAUAGAACAAGCCCAAAUCCGUAGUACCCUUAAGGUAAUAGAAGAUGUCUUUCACGCCAGUCUAAUGUCUGUGUGUUGGUGCAUUGCUGUAUCUUGCCAAAAGAUUAACAGCGAAGGUGUCGGGUCUAGUGCAUUGAGCUAAGUACAAUAAAGUGCCUAUCACACUUAGAUAAGGAACUUCAGGCUCCAAAAUCUCUUCAUCAUCCUCUUUUGGACGGAAGGGAUCUCGUUUUACAUCUAGUGUACGAACGACCAUAGGAGUACUGGAAGACUUCGCUUUAUCUUCAUUCAAACGGCACAACUUUUUGGGUGUAGUUCGAUUGAUGUACUAGGAUUCCAUCCGAACAAUGCUCUAUAUCGAGACUGAGACAGUAUUGAGUCUUACCUAGAACUUUCAUCUCAAAUUCUGACUUCAGGUGCGAAGCAGUUCUCGUGAGCUCUUCACGAGUUCCGAUGAGAUUCAUGUCAUUGACAUAUACUGCAACAAUCGUAAAUCCGGAAUGUGACUUUUUAAUGAACACACAAGGGCAUAGUUCGUUGUUCACAUAUCCCUGACUAGUCAAAUACUCACUUAGACAGUUAUACCACAUUAUUCCAGAUAGUUUCAAAUCGUAGAGUGAACGCCUCAACCAAAUUGAGAGCGUGUUCUGAGGUUUGGAAAUAUUUGAACCAGUCAAUGUAAGUCAUUCGGGAACUUUCAUAUAAAUUUCCGUAUCAAGAUCCCCAUAGAGAUACGUGGUUACUACGUCCAUCAGCUGCAUAUCCAGUUUUUCAGAAACUACCAGACUGAUAAGGUAGCGAAAAGUAAUCACAUCCAUAACGAGUGAGUAAGUUUCAUCAUAGUCAAUCCCGGGACGUUGCGAGAAACCUUGUGCUACAAGACAAGUUUUGUAACGCACAAUCUCGUUUUUCUCAUUAUGCUUCCGAACGAAAACCCACUUGUAGCCAAUGGGCUUCAUAUGUGGAGGAGUAGGAACUACAGGUCCAAACACCUUACGUUUCGCAAGUGAAUCGAGUUCGACUUGGAUUGCUUGUUUCCAAUUUGACCAAUCAACUAUACGUUGACAUUUAUCAACGGAACACGGUUCAAUGUCCUUACUUAAUAUGAUCUCAGUAGUUACUGUAAAUGCUAAUGCAUCAUCGAUAAUCAUCUCAUUUCUACGCUACAUCAUCUAAGCUAGUAUAAGAGACCAAAAUCUCAUGAUUCUCAGGAGGAGGAUUCGUCUCUUCAAGAACGCUUCCGUAAUCUAGAAUUUCCUCAUGAGUUGGGUAGAAUGAGUAAGCGAUAUUCAGAUUCACGGUAGGCUCUUCAGGACCUUAUGCCGUGGUUUUCCUCUUCCAGGGGUGUGAAUCCUUUGAACCAAGGGGUCUGCCACGUUUUUGUGUAGGGGCAGAUGAUUGGCUAGCCGCUAAUGUACGUGGAUCACCAGAAUUGACAUCCCGGGCUUCCAGAAGGGCAGUCCGUCGUACAUUUGGUACAUCCAUCUUUGCAGGCGUAUUCGCAGCUGGAAUAUGUGAUCUUGUCACGCGCGCUAGAUUGGUGAAAGCAUCUGGCAUGCUCUAAGCUAUGCUCUGGAGAUCUAAUAUGUGCUGCACUUCAGCUUCGAACUGAGGAGUGCGGGGAUCUAAAUGAGACAAAGUGGAAGUCAUCCACAAUAAUUUGUGUCGUUCAUUAGGAACAUUGAUGUUCUUAUCUCUCCAUAACGGCGGGAAGACUGUCUCAUAGAAGUGACAAUCAGCAAAACGAGCGGUAAACAGAUCGUCUGUCAAAGGUUCUAAGUAACGAAUAAUUGAAAGAGAAUCAUAUCCGACAUAGAUUCCCAUCCUUCGCUGAAGCCUUAUUUUUGUACGUAAGGGCGGCGAGAUCAGCACAUAUACCGCACAACAAAAAACGCACAGAUGCGAUAUAUCGGGUUCGCAUCCAGUGACCAACUGAAGGGCACUAAAUGGUUGUGUCGCAAUAAGCCUUAGGCGGACUAACUUUGCUGCGUGCAAUAUUGCAUGGUCCCAAGCAGCGAUCGGGAACUUGGUACGUAUGACCAAUGAUCGAGCAAUCAUUUGUAAGCAUUUAACGAAAGCCUCUGCCAGGCCGUUCUUGGUGUGAACAUGGGGUACAUGAUGUUCAUCUUCAAUCCCAACUGACAUGCAAUAGUCAACAAAAGUUUUAGAUGUGAAUUCUCCAACAUUAUCCAAUCGAAUAGAUUUGAUCGGAUAAUCAGAGUGGUGAGCCCUGAGCUUGAUAACCUGAGCCAACAGUUUGGAGAAUGCAACGUUCCUUAUGGAAAACAAGCACACAUGUGCCCAACGUGUGGAAGCGUCAACCAAAAACAUAAAAUAUCUAAAUGGUCCGCAGGGAAGUUGAAUCGGUCCACAAAUGUCCCUCUGAAUCCGUUGUAGAAAAAAUGGGAGGAUUUGAACGAAUCUUGUCAUAAGAAGGCUUAGUAAUAAGCUUUCCCAUAGAACAUGUUUGACAUGCGAUUUCAUGGAUCAAACCUAAGCUUCGGGUUAGUGGAUGCCCGUGUAAAGAUUUGAGGAUACGGCACAUCGCUAUUCGUCCUGGAUGUCCCAAACGAUCAUGCCAAAGCGUAAUUUCGUGCACGGUCCCUGUGGUAGGGCCGGCCACAUAGUGGCAUUCUAUGGGGCGUAUGGUCGUAGUAUAUAGACCACUCGGGAUACGCUCUAUCUUCUUGAGAAUACGCUUCUGGCCAUAUUUGUAGGAAGUUAUGCACAUAAAUUCAACUCCGUUUUCUACGUGGUAAUUGUUAUCUUUAAUGUCCUUGAAACUGAGUAACGUUCUUCUGGAACGUGGAGAAUAGAGUGCCUCAGCAAUGGUCAAGAUUGUACCAUUAAACAACAUUAUACGUGCCUUACCGUAUCCUUCUAUCAGGUUGGAUGGGCUUGAGAGGGUUGUCAGAGAUGCAUUCUUAGGUAUGAAGUUAGUGAAAUAGAUGCGUUCACGCAAAACAGUGUGCGUGGUUGCAUUAUCUGCCAGACAACUAACUUUCCCACUAGUCAUACCUAGAAUGAAAAAUUAAUUUGAAUCGGUCACAUGCAUAAAAGUUUAUAAAAACAAAUAUCAAUUCAAAAAUAAUUUCAUUUAUUCAAGGAUUAAAACUUAAUAUCCAAAACAAAUCGCCAACGAAUAAUCCAAAAACAUAAAGGAAAAUUGUUCAAAAUCAACAAAAAACAAGGGGGGGUUCGGCCACUAGGUAGAAUUCGGCCCCAAUGGUCUUAUUUUAACUAAAAAUAAGUCUAUGUCUAAGAUUCUAAUCUUCCAUAGGGGUGGUAUCCUCCUGAAAGUCAGAAACCUCCAUUUUUGUAGUCUCCAGUUCGUCCACUUGCAUGAAGUUUGAUUCAAAGCUUAAAUUUUUAUUGAAAAAUUAAACCUUAAAAUUUUUUGACAAAUAUUUCGUCAGGCAAGAUUUAUAAUUUAAAAAAAAAAUCUGAAAUUUAAAAGAUAAAUUUUAUUUAAAUCCAUAUAACUUCUUUUUACACCCAACUUAAAUUUUAAAUGUUAAUUGUCAUUUUUAUCCUAUUGCAUAAUUACUAUUAAGUACAAAAUAAAAUUAAUAAUAAAACUCAAAUUUAUCAAUAAACUCACACACUAUAAUUAAACUCUACCAUCACUCUGUGUUUAUCCUACAUUUAUUCCGGCUAAAACCUAAUAGCUCUUAUAGAGAAAAACAAGUUUUUUUAUUGGUGGAUGGUGAUUUUGAACUUUUGAAUCCUCCAUGACUCGAUUUAUGAAUUAUUCAAGACAAAUAAUUAUUUCUUUCAAUUAAUUUACAUCCAAACAUGACAUAACAUGCUAAUGAACCCUAAAAGGGGCUCAUAUUUUAGCACAUUAGAAGGUGAAAUAUCAACCAAGGCAUCUUAGGUAAAGCAUGAUAAGCUGAAAGUGAUUUUUGCAGGUGUGAACGUCACAUCCCGGUCACAACUCCGUCGUAGCACGAUAUUGUCCACUUUGGGCCCCGUUCACUCCCUCACGGUUUUGUUUCUGAGAACUCACACGAGAACUUCCCGAUGUCACCCAUCUUGGGAAUGCUCUCUCUCGAACUCGCUUAACUUCGGAGUUCCAAUGGAAUCCAAAGUCAGUGAGUUCCCAAAAGGCCUCGUGCUAUAAGAGGUGGGCAUGUAUGUAUAAAGCACAUCACCCACUCUUCGUUGGUCGAUGUGAGAUGUUACAAUCCACCCCACUUAAAGGGAACUCGGCGUCCUUGCCGACACAUCCGCACCGAACGGUAGAGUGGCUCUGAUACCAUUCUGUCACAUCCCAGUCUCGGCUCCACCGUAGCACAAUAUUGUCCUCUUUGGGGCCCGGCAACGCCCUCACGGUUUUGUUUCUGGGAACUCACACGAGAACUUCCCAGUGGGUCACCCAUCCUAGGAAUGCUCUCGCCCGAACUCACUUAACUUCGGAGUUCUAAUGGAAUUCGAAACCAGUGAGUUCCCAAAAGGCCUCGUGCUAUAAGAGGUGGGCAUGUACAUAUAAGGCACAUCACCCCCUCUCCGUUGGUCUAUGUGGAAUGUUACACUGAAUAACUAUAAGAAUAUGGGAAAUCAGAAAAAGAUGAACACGCAAAAAUUUAUAAAGUUGGUAGAGAUAUUUAUGAACAAGACAAAUGGGUGUAAAGAUAAAUUUACAUAUUGAAUUGAGUUUGUGAGGUAUUUAAGGUAGUAAAUUUGGGUUUAAAGAGAUAUUGAUAGUUUAGUUAAAAACCAAAUGGGUGUAAAGAGUAAGUUGGGUGUCGAAAGAGGUUACAUGAGUUUAAAUAAAAUUUCCCAAAUCUUAACCCAACGAAUGAUUUCGUGGUAAAAUUUAAUUAAAAAUAACGAUUUAUUUAAUAUUAAAAAAAAUCAAAGGUAUAUUUAAACUUAAUAAACUAAAUCCUAUAAUAUUAAAAUCAUAAUAUUAAACAAAUUUAUUUCAUUAACAAAAACAUAAUGUUUGCACAAUUAUAUUGUAAAUUAAAAAAUAAAUUUAUUCUGAAUGGAAAAUUUGUUCAGUCGUCCAUUAACCCGAAAGACAUCAAUUUUCAAAAUUUAUAAAUCCUGAAAAUUACCACUGAGCCAUUGCCAUUCGUCCAUCCUAUGCUCAAAUUCAAGAGACGAAUGGGUAAGAGCUUCCUCAUGACCUUCAAAAGUUUUGUAGUGGUUGCGUGGCUCAUACUUCCACUCCAUGAACCAAUCAUUCCACAAACGGUUUGUGUAGGCCGUCGUACCUGGUCUUCCACGCCAAUCUCAAAAUUGAUCUAAACUAGAAAAAAAUGAAGUAUUACGCAUAAAAAUACAUUAAGUAAUUAUCUAGAGUAAUUAAAAAUAUUAAAUUAAAAAAAAAAAAAAUUUACCAAGAGAUAUGCCAUCAGCCCUACUUCGUUUCAGGGGAGAUGUUCUUCCAUCUAUCAAUAGUCAUAGGGCACCUUGCUCGGAUGAUGACUCCUAUCUCGUGAGCCAAUAUUGAAUGAACACAGAGGUCCGCCGCAUGCAUAUAUCUUGGGUCAUGUUCUACCCUCACUCUUAGGCCUGGUUUGGUACUGAGGUGAUUCUGAAAAAAGUCCCAGCUUUUUUAUGUUUGGUAAACAUUCAGCUUCAAUUUUUUUUCACAGUUUUGGGUGAAAAAAAACCAAAAACACAAAGCUGCAAAACCCAGCUUUGAAAAACCAGCUUUUUUUCAUAUCUGUUUUAAAUAAAAGUUUAUCAAACACUAUAAUACUGCUUUUUUUUUUCAAAAACAUUUUUACAGAAAAGUUUACUAAACACUCUGCUGCUUUAUUUCACAGCUGCUUAUUUUCACAACACAGCAGAAGCAAUUUUUUUUCAAAACACAGUAAUACCAAAUCAGCCAUUAAGCCAAGAUUCUUCUAGACGCCCCGCUCACGGGGCGUCUUCCAAAACAAACUGUACCCAUUCUCAUAUCACCCAUCCCUAAACCGGACCGCCCUCUUUCUUGAUCCCCACAACAUCAAAUCAUUCCCCCACCUCCCAAACCCUUCCCUCACCAACUCUCCAAUUUUUUCCAACCCAAAUUCUCAUAAUUACAAAUUCAAAAUAAUUGAGGAUAGAUAUCAGACCUUUAAAUUUGUGAGAGUUUGAGAGUUGAAUAGAUGGCAAGUGUGAGAGUUUGAGAGAGGGGAAACGAUUUUGAGUGGGGUAGGGGGCAUUUUGGAGAGAAAAGAGAGAAUAAUCUACGACCUAAUAUAAAACGUCAGGAUUUUGCUCGACGAACCAUUUUAUCGGACAAAUGUCUUAAAUUAAAUAAAAACACACGGUAGAAUGUUAAUUUUUCCGACGAACACAUCCAUCGGCAAGUGUUCUAUAAAAAAAAAAUAGGGCCAAAAUUUUGGCCAAAUAAAUUGUUGAAAAAGCACUUCGGCCGAUGAGUUUUUGGUCAGUCAAUUGGGCAAACCCAAAAUUUGGAGGGAAAUUCGAUUUUUAAGAAAAAAAAUCGGGGGAUAUUUUUCACAUUGCUCGACGAAUUUUAGGUUUGGCGUAACGAAAUUUUAUACUUUGCCCUAUGAAAUUACCUUUUUCCAUCGGGUAAGUAAUAAAAUUAAAAAAUAUCUCCAAAGUUUGAAAUUUUUUUUGGGAACAAUUCAAUGAUAACCGAAUUUGAUGAUCAGGUGUAUUCAAUAUGGGUUUGAACUCUCAAGUAGCAUCUUUAGAAAAAAUAACAUAAAUCAAAAGUGAUAUAGCCGUUAUAUCGUUAUGCUAAGUUUGUAAAUUUCCAACCUUUUGAACCAAUCCCUACUCCCUCCACCUUAGUUUUGAUAGUGUUUUAUGUAUGCAUUCUCGUACUAUACCGAAACAAUUUUGACAAUUGGAUCAUGGAAAAUAAUUUUGUAGAAUUCGUAUCCCCACAAUGCAAUCAUUUUGUGAUAACCACUAUUGUAAGCUUUUUAAUUCAUGAUCCAUUCGAUUCACAUGACAACCAGCAUUUGAAGUUUCGCACAAUGAGUCUUUUAACCCUUAAUCUAUAAAUCGAGAUUUACAAAAUAAACGGUUCGAAUCGUUGAAAUUCGAUUUAAAGUGGAUUCCACAACUUUUAUACAAUUCUAAAUUUUGUAUAAAAUGAUAUAGUAUUUGAGUCAAUUCAUGUAAAUUAUAUUUAACCGUUCCAAUGCCAACAAAGUUGACCCACUUCACUUAUUGCAUUGACUUGACUCAAUACUGGUUUGUUACUAACGUGCUUUUAUAAAAAGUGAGUAUAAAAAAAAACUGAGCUCAAAAAUGUGUUUGGUAAACACUUAAAAACAUCUUAUUUUCACAGUUUUGGGUGAAAAAAAAGCUGAAAACGUGAAGCAACAUAAAUGUCGAAUUAUGAUUUCUUGUUAAACGUUGAAUUAUGAUUUUUUGUUAAACGUUGAAUUAUGUGUUUAAGAUAAAGUUUAUAAAUAUUUUUCUUUUAAAAAAAUUAUUUUUAGUAAUUCACCUUUAUUUGUUAAGAAAAUUAAAUUAAUGGCACAUCUAGUAUUAUACAAUUUUUUGUCAUUUCACAUAGUUACAACUGUUUUACAUAAAAAUUUACCAAACAAUAUAAUACUACUUUUUUUUUCCAAAAGCACUUUUACAAAAAGGUUUACCAAACACAGCUACUUUAUUUCACAACUGCUUAUUCUCACAUGACUUUCUCUGUUCCCGCGAAAGUGUGGAAAUCUAUCAACUUCUCAACCAUCCACAAAAAAAAAAACCCAAUAAAAAAUAGGGAACUUUAAAGAAAAGCUCCCGAUACUGUUCACUUUAACGAAAAACCACAUUUUUACACUAAAAAGUCAAUCUUGGUACUAUUUACUUUACCCUUUAUUUUUUCCUUAUCGUUAAAACUCAAAGUUUUCAAACCCUUUUCAUUAGUUUUGCUUAAAAAAUAUCCCACAAAACAGUAAAUUUAUUAACCGUAGAGAAAAAGGAGACCCACGUACAGGUAAUUUAUUUCAGGAUAAAAAUGUAAGGUAUUUACGUGCGUAAUAAAUAGAUGUCAUAAAAUUGAGACAGUGAAAGUGAGUGCAAAACAAAGGAAAACAGAGGAGGUUAAAAACAAAACUAAAAAAGUUAAUAAAUAUUUGUGUGGGGUUUUCUCAGGUGUGGUGUGCAGUGGCAGCCGUCCCGUCACGACUUUGACAGAAUAUUUACCGCGACAAUCAUCAUCGUCGUCAACAACCACACCCCCACACCAGCUAAUUUUACACAGAAAAAAAGAUAAAAUAGUACCCAAUAAGGCAAUAAAGAAAAACAGAGCGUUUUUUGGUCGGGUUUUGAACUUUUUAUUGUAGCUGGAGCUUCAUUUGCCACUUCAACCGCCUCAUCUGGGUCCCCUUAAACCUUGAUCCAAAAGGGUGUGCAGAAGUUUAAUUUAUCUGGGGUUUGAUAGAUUUUUUCUGGGUUUUGGUUUAUUUUUUUUAGAAGGGGUGGGUGUUCUGAGUGCUGGUUGAGGGCCAUUUUUGUUGGUUUGGGGCAAUUGCUUUUGUGUUUUUGUGAAAGUGCUUUUGGGGAUUGGAAUGUGGAGGGACGCCGGAAUUCCUGCUGAUUCUUUCUAUGAAGUCCGCCCUGAGUGUACAGAUGUGCCCAAAACCCGCUUCAAGAUCAAGGUUUCUCCUUCUGUUCUUUGUUUGAUUGUUGGAAUUAGAUAUAAAGAUUGAUUUUUUGGGUAUCCAUUAUCUUAAUUUUGAUCUGUUUCCCAUUUGAAAACUAAGAUAUUGCCUAAUGCAUCAGAUUUGAUAAUUGGUGGUGAUUAAUUUUGGUUAAGAUCAUGAAUUGUGUUCAUAUGGAUCACAAAAUGUUGUGCAUUUUCCAAUUUUAUAGAAUUUUUGGAAGGAAGAAUGUUGGGGACUGCGUUAAUGUUAACAUUAAUUGGUCAGCUUGUUGAAUUUUGUAAGGAGAAUGUAGGAUAGAUAUAGGGAUUAUUCGGGCGAUAAAAAUCUGAGUUAUCAGGAUCUUGUUGGUUCUCAAUAUGGAUCCGAGAGUCAAUAUGCUCCUACUCGGUAACGCCCACCCAAUAUGUUGGGAAUGGUCUGGUGUUGGUUAUGCACAACUUUAAAUAAAUUCUGAAUGCAUAAACGCUUACGUACACGAACAUGAAAAAGAUAAAUUGUGAGCAUUUAAGGGAAAUAUACCUAUAUCUGCACAAAAAUUUUCCUCAAACUCCAUCAUGUCAGGAUCUUUUAUUUGAAAGUUUUCUGAAGUUUGGACAUUUUUAUCUCUUUCUCCUUCUCCAUUUAUCAAGAUAUGUUUGUAAUGCCAAUUUUUGCUGGAUACCAAAGUACUAUGGAUCUGAACAUUGAUCUAGAUUAUGGUUCAUAGGGGUUAGCUCUUAUAAGAAUCUGAUUUGAUUAUAUUAAGGCUUGUAAACAUUGAGAAACUGAUAAAGACUCAUUGUGUAUUCUAUAAAAUGUGUUUGCAAUUAUCUUAUUACUUCAUAAUGAUUUCAAUGUCUCAUUACCGUGAUGUGCUUCUUCCAAUUUCAACGCCUUAUUUCUAUUUGCUCAUGCAGGCAGGUAAAACUCUUAGUGUAAGGAAAUGGCAGGCUGCAUUUAGUCCUGAAGGCCAACUGGAUAUAGGCAAGACUUUAAGUCGAAUUUAUCGUGGGGUGAGUGAAUCUUCAUAAUUCAUAGCUGCGCCCCUUAGUAUGUUAGAAUUUUCGUUAUAUUUAUAAAAAUCAGUUUUUCAUCCUGUGUAGCUAUCAGAGUGUCUCGACAAUCCUAUCAAUACUCGUCUUUAUGGAAUCACUUUUUUCUGUUUUUGUUGUUGUUGUUUUUUUAUUGUAAAAUCAAAUGAAAAGCCUACCCUUAGCCUGCUUACAUGAUGGGAAAUAUCUACGAAAUCAGAGCCAUCGGUUUAGUGAAAAAAUCAGAUUAACUAUUACUUAAUUUUAUUUAAGUAGUAUUUGCGCAUGAAAUAACAUAGAUGCUUCAUUGUUUGACCUUCCAGCUGUUGUUAGCCUGGUACUAGUUCUUCAUUUUGUGGAUAUCUUUAACUUAUUCUUUUAAAUAGUUUUCCUCAUGAAAUAAUCAAUUUACAAGGCUAGUAGUCAGCUUCAAUCCAUAAUUAUAUUAUAUUUGGCAAUCAGGGAAUUCAUCCAUCAAUUAGAGGAGAAGUUUGGGAAUUUCUACUAGGUUGUUAUGAUCCUAAGAGCACAUUUGACGAAAGAGAGCAGAUUCGGCAAAGUCGAAGGUAUAUCUUGUUUCCUGCCUUACUUGGGUUACUUGAAAUUUAUUUAUUCACUUGCCUUUUUUCUUUCUCUUUAUCUAAUGAAGUUUCCUAGUGGUAGUACACUUGCAAAUGAUGAUAACAGUCUAAGGAGAAAUUUAUUUCUGGUUCAUGUAUCUUUUAGUACUGCAGUCCAAUAUGUUUUGUAAUUCAAAGAUGAUCUUUUGGGAAAUGAAUGGUCAAUACCAUGAGUUGAGUUUUAUAACUUGCAAUGUACCCGAGUAAAUAAAUUUAGUUGACAGCAAUGUUGAAACUUGCUAGCAAAAGACUAAGGGUUUCCUCUUCAUACGAUAGUGAUCCAGACUCCAGCAUCUCUAUUUUGUGUGGGCUGUGUAAAUUCCCAAACUUACAGGCUCUACAUAAUGUUAUCUUGUCAGAUUCCAACAUGUUAUGCUUCACCUGUCCCGUUAUUCGGUUUUAUUUAUGAAGUAUCAUGUUUUGCCAUUUUCAGAGUGCAAUAUGCUAGGUGGAAGGAAGAUUGCUGCCAAAUGUUUCCUGUUGUUGGGAGUGGUAGGUUUAUCACUGCCCCCGUAAUCACUGAAAAUGGUCAACCCAUUCAGGAUCCCAUAGUACUUUCACAAAUAAAUCCAGACAAGGGUUCUCAGGAUAAUGGUUCAAGCACAAACCGUAAUAAUGCUAUGGAACCAGUAAUGGACAAAAAAGUAAUCCAGUGGAUGCUUACUCUACACCAAAUAGGUUUGUGAUAUAUUUAUGUGUUCAUAUUUUAAUAUGCAUCCUAUGGUUAUUUUGGAGGAAUAUGUUUUUCUUAUGGUCCGGCAUUUUUUCUUUUUGUUGUUGGAUGUACAACUCAGACUUUUUUAUUGUUCAAUUCUCUGUUUUCGUCACGUCUUUACAUAACCUACCUGCAAGAUGUGAAAAGUACUGAACAUGAUGGAUUGCAGAAUUUUUCAUGUUUUAUCUUGAUAGGGUAGAUAACUUUUCUGUUUGUCUUUAUUUGUAUGCCAGGUCUUGACGUGAUUCGUACUGACAGGACACUAGUAUUUUAUGAGAAGCAAGAGAACUUAUCAAAACUUUGGGAUAUUCUAGCUGUUUAUGCCUGGAUAGAUACAGAUGUUGGCUAUUGUCAAGGUUGGUAACAUAAGAGUGAUCAUUUUAGUACUGAUUGCAUCCCUUCCCUACACUUUGGGAAGGGACAAUAUUUUCAUAUUUGAUUUUUUCAAACGAAAAGAAAAUUAUGUUUCUAAACUCCACAAUUCAUGACGUGAUGAUCAGGAAUGAGUGAUCUUUGCUCCCCCAUGAUUAUCCUUCUAGAUGAUGAAGCAGAUGCAUUUUGGUGCUUUGAACGAUUGAUGCGCAGACUGGUAAAACUUUGAGCUAAAUCUUCGACUUUGUUUUUCAUUCUGGUGUUGCAUCAAAUCAAUGCCUAUCAUGUGUGUCUAAAAACUAGGGUUGCUAAGCUCUUCUUUCCAGAAAUUAACAGAGGAGAUGUGCAAUCUUAAAUCCAUGUAUUAAUGAGAUUCUUUAGAAGUUUUUGUUGAUAUCCUUCUGUUUUUGAAAAAUUGCUACAAUAUUUUUUUUUUCAUUUGAAGUUACAUGCUGUUUCUUUAAAGCUACAAAGUUAUUUGGUGACGGUUAAUUUGGAUUCCAGUUUCUUAUGACUUGUUCUUAUUUGAAAUUUAAAGCGAGGAAAUUUCAGAUGUACCGAUAGCUCUGUUGGGGUGGAGGUGCAACUAAGUAAUCUGGCUUCAAUUACUCAAGUCAUUGAUCCAAAACUUCAUGAGCACUUAGGUAUUGUCUUUUUAAUUUGUUGUUUACAAUUUAUGUCCAUUUACUUGUCAAACAUAGAGAAAAUAUAUGUUUCUUUAUCAAAAAAUUUGGAGACAUCAUAUGCGAUUUUCAUCAUAUUUAAUUAUUCAUAAUCUUCUUCUCAGAAAUGAUCAUGAAAAUACAUGUUCGCCAACCGUUUGGAAGAUAUUCGAUACAUUUAUUUAAGGAAAAAAAAUGUACCGUUUAUUAGGAUUUAAAUAUCAAAUUGGCUAUGUUUGUGUCAUGUUUCUCUUACAUCGCUCAACAUAUUGCUCAAAAAUGAGGGAGAUAGUAACAGAUAUGCUUAAUUCGGAGUGCAGAGACACUAGGUGGAGGUGACUAUUUAUUUGCUUUCCGGAUGCUUAUGGUUUUGUUCCGUCGAGAAUUCUCUUUUUGUGAUUCUUUAUACCUUUGGGAGGUGAGAAUAAGUUACUGUUAGUAACUUUCUGAUAUUUUUCUGUUCUCCCUUUUGGAUUUUUUUUAUUAUAUCUAAUUAUUGCAUGUAUAAAUACUUUUACAGAAUCCUUGAAAUUAUUUCUGGGAACCCACUUCAUUCUUUCCUAAGUAAUCAAAAUUUUCUCCAUAAUUCCACUUAUAUAUAGUUCCUUGAAUUUUAAUACAUGCAGAAAUUUUUGUAUUAGACCUUAUUUCUUCCGACUAAAAGUUGGCAAGCUAAUACUUACUUGACAAGUACUUUUUGAACAUAGGUUUUAAGAACUAUUGCACGCAUUUGAUAUUAAAGACCAAUACCCCAGAGCAUUUGUUUGUGUGAUUGGGAUAUAUGUGUUCCUGAUUGAAUAGUAUCUAUGCACUUCUGCUCUAUAAUGAAGAAAGGGCGUCGUGCGCAGUAAAUUUCUGUAGCUAUAUAGAUAUUGCUUUUUCUUUUUUCGUUUUUUGCCCAAAUAUAUCCUUGUUAUUUGUGUGUAAGUAUAUAUGGUUAUGUAUAUUUUUAUAAUAACUAUUGCACAUUUCUUAUGGUGCAUCCCGAACUUAAAAGAACUUAUUUAUAUUGGUAAGAAUUGAUCUCAUUUAAACUUUGACAGAUGAUGUGGGCCCUUGAAUACGACCCUGACUUGUUCAAUGUGUACAAAGAAUCUGAUCCUGAUACUGAGAAGGCUGAGGGGCCUAAAGGGAAACCAAAGUCAACACGUCAGUGUGGGAAGUAUGAGAGGGAAAACAUGAAAAGUGGAGCAAAGAAUUCAGAAGCACCGCUCCCAAUUUCAGUUUUCCUUGUUGCCAGUGUCCUGAAAGAUAAGAGCUCAAAGCUACUUACAGAAGCUCGGGGUCUCGAUGAUGUUGUUAAGGUUAGCAUUAUCAGUUGACAAUUUGCAAUUCUUAGAACCGAUUGACUUUCGGAUUAUAUUGAGAAUGAUAUUACAUGACUUAAGCAGAAAACAUGUCCAUGUGGGGACAGCCUAGUGAUAAAUUCAUCUAAAACAAUAAACAAGAAUUACUCAUAGUAAGAAUCCGCUGGCCUUGGCCAAACUAGGGUCCAGGAUGUUGCGUGGAUUUGGGAUAUAUAGUAAUUUACUCUGAAAUGUGAAAUGAAGUAUGAAAAAAAUAGGAAUAGGAGACUGGAGCGGCGACAUUUAUCAGCCAACCCUAUUAAAUCUUUCCUUGAAAAAGUGGAUUCAGCUAUGGUAGUCAAACAUGGUUCGGAGAAGAAUAUGUUGCUAUCGUUUUGUUCUUUCACAAAUGAUUACAUAUAAAUUCUAAAAGCCAAAUGAAACUGUUCCAAUGUUAUUAUCUUGGGUUUCCAAUUUUUUCUGUGUAGUUUUACAGCUUACAUUAGGUUGCAAUCAAGAUCAAAACCCUAAAAAAUGAUCACAUCUUCAUGUUGUUUUGUAAGGGAUUGGACCAUGAAUUUGACAUGGUUUUACCUCAACGGUUCUUAAAAAUUUCAAAUGCGUUGUCUAAUCCCUAAAAGAAAACAUUAAAAGUGAUCAUUUUAAGGAUUUUUGGCUUGAUUGCAACCUAAUGUUAACUACGAGGAUGUAGUUAGGAGUUUUUCAGGACGAAAUUGGAAGCCCUAGCAAACUGCAUGGACUAAAAUUGUCUUUAGGCCAUUUCUAACGCCCUAAGGGAGAAGUUCAAAAUAAUUCUCUAGAGUCGUUAGGGACUGGUGAAGAAUCUUUGAUCCGUUUGAUAAACAAAUACUCGAGCUAUCAAUUUUUCAUUUAAAUGAGUUGGAUCUUAAUUUUUGUACAACUUUUACCCGUUUACCUCACUCAUUCUCUCUGCCAGAUAUUGAAUGACAUAACUGGAAAUUUAGAUGCCAAAAAAGCUUGCACUGGGGCAUUGAAACUCCACAAGAAAUAUCUGAAAAAGGUACUUCAAUUUAUUUUUUAGCAGUGUAGAAUGUUGCUAUUCAAUUUUCAUGUCUAUAUUUGUGCAUUUCUUGUGCGUGUGCGUGCGCUCAUUUCAAAUGUUCUUAUAUUAAUCACUCAAAGUUGCAACAUCAUUCGUUGAUUUGUUACUGCAGGCGCCCAAGAAGACAUAGCAUCACUUUACACACGAUUUUUUAGCCACCCGAAAAAAGUAAGACGAUGUUGCUUACAUUGUUUUUUACCUGAUUUGGCAAGAGAUUAUAAUUUACUUGCACAUGAUCUUGGCUUAGAGUUGAGAGAGCUGCACAGUUGGUCCACUGUGCAAAAUAUUCCCAAUAGAAAUUGUUGUUUGUGAGAUUAGUCCAAAUUAAUUGUACAUUACAAACAUUCUUUAUAGGCCUAUAUUUUGUACAACCAUAACCGAACCGAGGCCUAUAUUUUGUAUAACGAUACGUUGUUCGUAAUGAUAUUAUGAGGGCUGGAAAAUGCUGAAGCUUAUGCAGUGCUCCAACCCUAAGACAUGAAAUUAACUUGCAGUUUUCUUUCUGAAAAUGUCUUCUUGUAUUUCCUUCCUCUCAUAACCAUAUGCAGUUAGUGCAGGCACUUAAUUUUUUUCAUUCAGUAAUUAUAUGGGAACUUUAACGAAAAGCACCCGGUAUUGUUCACUUUAACGAAAAACCAUAUUUUUACACUAAAAAGUCAAUCCUGGUACUAUUCACUUUACCCUUUAUUUUGUCCUUAUCAUUAAAACUCAAAGUUUUCAAGCUUUUUUUAUUAGUUUUCCUUAAUUAUAUUGGGAAAAGAUGUGGGUAGUUCUCCUAGUGUGUCUGUGUUUAGAAAGAAGUGAAAAUGCAAUAGGUAUAACCUACACAAAAGUUCAUUGCAACAUAAACACAACAAAAGAAUUAGAAAUGAAAAGAUUGGCCACAAGUUGGCAAAUUUAGGGCUCGUUUAUAGGAAAUAAUUACGUUUGUAAGCGCUUUUGUUCGAAAUACUUUUAUUAUAAAUAUGUAGAAGUUUUCUUUAUGUCGAAAAUCCAAGUGCUUUCUGGAAGCAUGUCUACAAUCUAGAAAAGCACGUUUAAAUUUUUCGGCCAAAGAUAGUUGAAAUCAUUUUUUAUUGUCAUAACGUAUUCUAGUCUUUUCAGAAGCAAUCCCAAUACAUGCCUUUUCAAGAGUGCAAGAUAUGACUUUUAUUUUUUAAUUUUUUAUAAUAAGUGAGCAUUUAACAAGUUAAAUAAUAGGCCAGGCACUUAUUCAAACUGAGUCUUGUCACGUAUCUUCUAUCGUUGUAUAAAGAGUCAUUCAUUACAUAACCAUGUAAUAUUAUUUUAUUAUUCCCAAAUUAUAUAAAGAUCAUUUCUAAAAACCUUUUUAACUUGGAAAUUGUUUAGCCAUGAUGAAUGAAUUGAUGAUUCGUUGUAUAAAGAGUCAUUCAUUACAUAAUCACGUUAUAUAUAAAUGACCAAACGGUCUCCAAGCUUAAUGAAUUUUGUAGAUAUAAGAUUUAAAUGAUAAAGAAAAUGAAAAUUUUAAAUUAUAAUGUUUGUACUCUAAAAUGUUGUCAUGUCGUCAUAUAAGAGAAAUGGUUUCUUACAUGGGAAAUAGAUCUUUUUCACCAAGACCACCGGAUCAAGUGAUCUGGAUCCUUAAAAUUUAAUCCAACGGCUAAAGUUAUUAUAACUUUUCAAGGAAACCUUUGUUUUUAGCCGUUGGAUUAAAUUUCAAAGAUAACGAUCACUUAAUCCAAUGAUCUUGGUGAAAGAGAUCAGGAGAGAAUCUCUUUCCUCUUGCAUGAAUGAUCCACACUGACUGAACCUACUCUAGUGUAGGCAAUAUGAACCAUGCUGACUGACUAAACCUACUUUCAAAAGUCAGGAUAGUUUGCGUCGGUAAAGGUUGUGCUCUUUCUUUUUCAUUUCUUAUCCUCACUCAUCAUCCUUCUUCAUCCCUCAUUUCCCGAAUAUACGUUUUUCAUUUUACAAGCAUAAAAAAUAAAAAUAAAGGAACGUAAUAGUUAUCAAACAGACUCUUAGAUUGUUGUAUAUUGAGAGGAGGCAUGGAUAUAAAUGUCAGUUCUGGUAUAGUCCCGUAUUAACUUAUCAUAAACAAGGAAAGAAUGACCACUGGAGAAUUUGACGUUAGCUUAAAUGUGUAGUAUAGUCUUCACUAGUACUGCGGUUUAGUGUAAAGUUUUAUGUACAACUCCAAGGAAUGACAAGUUCGAUAUUUAUUUAUGGUUGACCCGUUAUUUGACUAGCCCACAUCUCUUCCUCCAAUAUAGUUGUAUUAAAAAAGAAAGUAAAAAAAUGGUAUAUAGUUAUUUCUAGUUAUACACAACAUUCAAUAAGGAAUUCUAGGAGGAGCUCCUCACCCCAGGUAACAACAUCAUAAUAGUUUAGAGAAUGUUUUGCUUAUGUAUGGGCCACAUUAUUACAACUUCUAGGAAAUUAUAAAUUGAAAUCUUACGAAACAGAUCCAUGCACCCCUUAAUUAACUUCCUCAAAGAGGUUACCAUCAGAGGCAGGAUCUUUCUGCUCUCACAGAUAGAGCAUCUGGUUAGGAAAAACCAGCAUCUAAGGACAGUUUCAAUUCGAAGUAAAAUGCUCGAAAUCUGCAUGUUUCGGGGAAGUGGUAUUGCAGAGGGAAACUUGCCGCCACCAAUAUCGAGUUUGAAAAUGCCACGAUGAGGGGGAGACCAACCCGAAAGAACCCCUCAAACAAGCUGCCAUCUUAAUUUCUCUACCAGGACAUUAACAAGUAUUUUCAUGAACUAAUUAGAUUAGUGCCAAAUCCUUAAAAGUGGAUUUGUACUAUACUAAUUAAUGACCAUAGUCCUAUGAUACAAAUUUAGGUUCAUCAUCCUUUCCACAGACCAGCUAAUAGAGAUGAUCAUUUAGCGAUUGAAUUAUUAUUAUGAUUAUUUCAGUGUUCAUUGGAAAUUAACACACAUGUUCAUCUAUAUGUGUGCGUAUGUAUCAAUCUGGCUUGUCUUAAAAAUCGAUGUUUGUAUUGUAAUAUGUUAUCUUGAAUUUUCUAGUUACCCUGUUCCAACAUUUGGAACUGCUACAAACAUUAGAGACUGCAUCGAUCCUAGAUACACACAAAAAAAUGCUAGGAAAACAAAAAGACCACGCGAAUCCAUCCUCAUGAUUUGUAUAUAAUAGCUACGCACAUAAAAUCUUAUUCAAAUUAUCAUAACGUUUGUUUUGUGACUCGUUACAAUCUCUUCAUCAUCUGCUUUAUGUGUCUCGAGUUCGAGUAUGCAUGGACGGGCCUCGAAAUCAUGGUAGCAUCGUCACUCAUACAUAGUUCUUUAUCAGCCUUGAGUGCAUAAACACCGGUCUUCUUGCAGCUGACGUCAGACAACACCCAUCACAUGAGGAUGACAAAACAAAUAAAUCCGUCAUUAAUCAUGAAUUCUCAGAAAUAUUAAAACUAAUUAAUUAAUUUUCUAGCUAGUGAAAGCUAGAUAUAUCAAUAAUCUUUAACUAGCUACUGAAACUAACUCAAAAAUACUAUCUUUUGUAACUGGUGGUCAUCACUGUUUGGUGUAGCGUCACUCAGUCUUUACUUUAUUUGAAAAGCGACAUAGGGUUCAAAUCUACGUAGGGCCUAAAUAGAAAAACAAAAGCUAGCCCUAAUUGACGUUAUAAUUAACAUUUCAUUUUGUUUAUAUUUCCACUUUGAACCUCAUUUAUUCAUAUAAUCCAAUGACAAUUGCGAUUGAUGAACAUAAUUAAUUAGAUAUUUAUAUACAAUUAACUACUAAUUACCUGCAGAUAGAACUAGCCUUGCUGAUGGUUAGUGGAAGCGAUUUGUCAUGAAAAGGAAAGACAUGAUGGCUAAACAUAGGACCAAAAGAGCAUUAGACUUGAGAUGCCCUGCAUUGUUCUUGGGGAACACUUUAGGAAGAGCACACUCUUCUCCAUUGAACAACACUCUCGUUGGGAACCCUUGACCCGCUUUGAUAUCGAUAUUAUGAUAGUGCUUCUUCUUGAACGAAAUCACCGAUUGCUGCUUCCCGGGGAUCAUCGGAUUCUUUUUCGGAUCCGUCCCGUUUUUUAUCGCCACCAAGUAGUUCAAACCCUUGAGCCCUGUGAACAAGAUUGUGUUGUUGACUUCCUUUUCCAUCCUCGUACCGUUGAAGGAGUAGACGUUUUCGUAGUCCUGGUAGGCCUUGUUCAUCUUCACCGCGGUGUACCAAUCUUGAAACUGGUCGGUUCCCCAGUUGAAGAGAGUGAGCCUGGCGGUCCACCCGUUGCUGUAAUCAGAGUCGAUGUGCCAGUUCAAGCUGACACCGCAGUUGUCAGGGCACGGAAGCUUUUUAGGCACGUCGUAGUGCUUGAUUUUGGCCCAUGCUUUUGCCUUCUCGGUUCUGUUUGCGAAUGGCACGAGGAGAGCUUCGGCAGGCAAAAGCAUGGCGGAAGCCUUAGGGUUACAUUUGUUCGUCUCAGAUGUUUUGCACCCGCACGCGCACGUGCUGCAUGGAAUCACAGAGGUGCUGUAAUAAGCCGAAAACGAGACGCAGCAUCUGGGGACCGGGGUUUUGGUGAUGUUGCACACCACUUGCCAGCUGGCAAUGGCGUCUGACGUGGCCUGGAGCCCACUUGGGUCGGGGAACUGAGUAGGGUCAACCCUAAUAGGGGGCCCGCAUCUGUAAGUAGGGUUCAGAACGCCACUGAUUUUCCACUGCUGAGGUGGAGUUAUGGCAGUUCUGUUGUCGUCGGGUGGGAUCUUAAACACUUGCAGCUGGAAAAUGGACUGGGACUGUGCAUUGUCCAUGAGGCUCGGCAAGAUGGUCCCGUUGCGGCAGCAGCUGGGCAGUUUGCCGACCUUGGGAUCAUCCUUUCGCUCGGCUGGGAGGUCGGUGAUGACGGGCUUCUUUUCACAGUUCAUGACCUGAGAGAAGUCCAAGUCCUUGUAGAAUUUUCCGGCUUGGCCGUAGAGGCAUGCACUUGUGUCCUUCUUGUGAGUGUAGGCUCCUCUCAUGGUGUUGAUGAACUCUCCCCUCAUCCAUUCCCAGGUUAAGUUCCAGUGGUCGAGGCGGCCGAGCGGGUGGACGUUGUCGAUGGUGACCUGAGCCAGGUAGUUCAUUGUGUAGGUUUGCAUUACAUCGUAUGUGAUUGAGAGAUCCCCGUUCUGACGUGGCAUGAAUUUGGUUUUCUCGACUUUCUUCGCCUUGAAUUUUGGGUCCUUUUUACAGCACACAGACAUUGCAGUCUUCCCUGCAUGAGGAAAACAAAAAGGAUAUGCGUCAAUGCAUGCAUUUGAACCCUUUCAAGGUUCGUAUAUUAGUAUGUUCUUUUUGCCAAAAUAUUUGAUUUGUUAUCUUGUCAGAUAGUGAAUUGGAAUAGUGUUAAUUCGACAUAUGAUAUUGACAUUAUUAUUCACAGGUAAAGCUCACAUGUAUUAGAGAGAGUGUUGAUGUCAGUUUUAUAUAUAUAGUUAGAAAGUUGACCGUAUACAAUAUGACAAAGAAAAUAGUAACUAACACAUAUUUACAUAAUACAAGUAUGAAGAGAUUUAUGGAAUUGAGAUCACGGUUUGACAACAGAGUCAUUGGAAGAAUUAGGAACUGAAUUGAUACUCUUUUCAAGUUUUAUAUGUCUACUUAAUAGCAUUAAUAUAUCUUGGACUAAAAACCAUAUACAUUUCUUGAUGUUCAAUCUAAUCGAUCGUCCUAAAAGAUGUAAAGCCCAGAAAUAAGAACACCAAUUUGAUCGAAAUCAAAAUAUUCAAUCUGAAUCUCAUAAAAUCUUAUGUUCUGCAAACAUAUUUCUCAAAACAUCACAUGUAAUGUAAUGCAUGUUAAACAUUAUCAUUAAUAACACAAACAACCUUAUAAUUAAUUAACUAAUUACCUUUAAAUUUAGCAGCAGGGCACUUGAAGCCAUCAUUGACAAUGGAGAUGGUCUUGGGCAUCGGAGUAGACUUCUCUCCCAUCCCAAACUGCGUCCCUUUGAACGCAAUCUUAGCCUGAAUCUGGGUAUAAUCUCCGGCGGUAUCAAUCAUAGUUUUCAAAUCUGUCAUUGGAUACCCGGCAAAGUAUGCCCCUUUGGUUCCAACAUCGACGGGCAAAUCACCACCGUCAACCAUCUGAGCUCCUUCCGCGGCCACCAAGAUCUCCCGAUGCUGAAACCCUAUGUACAUCUUCCACGCCUUGAGCUCGGUCGACCCGGCGUUCAAGAUCGUCGCCUCCGACUUGAACGCCCAAGCCUGUGCCGACACAUUUUUCGUGUGCGGCAACUCCUUCUCCCUGGAGGUAAACGUGUACGACAAGAAAAUGCCAUCACAGUCUUCUUGCUCGGGAGGAGGAGCUGCCACAACAGCAUCUUCGUCUUGUCCGUAACAAAUCUCAACCCUAAAACAUGAAAACACCAAAAACACCACGAGCAUUGCUUGAAGAAAGGACGCGCGGGACGUCCAGGGUAUUUUCAUGCCCAUAUUACUUGUUUCCAUCAUUGCUUUUUACAAUAAUGUGGAGCGAGCUUUGAGGUUUCAAAUCUUUUCUUUUUGUUUUUGUCUAUUUUUCGAGGUUGAGGGUUGUUUCGUGUGUCGCUUGGGAGAGAGACAGAGAGAAAGAGAGAGAGAGAGAUCUAUUGAACGGUAGGCGGCCGCGCGAGGACGCGGCGAGUGAGAGAUGCUAUGAGGCCCUGGGAGGUCUGUGUAAACCCCAGGGUAGAGAGAGAUGGCUAGGUAAAAGAAGAGGAGCGACAUUAAAAGACUGGGUCAAGCUCUAUUUUCUUCCGCUAGUUUUAGCGGCAGGUUCGGAACGUUGUCCAUGCAACCGAUACUGUUUGAUUUCUGGUAGACAUUGUACGGAAAUAUAUCUGAUACACACGCUGUAAAUAGAUUUCGGUAUCGAAAACUAUGCCGUUUCUGAGUUUUUCUUUUCUCUUCUUGUUUUCGGACCGAAACCACCGAAACGGUUGCUGUGAUAACCUUCUAAUUAACUGUUUUGAGCUGGCAAAAACUGCAUGUCACAUAACUUGCAUUGGACUAGUUUGCUCACCUCAGAUUGCCGACAUGGCACUUCGAACCAAUCAUUUUUUUUAUUUUUAGUAAUCACAAAGUUCAAGUACUAAAAUAAAUAUAAAUUGGCAUGAAAAUGUGAAAGAGUCGAAUCUGUGUUGGAUAUCACUAUGCGAUGUGCUGCACAAAAGGGAUUGGCAUGAAAAAUCAGUAGCUAUGGGGAUCCUAGCUAGGUUUAUUUUGUUCUAGAUUUUUAGCCAAAAUGUUUUCUGAGAUUAAGUGGUUCUUAAUUUUGUCUACUCUACAUCAUUUUGGUCAUUCAAUGAAAAAUACGUUCAAUAUUCUUGUUAAGUUGAGAUGUUGGUUUGACAAAAAUACUCUUUGGAAAGGUAAACACGUAGUUGUUUACGUGACAAUUUAACAAAGAUAUUGACAACUUUUAUCACAAAAUGACCAAAUUGAUUUACGAUGGACAAACUCAAAUACUGCUUUUAUCAAUUAUCAUUGUCAAAGACCAAAGUAAGGAGAUCCAAUCUCAGAGACAAUUUUUGCUAAAAAGUCGGUUCUAUCUUCUUUCUUACUUUUUCAGUAUUUUAAUUACCCUUUAUUAAUUCUAUAAUGGAUAUAAUUGCGUGAAUGACUUGUAGCUCAAGUAGUUUAAAGUGCUCACUUUCAAUAAAGAGUACCCCUAUAUUUUCAUAUAAUUUUAAUUGAAUUGCUUUCUUCCACGCCUAUCCGCAGCACAGUCAUUAUUUGUUCAAGAAGUUAGCUCCCCGCUAAUACUUGGGAACUAGGGUAUCCAGUUAGUACAAUAAACAAGGCAACACAGCUAUAACCGAAGAUAAUAUCAAAACGCUAAUUAAGAAACCUACCCCUACGAUCUCUUAUGGUUACAUAUCCUGUUAAUUCAGUGUGCACGAUUUUCAUUACUUUAACCAAAUCAAGCGACAGUUAUCUCCGUCCCGCCGCUGAUUUCUUCAACGAACUGCGCUUUUGGCUCCAAGUCUAUGAACUGGUUGGACUUGCUAGCAAGAUGCGAAAUGCUUACCCUUCCCUGACGCUUAAUGUAGUCUGCUACAGCUUGCAUCUCCUCUUGGGAGAUGUAUAUGUAUUUCCCUCUGUCAUCCAUGACGCCAGAAAGUCGCCCUAACACAGACAAAUACAACAUUUUCAUUCUCAACGAAAAGGUAUUUUACCUUCUGAAGCAAAGGAAUGAAUUAUUCAUUAGGUACCACAAGUCACUGAGGAAAUAGCUCUGCACAUACCCAUACUCUCGAGAUUGGUAAUUCGAUAGAUGCAUUCCUGCAUGAACCAUCAGUUGCAUUGAAAAAUUAGUAAGCCAAAUCUGGCAAAUUAAGUUGACUAAUCACUUUCAGAAAAUAUACUUCCAUAUGCCUUACUAAAUUUCAAAUUAAAACUUCAUCUAUUAAUGCACUUUGAGGCACGAAGAAGACAUGAAAAUUGCUGAUUUAUGUGUUACUUCAGGAUAAAUAUAAGUUACCUGAGUCCUUAACUUAGAUUCAGCAGCAAGAUCUUCCAGAGGAAUGCAUUUAUGUUUCUGCAAUGUCAAAAUUAACAGUAGUAUUAAUAACAAAAUCACAACUCAACUUGAAAGCCUCAUGUCUCGAAUAGAAACAAAACGACACAAACAGUUAAAAGAUUAAUAAACUCUAAACUGGAUUGGAUAAGUUAGAAACUACAACCCAACCUUAAACCCCCAAAACUUAGAAGCUCCAUUUCAUCCCUAGUUUUGUGCAACCCGAUGGCGAUGGAGAUAUUAGGGGGCUAGAGUAUGGAACAAUAUCUUUGAAUGAAUUAACUGAACUCUACCUUUAUGUAUUCCACAAAAUCAGAAAGCAAAUCCUGACAUCCAUCCUGCACUUCAUUCUCGGUCAUACCUUCAGCAUCUAUUGAAAACUCGCCUUUCCACUUCUCAAACUCUAAAGCAGCAGCUUCCUCCUCCCUAGCCUUUUGAGCUUUGGCUUCUUCCUCCUACAAAACCGUGGCCAAAUCUUUGGGCAGUAACUUAACAACACAAUAAUACACAUCCUCAUUUUCCAAAACAGAAACAAAAGAGAGACGUCAACGCACCAGCUGACGCUCCUGUGCUUCACGCUCCUCAUCUUUCCUCCUCCGCAUUUCAGCAUAGCGGUCUUGUUUUGUUACCCUUGAUUCACGUGCAGCUUGUUCAGCCUUCAAAUAAAGAACGGACUCAAGUAAAUAAUUACUUGUGCUUCGAUUGAAGGGAAAAGGGAAGAAAAUAAUAUAAAAGCAGUACAAGUAAACCAUAAUCAAGGAUCCUCCGAGAGCAUAAGCAUAAACGCAAUUGAAGGUUUCAGUUACUUCCACCAUUUCGGUAAUUUAAAUCGAUUGAAUGAUGUAGUAAUCAAACUUCUAACAUGUCCUACACCUCAGUGACUACAUAGAAGUGGUUUCUGUCUUUAUUACUCAAUGUAGAUAGUUGGAUAAUUAGAAACUCGCUAAAAUUUAAGGCCUGUUGGGUAUUCAGGACAGGACAGGACACAUUAACUAGAAAUUUUAAUCAGGACCGGAGAGGGGGAGAGAGAGUAUGUGCAAUCCUUCAAAUCAGGAAGUAAAAGAAAGAAAGAAUACUUGUCGUUGUGCUUCCCGCUCUUGGCGCUUCUUUUCCCUCUUCUUGGAUGCUUUAGCAUCAUACUCGCCCUCAACAUCUUCCCCAUCACUUCCCUCAACGGAUUCUGUAUUUAAAAAUACAUACUAUGAGUUCAUUUGACAGAAUAACACAUUUUUCAACUUAUUUAAUAUCAUUAGCACUUAAAGCUAGCUAGCUAGUGCAAAAGCUCAUAUACAAAAUGUGCAGCUAUACAAGUCCAAAUUUGCACUUCAUACGCCGCGUACAUUUUCCAUACAGAAUACCUAAUACAUCCUUUACUUCCUCAAUUUUUGUACCCUCCUCAUGAAUCCAUAAACCUUAUGACUCCUCUCUGGAAAUAAUCAUCGGUCUACCCCAACAGAUCAAACCAUGUAAACCAUCAUCACCCCAAAUCCUAAUUUGAUCAAACCUUUAUCUCUCACAGAUACGGUUGCUUAUAUUUUCGUUCCAGAUUAUCUCGCCACUGCUUACCAAUUUAUUCAAUCCCGCCGCUGAGAUGCUCAGUUGAUGAUAUCUAUUUCAAUCACAAUUCAAUCAAUUACAAUCGCUUCUCGAAUCAAAGAGAAACGAACAUCACAAAACAGCAGAGUCACAAUUACUCAUGAACUUAAUCCAAUCUCUUACUAAUAUAAAAUCAAAUUUAGUCACUUCAAAGUAAAACACAAACCUUCUACACCUGGUGCAGCAGCAGCUGAUGUGCUUGCUCCAGAAGCCGGCCUCCUACGGAUCCAGCGACCGCCAGGCGCACGCACCACCGCCUCCCUCUGAGCAACCUAGAUCAAUAUGAACAAUCCAGAAAAAAUCUAUAUAACUAAAAACAAUUACGCUGCCGCCGAAUUAGGGCUCAAAGAAUCAAACCUGAGGUUCUUCUUCGUGUUCAUGCGAAGAUCGAGAAUCUUGACGGCGUUUCCAUAGAAAUAGUGGAAUUAAUCCCAAAACAAGAAGCAUAGAAAGAAAAAUUGCCAACAUUUCCUCCAUAUUUUCUCAAUCUCAGGCCCCGUUGAUGUUCCUUUUCUUUCUCUCAAUUCUAUUUUCUUAGGAAUUCUCGGAAACCAAACAAAGAGUUAGGGUAAAGCGAAUACCUUGAGAGCGGUUAAGCUUCGUACAAUCAAUGGAGCCUGGAACGGUUUGAAUAGUGAUUAUAGGACCUAAAUGUAAUUAGCAUGAAUUGGGAAUCAUUAAACUUACAUGGAUAAAAAAAAUUAAGAUUAUUACCUUAUAUUUGGAUGAAGAAAUUUAAGAUAUUAAUAAAUUUUAAAAUAAGGUAAAUUGAAAUAACGGAGUUUUAUUUUCUAAAAUUUGUGAAUUUUCUUAUUUGGUUAAUCUAAAAGAAUAAUGGAAUUGAAUACAAAAUUUAAUAUUUUUAAACUCUCAAUAGUAGAAAUUUAGAAAUACACCUAUUUAAUUUACAUGGAAUUUAAACUUGGGAAAAUUAUAAAUUUCUAUUUAUGAAUUUAAACAAGGGAAUUGGUGCAUGUCAAUUUAUAAAUUCUGACUUUUAUCUAAAUCCCAAAUUUAUUUUCCUCGUCUUAACAUAGUGUUAGAGAUUAGAUUUCUUCUGUUGUAUAAAUCAUUUUAUUUCUAUAGAGAUUUUUCUGUGUUCGAAAUAAAGACGUGUCAUUAUAAUACAAGUAAUGAGAUGCUUGUAUUAAAAAUUAACAACUUAAACAAUAAAACAUCCCUCCACUUAUAUAAUGACAUAGAAUAUAUUGUUCGUGUUACGCGCACAACCGCACAAUGAAAGAUUCCCGUAUUUCUCUAUACAUAAAUAUUCACACAAUUAUCACUUUUUCAAAAUUUAAAUAUUUUAAAGUCAAAAUAUUUAUAAAAAUGAAUAUGAUUUUUAGUUUAAUUUUAUAUAAAUAUCCUUUAAUAAUAUGUGACUUGAAUUUCAAGGCAAAAGAAGGAAAAAAAUUGUUUCUGACAUAUGAAAAUUGUCUAGGUUAAAUUUUUAAAUUUUAACCCACACUAUUAGAUAUGAUCUAUCAUAAAAUAGCUGAAUGAAAACAAAGUUUCACGUUCAAUUUUGAAUUAAAGACGUUAAAAAUAAUGAAUCAACGACGUUAAAAAUAAUGAAUCAACGACGUUAAAAAUAAUGAAUCAACGUCGACUAUAACCCCUUACCUUCCAAGCUACCGAUGCGAAUUCGAAUCUCAAAACUAACGAGCUUGCAACCAUUAUAUCAAAUAUCCAUCUAUGUCCCCUAAUAUUCUAUUUAUACUCUUCGUUCAUCCACGAAAACUCGAUAAUUGCUUGGCACGCUGUCUGUCAUUAUCGUGCUUAGCAAAUAACACAUCUCGUGCGAAUUGAGAGCCUUUAGGAUCGCAACUACGUGCCUCUCUGCAACCGCGCAGCAGCACCCAUCAAUUCCCUCUCCCCUAUUUCCCACAAAUUGCCCACACCCCUCGAACCCACAACCUCGACUUACUCCCCUACCCCAAGACUUCUUCAGCGAAUACCCAAAAAAACCCAUAAAUUUUUUUUAAAACGGUAAUAACAGAGAGACUAAAUUUUUAAAUUAAAUUUGCAAAUACAUACCUAAGAAUCAAAUGAUGUGAUGCUACCAUUUCAUUUCCAACGAGUCCGAGCCAAACAUCCAACGCACACAGAGAAUCCAUCCAUCCACAUUAUUAUCAAAACUCACGUAUGUCCCAAAACACAUCAAAUAUCUACAACAGCCAUCACUUAGCCACCAUAAAAAAUCGCUCGCUCACUCAACCGCGCUAUUAUUUUCGGCUUGAAACUGGUUUUUCCCUUGUUUAUUAACAUAAAACGUCUGGAACUGGUUUUUCCCUUGUUUAUUAACAUAUAAGGUGACAAUUAAGCCUCGGCGAUCUCAGCGGAUUCUGCAGCAGCUAGGAUCAGCUCCGGCUGGAUGCCUCCGACGUAUGAUCCAUCCAAUGCGUUGGGGAGUCCCAGUGCCUUCAAUGCCAAGUGAGCUGCCUUUUGCCCUGAGAUCAUCAUGGCUCCGAAUGUAGGUCCCUGCAUCCCCAAUAAUGUUACAAAUUAUAUUAUUAGGACUACGUUGAUAUCGACGGAUACCAAACCCACAAUGUUUAUAUCAAGUGGGAAUCUUAUUAGGACCACAUAAAGAUCUAGUAAUGGUACUAUUCCAAACAUAAAAGAACAGGAAAAGAAUGGAAGAGCUUUUGGACCCACGUUCUUUCGAAAUCACUAUGCAUGGAUUGAGGCUUAAGUAAUUCUACGGUCCUAAGGUGUUUUUGUUUCGUAAUUAAACGCCGAGGGGAGAGGCCACUGUCUAUCUACGCUGUGCAUUUACAUGUCAAAAUUCGAAGCUUAAAACUAGGACGUUAUGCUUGAUAAAUCAAAUAUUCUAAUCCUUAAUGUUUUAUCUAAAUCGUCUAAGCCCACCACCGCGAUCACCAUUUUGACUAAAUGUGAUCGCGAUGGCUUGAAGCGGUUGGAUAAAAUCAGCCAAGCACAGUAAUGGCUAUACCAAAAAGUAAAACAGUAAAUAAAUCAAGAACAAAUGGAAUGAGUCAGAAAUGUACCAUUCUUGGGGAUCCAUCAAUCUCGGCAACUUCCAUGCCGGUGACGAUCAUUCCUGGCACAAUUUCCCUUGUGAGCUUCACGAUAGCAUCCUCAGCUGCGUUCAUGUCCAAGGCCUUCAUCCCGGGCACGCUCUCAAUCAUCCCAACGCUCCUCAGCCUCUUUACGCCGGUGGCUCCCAUGGGUCCGUCAUGACCACAUGAGCUCACCACAACCUUGGCCUCCAUGACGUUGGGGUCCAUGCACGACUGUGUGUCGUGGUUCAUUGAGACCAAGGCCCAGUUGGUGACCACCCCACCAACUCUGCCACCCUUAAUGAUCAAGUCCUCGGCGGCCACAGCGUUGAAGAGCUUCACGUUGGGCCGGGCAAGGAGCUUGCUCAUGAUGGUGGAGGUGAAUAGGGCGGCGUGCUUGAUGACAACGUAGUUGUCUUGCUCAUCGUAGUCAAUGCCGAGCUCGUUAAGGAAGAGAUGGGCGGGUUUGCGCACAACCUAUAUAUGUCAACAUAUAAAUUAAAUCUUAAGUACUACAAAAUAUAAGACAAAAUAUUUUCAAAAUUUUCAAGUUAGAACAUUGAAAUAUUUUCGAAAUUUAUGUUGCUUUCCAAAAUUGUACUUUUAAUUUUCAUAGCAUUCAUUUCUCACUAGAACAUUUAACCAAAUAUAAGGCCAACCCAUUUAACGGAAUAAGACUUGGUUGCAAUUGUUGUAAUGUUAACUAAAUAGCGGGAUUAUCUCGCUUCCAUAAAUUCACCAUAAUCAAGCAAUCUAAUUGUGAUUCAUUAGUGCAUAGAUGAAAUCUAUAUAUAUUGUAUAUUUGGAAUUAAUUAAUAAGGAAUUACUUUUCUACAAAAUAUACAAAAUUUGUUUGAUUUACGAAUGAAAAUACAACAAUAUCAAACUAUUUAAUUAAUUACAAAAAUGGAAAUAAAGAAAUAAAUUACAAAAAAUAAAUUAACGAAUAUUUAUGCAAAUAAAAACAGACAUGCAUAACGAUACAGGUCAAAUUAUCCAAACAAGAUGGGGCAUGCGCGACACGUGUCACAGUCAAACGUUUCAUUCAUUUUACCGACAAACAUGAAUUUCAAAUUAACAAACAAUUUCCCAGAAAAAAGGCCAAAAAUUAAGCACCCGGAAACCUUAAACGACCAAAAAUGAUAAUUAAACUACAACAAAUCAUUAAUUAAAAGUUUCAAUAACUUUCCAAAAAUAUUAAAAUUAAUCAUAAAUGACAGUAAUUACCAUGGCAGAGAAGAGCUGGCCACCGAGCCAUGCACCUCCACCGGGGCUGACGGACUGCUCGAUGAUGGCGACCUGAACGUCGGGGUUCUUGCUGAGUUCGUAGGCGCAGGAUAGCCCGGCGGAGCCAGCACCGACGACAACGACGUCGGUGUCGGCGUAGGUGAUCAUGUCAGUCAUGUAGCGCCUUGUCAUCUCCCGGGAGACGAUGGAUUCCUUGAUGGGGUCGAACUUGAAAGCGCUCAAGUCGUAGGAGGGGGUCAAGCCGUUGGCGGACAUGGAGACGGAGAGGCCGCCGUUGUUGGCGGGGGCCGCCUUGGCCAGCUGAAGGCGGACCAUGGGAGCGCCAUGGAAGGAGGAGUCGAGGAGGGAGGACUUCUGGAGCUUGGCGGUGAGGGAGGAGGAGGUGAGGGUGGAAGCCAUGGUUGCCAUUGAUUGAUGCGAGAGAAGGAGAGAGAGGGAGAGAGAGAGAAGAUGAUAAGAUGGGGUGAUUUGGGGGUUUAGCGUUUGCAAGUCAGAAGAUGGAAGUGAAGAGAGUGGUUAUUUAAGGAGGAGGGUGACGUAUAUGUAAAAUUGAAGAUGGACACGUGGGAAGAGGAUAGGAUAUGAAGGGUCUAGAACCUCUUGGGAGGUACAAGUGGCAAGCAUGAACCAGUCCACGGUGUGUGUUUGAGUGUGAGGAGAGUGAAUAGAGAGGGAAAUGUUAGAUGACAAAGUUUAUAAGGGAAUUGCUAAGGCUAUUAUCUUGAAUGUGAUUUUCUACGAAUUUUCUGUCAUUUUAUGUUUUUGAUACAAUUCUUAUGUUAAUGUUAUAAAAUUUUGUGCCAAGAAUAUGAGGUGAUAGAGAGUUCAUAGGAAGUCUUACUUUGAAACAGUCUCCUUAGUAUUUCUCAAUUUGUAAACCAAAUGAUUAGAUUGUUGAUGAUCAUUUUAUUACUCAAGUGUUGAUUAAUGUGUUUAAUUUCUACUGAAAAUAUGACUUUAGCUCUUGAAACUCAAGUUUCUUUACAUAAAACCCGACAUAGUCUUUUUAUCUAAAUAAAACCUAAUGACUACGCUCCACAUAAGCAAAGUCAUUAAUUCUAUUUGCCUUUACACAUUUUGCAUUUUUUUAGAUGCCUAAAACACCCCUAAUUAAAGUUUUAAUGUAUACAUUAAAUUCUAUGCAUAUUUGAAGGGAGGGGUUAAUGAAAAAAAAAUGCAUUAAUGUUUAAAAUCACUGCAUAUUAAUAUAUCAUAACAAAUUGUAUGUUAAUGCUUCUUGGAACAAAAAAAAAGCACUAAUGUUAUACUUUCCUUAAGAUUUUGUAAUUGUUUUUCAAAUUUGCCUAAAAUUUGACAGUUUUAAUUUGAUCUUGUCAUUAUCUUACCCAAAUUGUGACAUCCCACAUCGCCCAGGGGAGUAAUCCUUAAAUGUAUAUUCUCAUCCCUACUUAACACGAGGUCUUUUGGGAGCUCAUUGGCUUCGGGUUUCGUAGGAACUCCGAAGUUAAACACUCCCAGGAUGGGUGACCCACUAGGAAGUUGCUCGUGAGUUCCCAAAAACAAAACCGUGAGGGAAUGGUAAGCCCAAAGCGGACAAUAUCAUGCUACGGUGGUGGAACGGGCUUGGGAUGUGGUGGACCCGGGCCGGGAUGUGACAAAUGGUAUUAGAGCCAAUCCCUGGCCGGAAGUGUGAUGACGAGGACGUCGGGCCCCUAAGGGGGGUGGAUUGUGACAUCCCACAUCGCCCAUGAGAGUGAUCCUUAAAUGUAUAUUCUCAUCCCUACCUAGCACGAGGAAUUUUGGGAGCUCAUUGGCUUCUGGUUCCGUAGGAACUCCGAAGUUAAGCGAGAAGGAGGCCAGAGCACUCCCAGGAUGGGUGACCCACUGGGAAGUUGCUCGUGAGUUUCCAAAAACAAAACCGUGAGGGAAUGGUAAGCCCAAAACGGACAAUAUCGUGCUACGAUGGUGGAACGGGCCCGGGAUGUGGUGGACCCGGGCCAGGAUGUGACACAUAUGAAAAUCUGAAAGGGCACUAUAAAAUUUAUCCAGUAAUAAUACAUGCAAAAUAAUUUACUUAUAAAAUUAAAGAAAUGUUAUUUGAUUCAAAAGAAAUUUAUCUAUAUUUUAUAUAAUAAUAUAGGUGAAUCAUUGCACAAAUAUAUAUUAGGAAAAAAAUGUGCCCAAUAUAUAUAUAAUGCAUACAAAUAAUUCACCUACAAAUAAAGGAAAUUUGGUUAAAAAUAAUAUAUUUACUACUUUCAAUUUUCCUAUUUUUUUUUUUUUUACAAACAUAAUGUACCUACAAUAUAAUUUACCUAUUGUUUAAUCAAAUAAAAACAUAAGGUAUCUAUUGUUUCAUUUUAAUGGUGAUAAUUUGUCUUGGUUUAGUUUUUACGAAAUAAUUUAGGCACUGUUUAACUUGACCAAAAUAAUGUAACUACCAUUUUAAUUUACCUAGAAAAUAAAUGCUAUUUGAUUCUGUUUGGACCCAAUUUUACGCCAUCGGCCCAAGCAAUCGAGGCCGUUGAGUAAACAUGAUUCUUAAUCGUCGGAUAAGAAAGUUAAGAUAAUUUGCUAUUGUUAAGAGAUAAUAUGAUGGUUUUUAAUCAUAAUAAUUAUCUUUUAAUAAAUUAUCUUAGUUUUCUUAUACAAAAUAAAUUAGAGAGAUUCUUGGACUCUUAACUUGGCCUAACAUGGAUCUGCAAGCCGAAGAUAAUGGUGGAUAGGACCUAAGCGGGCUAGGAUGUUGUCAGAUGAUGGAAGACUUGCAUGCCGUGUGAAAAGCUACAAGUUGUAUAUAUAUGUAGGCUGUAUAGUUUGCAUGCCCAUCAACCUAUGUCGUGCAAAAAUCUCCCAGACUAUAUAGUUAUAUAUAUAUAGAUAAUGGUGGUUAUUUUGAUGGGAUUAAGCUUUGAUUGAUGUGAUAAGGUCUAAGGCGUGAAUGUAGGUGCAUAAAAGAUAAAGUGGUUAGAGUUUCAUUUAUUAUGAUUAUGCAUAGGAUAAAUGAGUGGUCAGCAGCAACAGUUAGAGAGUUGAAGUCACGAACUACAAUAUGAGGAUAUGCUUGUCUUUAGACGCGGAUCAACUUCAGGAAUUAGAGUUGCAAUUAAACUCUACAAUACUAUCAGACCUUGCCAAGCAGAAAAAUGAAUACUAUAAAUACAAGACUCGGUGCAACAUUCAAAGGACCUCCAAUUCAACACACAAAACUGCCCUGCGUAAACCCUCUCAACAACUUUGAGAUUUUUUAUUUUCUUUUUCACCGGCACAUCUUCAGUUGGCAUAAAUAGCAUUGUGGAGACAACCGGUGAUAUCUUCAGUUGGCAUAAACAGCACUGUUGCCGUAGAAUCAGCCGAUCUCGCAGCAUCUUCAGUUGGCAUAAAUAGCACUGUGUCGAGGCCGACUGGUUACCUAUCUAAGUCUCGGUCGAGAAGGAUUUUCGAAUCCUUGUUGGUCUAGGUCAUCUCAUCAGCCUUCUCGGCGAAGUGAGGUGUUACGAGUUACUACAUUCGGCACAUUGGAAGCCGAAUUUGAUAUUGAACUUCGUUAAGUUAGCAACCUUGUCUUCAGGCUCUAGAACCCGAAGGCCGAGACAAGUUCCUUCCUCGACCGCAAUCGCAAGAUGCAGAAGUCAACUGCGCACCCAACGCAACAUCAACAUAUUUUACUCUUCAACCGAGCUCGGCCGACGAGUUGGCACACCCCGUACACAACCAAAUGACGUAGUUAGCUUAUAGAUUACUCGGCAUGCGUGCCACGUAGGUUUGGUAGAUUUUAGGGUCAACAUUUUGGCACGCCCAGUGGGACCCAGUGCUAAAACUACAAAGUUCACAUGAUAUAUCAAGAUCACGAUCGGGAUGAGAUUUAGCGCCUAUUCAAGGAAAUUGUCGAGCAACAAAAACGCCUUGGCCAGAUCAUUGAAGCAAAUGAAGAAAGGCGAAAAUCUUUCUCUCAAAUGAUAAAGGUGAAGGUUCAUCACAGCUUACAAGAUCAAUGGUUAAAUGAAGAUAGAGCUCAAUAUUAUGAAUGGAUCGAUAAGAAAAUGCUUAUUGGGUUCAAAUCAAUUCCAUUUGAAGAAUGGUUGGAUCAAAAAGUCGGGGGGCAAAUUUCCGCUCCGGCCACAAUCAAAAUUUGGCCUCAGAACAUUGUCGAGACGGCCGAAGAAAAACCUAGGCCACCUGUUGUCUCGAUCGAGAUUGAAAGUGUGGUAGGCCUAGAAGAAAAAAUUUAAGUUUCUGAGCCACAAAUCUACUUAGAAAAUGAUUCGUCAAAUGAGUGCUCCAAUGACGAACAAGGCCGAGACAUAGGCUUAGCCAGAAAAACCGCGCCAAUUGAUAUGAUUAUUGGUGAUAAAGCCGAUAAGGAGAAAUCUCAUUCGGUCAAGUUAUUUGAAUUAAAAGCCGAAAUUAUGCCUGGGGGCAUAAUAAUUGUUCAACACAUUGGUGGCCAAAAAUGAAAAAUAUUUCACCAAGUUAGAAAUAUUUGGAGAUGAUCUUUUAUUCAGCUUUGGAAAAUGUCAAAGUGAAAAUUUUGAUGUAAAAAGAACUUGGCUUGGAAUAAAACAUCGUUGGCCUCCUCCUCUUGAUAGCUCGGCCACUUUUGUUUUCUUUUAUUAAGAAAAGGAAUAAAUUAUUUUCUUAAUCAUCUGGCUAAUUAAGCUGAUGCAUAAGAAAAUAAGGGGGCAAUGUCCAAAAGGAAUAGAUUUUGGCUGUCUAGGCCGAGGCAGUCUAGGCCGAGGCAGAUUCAGGUAAUCGGAUGUUUAGGCCGAGGUAAUCUUUUUUGCCGAGCUCGGCGAAAUUGGAUGCGUGCAUGCGAAUUUUUUCCUAAUGAUGGUAGACUUAUUCAACAAAAGUGGAUAUUUAAUUAGAUAUAGGCUUUAGCCUAUGGAUGUGGCUAAUGGGGAAUUGUCAGAAUACCAUUGGAAAGACAAAUAUAUAUAUUUUAUAUAAGUAAGACUCAGCCAUGAGGUUUUAUAGUCGAAGUUGGGUUGUCAAAUCCAAGAGUUAGGAUAUUUAAUGAGCUUCGGCCUUGGAUCAGUAUAUAUAUAUAUAGGCGCUGCCAAGAAAAAUUCUUCUAGACCUUGGUUUAGGUUUUCUCGGCCUCAGCCUGUUUUACCCUUUACCCCAAUUCUUUUCUACCCCUUCCCGAAUUCUUCUCGACCUUCUGGAGAGUUGCCGAGCCUGGUAUAGAGUUGCAGCAGUCGAGGAGGGCCGUGGCGUUGGCAGAACAUACAUGUUAUUUCCGAGGAACAAAAUUUGUUUCGGCAAUACAACGAAAUGUUGUCGGCUACGAACAGUUAAUUUCCUUAACCAUUCAGUUUACGAGCCGAAGCUCAAGGAAACUGGGAGGCAAUGUUUGGACCCGAUUUUACGCCAUCAGCCCAAGCAAUCGAGGUCGUUGAGUAAACAUGGUUCUUAAUCGUCGGAUAAGAAAGUUAAGAUAAUUUGCUAUUGUUAAGAGAUAAUAUGAUGGUUUUUAAUCAUAAUAAUUAUCUUUUAAUAAAUUAUCUUAGUUUUCUUGUACAAAAUAAAUUAUAGAGAUUCUUGGACUCUUCACUUAGCCUAACAUGGAUCUGCAAGCCGAAGAUAAUGGUGGAUAGGACCUAAGCGGGCUAGGAUGUUAUCAGAUGAUGGAAGACUUGCAUGCCGUGUGAAAAGCUAUAAGUUAUAUAUAUAUGUAGGCUGUAUAGUCUGCAUGCCAUCAGCCUAUGCCGUGCAAAAAUCUCCCAAACUAUAUAGUUAUAUAUAUAUAUAUAUAUAUAUAUAUAUAUAUAUAAUGGUGGUUAUUUUGAUAGGAUUAAGCUUUGAUUGAUGUGAUAAGGUCUAAGGCGUGACUGUAGGUGCAUAAAAGAUAAAGUGGUCAGAGUUUCAUUUAUUAUGAUUAUGCAUGGGAUAUAUGAGUGGUCAGUAGCAACAGUUAGAGAGUUGAAGUCACGAAUUACAAUAUGAGGAAAUGCUUGGCUUUUGACGCGGAUCAACUUCAGGAAUUAGAGUUGCAAUUAAACUCUACAAUAUUAUCAGACCUUGCCAAGCAGAAAAAUGAAUACUAUAAAUACAAGACUCGGUGCAACAUUCAAGGGACCUCCAAUUCAACACACAAAACUGCCAUGCGCAAACCCUCUCAACAACUUUGAGAUUUUUUAUUUUCUUUUUCGUCGACACAUCUUCAGUUGGCAUAAACAGCACUGUAAAGGCAACCGGUGAUAUCUUCAGUUGGCAUAAACAACACUGUCAUCGUAGAAUCAACUGAUCUCGCAACAUCUUCAGUUGGCAUAAACAACACUGCGUCGAGGCCGACUGGUUAUCUAUCCAAGUCUCGGUCGAGAAGGAUUUCCGAAUCCUUGUUGGUCGAGGUCAUCUCAUAAGCUUUCUCGGCGAAGUAAGGUGUUACGAGUUACUACAUUCGGCACAUUGGAAGCCGAAUUUGAUAUUGAACUUCGCUAAGUUAGCAGCCUUGUCUUCAGGCUCUAGAACCCGAAAGCUGAGACAAGUUCCUUCCUCUGCCGCAAUCGCAAGACGCAGAAGUCAGCCGCGCACCCAACGCAACAUCAACAUAUUUUACUCCUCGGUCGACGAGUUGGCACGCCCCGCACACAAUCGAAUGACGUAGUUAGCUCAUAGAUUACUCGGCAUGCGCGCCACAUAGGCUUGGUAGAUUUUAGGGUCAACAGAUUCAAAAUUAAUUUACUUAUAUUUUACUAUAAAUAUAGAUAAAUUAUUUUUAACAUGCAUAUAUAAUAACAAAUAAAAAAUGCCUAAUCUAUGUAAAAUAAUUUACCUACAACAUAAAGAACAUUAAUUGGUUUUAUUUUUUAUUUUUUAUCAAACAAUAUUAUUUGAUGCAAAAUAACUGAUUAUACAAAGGAUUUUCAUUUUUCAUACGAAAAAUGUGCCCAUAAUUGUUUAUGAAUAUGGAUAAAUUAGUGUAUAUAUAUACAUGUUACUAAUAUUUAUGAUACAAGAAAGGUAAAUUUCCAUAUGGGGUUAAUUGCUAAUCAUAAUUAGGGUGAGUAAUAAUAUUUAUUGACAUAAUUAGGGUUUUGUGGCAUAAGUUGUAAAUAUGUUGUAAUAAUUGGUUACAUAUUUGUCUACAUGGUAGUCUAUUUGAAUUUUGGGUUUUAUUUGAAUAUUUAUUACUGGGUGGGUUUUUGUUUGGAAAAUAGGAGUUUCAAGGGCCUUUAUCUAAAGAACUGACACACCCCGAUCCUAGAAUCAAGGUGUGCUGGCCGUCACGUGAGCGUGACGUAACCAAAAGAGCGAUACGGAAGUAAAAGAUAAAAGAAAUACGAAGGAAUAAAAACCAACUACUAGCAAUAAUAUCCAACUAACAUGCUAGAGUGAGUUUAAGUGUGAAACACACAUAUUCAGAGCAUAAGUACUAAGUGCAGUCAAGUAGAACCAUUACUAAAUUACAACACCCGAAAGUGAGUCCUACAUUUAAGUGGUCUAUCAUAACGCCAUGGGAAUCCUCGUGAGCCACCAACAUUGCUAACUAGAACCUGGAGGGGGCAAAACAAGAUUGAGUGGGUCAGUAAAACAAAUCUUUUUCAAAAACAUUAUCUUUUUUCAAAGGUUCUAACCCCUCGCCGUAAAACCUAUAACUUUCCCAGGAAUAUAAAAAUAUAAUUACUUAUCUCAAAACCAGCUCAGAAAUAGUGAUAUGUAAAGUAUAUGCCAUGUUAAAUAUAUUUCAUCAUAUCAUAAGUAUAUCAGUGAAGUUCAUCAUAAAUAAUAACAUGUCAACCGAGUGAUCAGCCCGGCUGAAACUAUAGCUCAUAAUCAAUCUCAUCAAUCAAUCUAGCCGGAGUCACCACAAGUGACCUGUACGGCACUACACUGCACAUAAAUCGGAACUACCUGAAGUAGUCUAUACGACAAGAAUGGUGUAAGAAUACGCUCUAGUGCUUCUCUCAUCAACAGCUGUAUAAUAAUUUAAAGUCACCUACAAGUCGAAACCACCUCUAAUGGUCUGUACGACAUGUCAGAACCACCUCUAAUGGUCUGUACGACAUGCCCCUACUUGGAUCCAAGGUGAGCGUGUGGUGCGGGGUGAAUAAUAUAAGCACUAACACCAGGGGUGCAGGUUAUGAGCUCUCAACAUAAUUUACAUCAUCAACAGUCUCAUAAUUUUAAUUUAUGAACUUACCUGGCACUUACCUGUGCGUCUGUAUCACCAAUCAUGCAUGUAUGCAAUUACUAAUGCAUAAAUAAAAUAGAUAUAUAUUUUGCAUGGCAUUUCAUAACGCAUUUCAUAUCACAUUUCACUUAAAUUGAUUUUCUGGGAAAAAUCUCAUUUAUAUAGGUAUAUACAGAAAAUAAAACUGCCCACUCACCUGGAGUUCACCCUACAACUCCCUAGCACAGCACAUCAAGGCGUCAUGACGAUCGGCGCCUAGAAUAAUCAUCAAGACAUGUCUCAGAAAUCAUAUCGAUAGAACAUAACUUAUAUAAAACACGUCACUAUGUAGAUCGAUCCGGAAAAUCUGCAACUCAGAUUUCUGAUCUGAAACUUCCAGAGAUCUACCUCUAGGACAACAUCCUAAAAUUUCAUUACCAUCCAACGAUCGGAUCUCCGUCAAUUGCCAAAACCAAGUAACGGUUAACAUAUUAUAAUAUGAACUUACAACUCCAAUUCCGAAAGAUCCGUAAAUCGGAUUCCCAAUCCGUAAGUUCCUAUAAUCCUCAAAUAUUACGUAUUACAAGGUAUCAAAGUUUGGUGACGAUCCAACAGUCAGAUCGUCAAUUCACAUUUUCACCUAACCACGAAUCGAAACGAACUUAGGUUCAAUUACUCAAUUUACGUCAAUCAAUUAUCAAAAUUGAACCUAGAACAUUAAACACAUGCUAAGAAUGACAUUGACAGGCCACUGGCCACGCGCCGCCGCACUGGCUCGCCGGUAAAUCCAACUAUCUCAAAAAAUUACCAAAAUUUAUAGAAAUGAAGAUCUCAAUGAGUAGAGUAAACUUUAUACCUGUGGCCAAGGCCAAUUUGGCCUGGAAAGGCUCCAAUUUCAUCAAACCCGUGAAGAACCCUAGAAAUGGGUGUUUUCAAUUCGACCUCCAAAACCACUCCGAUGCUCCAACUAAUGCUUGGGCUUUGUUCUAGGUCCUAAGGGAAUGCUAAUGGUGUUAGUAAUUGAAAGAAAACGCUUCAAGAUUUGAAGAAUUAGUAAACUAAGCCACCGCACACACCAUACGGUUUCAUCCAAUUUCAAGGCCAAAUUCUUUGAUUUUUUGGGUGUAAUAGGAAGAGGGAAGAUCAUAGACGGUUUUCCAAGUGAUGGUUUGAAGUAACUCACUGGAAAAAUGAAGAAAUUUUGACGGAAACGGGUGGAAAACCCACCGGGUCGCGCGGGUCAUGGGUUGAAAACCCAUUUCUGUCUUCUUCCUCCGUUUCUCGCCCUCUCUCCUUUCCUCCUUUUCCCUUCUCUGAUUGGCCAGAAACUUCUCUCUCCUUUCCCCAUUCGCCCAGCUUCUCUCCCGAAACUUUCCUGGAGCUGUCUUCUUCUUCCUUCUGGUUGGGCAGUUUUGCCCGACCCUCUUUCUUCUUUUCUCCACCAGUCACGCGCACACACACAUACACAAAACUUUCCUUCAUCUUUUUAUUUAUUUUUUAUUUCCUUUCCCUUACAUCCAAGCCAUCCAUUUCAGAUUUCCUUUAAUCUGGGCCAUCCAAAUGGCACACCAAAAUUUUAUAAUAAAAUUCAUAAAAUGCCCAAACUUCAAACUUUAAAAUCUUUUUCGUUAUAACUCCAAAUCACAAACCAUCUGCGCCCACGCUUCCAUAGUGACGAAUACUACAAGGAUAUGUCAAUAAAACAAAUCUUGGAUGGCAUGACACAACAAUUAACCUCGAAUAAUGUGCGUGCCUCAAAGGGCAUUUUGUAAAAUCCUUUAUUAAAACUUUAAAAACUCUUAAAAUCAGGGACGGGCUGUCACAAGAACCCUAUUUUCUAUUGAUUGUAAACUUGGUUUAAAAAUGGUCUCUCUGAACAGAUAUUCAUAUCAGAAAUGAAUAUAUUGGGGGAAAGGGAUCCUCUUCGGAUCCCUUCCACUUAAUCAUCCUCAUCAAACAAUUUAGGCCCUUGACAUUUGAUCAAACGACUAAAUGAUAGGAGAUACAAGUGGCAAGCAUGAACCAGUCCACAAUGUGUGUUUGUGUGUGAGGAGAGAGAAUAGAGAUGGAAAUGUUAGAGACCAAAUUUGUAAGGAAAAUGACAAGAAGAUUAUCUUAAAUGUGACUUUCUAUGAACUUUCCACUAUUUUAUGUUUUUGAUACAAUUUUUGUGUCAACGUUAUAAAAUUUUGUGCCAAGAAUAUGGAAUGACAAAGAGUCCAUGAAGAGUCUUACUUUGAGCAAGAUAGUCUCCUUAGCAUUUCUCAAUUUGUAAACUAAAUCUUGUAAACCAAAUGAUGAAAUUGUUGAUGAUUAGUUUAUUACUCAAGUGUUGAUUAACGUGAUUAUUUUCUAUUGAUUGUAAACUUAAUUUAAAAAUGGUUUAACUGAAUAGAUAUUCAUAUUCGAAAUGAAUAAAUUGGGCUCUCACGGUUGACUGUUUAGCCAAAUAAAGUUGGCAACAUUUAAAGAAAAUCAACAUUCUUACCUAAAGAGAGUGGUAUGAGAAAUAUUUGGUUGUCGCUGCUUGUGAGAUCUUUUUCACAUGUGGAUGGGGGGAGGGGGGGUGCAUUUGAUACUAUAAUGAAGUUUUUGUCAUUGUCAUUGAGACGGAAAGACGUAAUAUCUUUACCUUUCCUGUUUGGGCGAAACAACUUUUUUAAUUGCAUGUUUUUCUGGGACCAAGCCAACUGCAAAUAUCGUGAAAUAUCUAAAGUAAGCGUCUUGUUUGGACCUUUUGUUUUUGGAACUUUAACGAAAAACACCCGGUACUGUUCACUUUAACGAAAAAUCAUAUUUUUAUACUAAAAAGUCAAUCCUGGUACUAUUCACUCUACCCUUUAUUUUGUUCUUAUCAUUAAAACUCAAAGUUUUCAAACUCUUUUCAUUAGGUUUUUUUUUUUUUAGUGUUAUACUUUCUUAUUAGAGUGUUUAUUUCUAGGUUUAGGGUUUUGUUUGUGAAGAAAAUUGAGGUUCCAAUAUAGAAUUUAUUCUCAACAGUUUGGACUCGAAUUUCUUAUAUUAUUGGCUCGUAUGUUUGGAGCUGCUAAGUUGAAAGAAGAUCAAGAAAAUUUUCAAUCAUUUUUUUAGAUACUAUUGUGGUUUUAAUAGUCAUGGUAUUGUCUGAAAAUUAUUGGCAAUUAUCUUGAAAAUGCAAGGAUAUUUAAAGAGCCUGGGAGAUUGAAAUGUCAUGGGAUUUUAAGAAUAUGAGGGUCAAACUUGACUAGCCAUGGGGAAAUUAUCUUGAUAGUUUGAUAGCAAACUGUCAAGAUAAUGUGAUUAGCUUGUAGGCUUGUACGUCGAUGUCAUAGCAAAUUGCAUUAAGAUAAUUUUAAAAGUUGAAUUGGCUAAUCAAAGAUGUGAUAAAAGAUGGCAAAAUAAUGAUCACAUCACUUCCUUGGUGAUUUUACACGCUGCUUGUUCCAAUAGCAUCAAUUGCGUGCUGCUAGUAAUUGUUGGAUUUUUAGAUCGUCAGCUCUGUUUCACUCUAACGAUAUCGAUACUGUCCUCAUCUUUACCACCUGCCCAAUUGGUCAAGUGUGGGGUUGGAUUUUUAGAUCGUCGGCUCCGUUCCACUUUAACGACACCGAUAUUGUCCCCACUUGCCCAAUCCGUUGUUCCAAUAGCAUCAAUUGCAUGCUGCUUGUAAUUGUUGGAUUUUUAGAUCGUCAGCUCUGUUUCACUCUAACGAUAUCGAUACUGUCCUCAUCUUUACCACCUGCCCAAUUUGUCAAGUGUGGGGUUGGAUUUUUAGAUCGUCGGCUUCGUUCCACUUUAACGACACCGAUACUGUCCCCACUUGCCCAAUCCGUUGUUCCAAUAGCAUCAAUUGCAUGCUGCUUGUAAUUGUUGGAUUUUUGGAUCGUCGGAUUUGUUUCACUCUAACGACACCAAUACUGUCCCCAUCUUUACCACCUGCCCAAUCUGUCAGGUGUGCCAUCUUUAUCACAAAAUGCCUCUGUAUUAGUUAGAGUAGGGUAAUAAUACUAUUUAAACCUAUUGUGGAGAUCCAUAGCUUAUCUGAUGUGGGAUUCUUAAUACUUCUUCUCAUGUGUAACCUCAUUUAGUGGUUCACAUGUGGAGAUUCACGUCGGUAAUUGCAAGGGCCCGAAACCGUGGGCUCUGAUAUCAUGUUGGAAUUUUAGAUCGACAGGCCCGCCUCACUCUAACGACACCGAUAUUGUCCCCAUCUUUACCACAUGCCCAAUCCAUCAAGUGUGGGGUUGAAUUUUUAGAUCAUCGGCUCCGUUCCACUUUAACGACACUGAUAUUGUCCCCACUUGCCCAAUUCGUUGUUCCAAUAGCAUCAAUUGCAUGCUACUUGUAAUUGUUGAAUUUUUAGAUCGUCGGUUCCGUUCCACUCUAACGACACCGAUAUUGUCCCCAUCUUUACCAUCUGCCCAAUCCGUCAGGUAUGAGGUUGGAUUUUUAGAUCGUCGGAUCUGUUCCACUCUAAUGACACCGAUAUUGUCCCCAUCUUUACCACAUGCCCAAUCUGUUAGGUGUACCAUCUUUACCCUAUCUUUACCACCUGUCAAAUCUAUCAGAUGUGCCAUCUUUACCACAAAAUGUCUCUGUAUUAGUUAGAGUAGGGUAAUAAUACUAUUUAAACCCAUUGUGGAGAUCUACAGCUCAUCCGAUGUGGGAUUCUUAAUACUCCUCCUCAUGUGUAACCUCAUUUAAUGGUUCACAUGUGGAGAUUCACGUCAGUAAUUGCAAGGGCCCGAAACCGUGGGCUCUGAUACCAUGUUGGAUUUUUAGAUUGACAGGCCCGCCUCGCUCUAACGACACCGAUACUGUCCCCAUCUUUACCACAUGCUCAAUCGGUCAGGUGUGAGGUUUUACCACAAAAAACCUUGGUAUUAAUUAGAGUAGGGUAAUACUAUUUAAACCCAUUGUGGCACUUUAUCCCCACCGAUGUGGGAUUAUUAACAGUAAUUAUCAUGUGGUAUGAAGUUUUAGGAAGCAUGGUGCAGUCGAAAUUGCUUGUAUAGUUUAUCAUCCAAGGCAUACAUGUCUCUAUAAUAUACCGCACAACGUGAAAAGGACUUUCAAUUCAACCAUCAAUGCUCUGUGAAACCCUUCACAAUCCUGCGUGAAAAAUACAAACGGAUUUACUAUCAGUCAAACACAUAUAGCGUUUGGUUAAACAAAUUUGAGUUGGCAGCCGAUGCAAAUUCAGUUUGGUUAGAUAUGUUUGGGUUGGCAACCAGCAAAUAUGACAGUUUGGUUAAACAGCACCAGAGUUGUAGAAUUUAUCCAGUUUAGGAGUCUUGACAGUCUGAUUAAACAAAAAGUUUCCUAAGUUCGACUGGCUAUCUAACCCAAAUCUUUGCCGACGAACACAUUGGUCAUGGAGGAGGUGCUUCGUUGUAGAAACUGCGCUGAUUCGGGAAAGAGAGGAAUCCGUAGGAUGAGAACAGUGGCGGAUCCAGGAAAUAAUGUUUGGGGGGUCAAUAAGGAUAGCGCGCAGUGCGUAAAUUUUUUUUAACAGAAACGGCAUGCAUAUUGUCAUUUCAUCGAGUCUUGGUAGGAUAACGCGACCAGCUACUCCAAAAUCCUUGUUCAAAGGUCCUAAACGUUCAAACCUGGAGGAAGAGAUUGCUUCAACUUGUCGGCCUUCUCGGAAUCAAACACACAAAGUGUGUAAAGGUACUUGGAGCACCGAACCUUGAACUUGACAGCAUCCUUGGUCCUUUUGAUUUUGACAUUGCGGGCAUCCUUCCUUCUUGCAGUUAGAAGGAAAUCCUUGAUCUUAUGGAUCUGCUUCGGCAUUUUGCUUGUUGCUCGGUCGAGACCGGAGGCUGCGUGUUCUCUCUCAAAGUCCGCUUAUCUCUAUUUUGAUGUUUCCUGGUAUGAACUACCAGUACACUCUGAUUUCAAAUAGUUCUGAAAACAGAAGUACUUCUGGUGGAAGUGAUAAUUCCAAUCCCACAAGUUCCUUGAAUAUAAAGAGAUUUUGUUAUGUACUCUCAAGAGAAGUGCGAAAUCAUGCAUUUGAUCUCAAAUACUCAAGUCGUUGCUCUCCUGCCAAGAACUGCACUCAUUUGUUCGCAUCUGAUUUGGCUCGUGUUGUUUCGUUGAAGCCUAUCGAGUGUCUGAAAGAUGCGAAAAGGUUGAGAUUUCUGGUGGAAUUUGUAGACAGCAACAACGUCUGGUAUCGAAGGCCAUUCGAUCUCAAUACAACUUUGAUUGGAGAAGGCUCAUGGGAUGCAGAGACAAAUCAGCUGUCUUGUGUUGCAUGUCGAUUCUUGGAUGCAGCAGGUUCUUGGAACAAUACUCGUGUUGGUGAUUGUUCAACAAGAAUUACCUUGAGGUUUCCUGCUUAUGGACAAUCGGGAAGACAAGUAGCAUGGCAGGGGAGAUUUGGAGCAACAAAAAUGUCACAGAGUUGGGUUACUUUGAAAAGAUCAUGUUAAAAAGUCCUCAGGAUGACAUCGGAAAGGUUCUGAUUCCUGGUGUGAAGUAUGAGUACACCAAAACCUAACAAGUAAGCAAUUUGUCUUCAACCACCCCAGCCGAGGAGUUCUUUCAGACCUUUCGUCGAACACUUGAUGUGCAGCUAAGGGGUCUCACCAACAGCUCCAAGGGUCGCACCAGCAGCUCCAAGGGGUCUCUAAGGUUGUUUCCAUGGCUUCCAAGGGGUCGUGUGACCCCAUUGACCCCAUUGUGGAUCCGCCACUGGAUGAGAAGGAGGCAGAGGUUGAAGGGACCAAGGAGAGGAAAGGAGCGGAGAAAGGAUAUGCGGUGGAGAUGUAAGGCCCAAAUCGAUUUUUUAAUUUUAUAAUAUUUUUUAUUUGGUUUAAAAUAACUAACAAUUUUUUAUUAAUUUUUUGUCUAAGUGGUUAAAAUUUGGAUCCUCCUGACCAAGACCAAAUCCAACGGUUACAAACAAGAAGAUCGUUUUAAAAUUAUGAUAAUUAUAAUCUUUAGAUGAAAAUUCAACGGCCCUGUCUUGAUCAAGAGAAUCAUUUCCUUGGGCUCAGGGGAGGAUCCAAAUUUCUUCUAAUCCAAAUUUGACAUCCAUAUCAAAAUAUGACUCUACAUUUGCCACGUCAUCAUUUAACAAUCAAAUUAACAGAAAAUUUAACGAGGAUUGGACAAAAUGCUGUGUUUUGCCUGUUUCUAGAAUUGAUUUAAUUUUAUUUUGGCCCUCGAUAAAGAGUUUGCAAGUGAAAUCUAGGUAAAAGCGUAAUAUUUUCAUAGACAUCGAAAUUAAGACAGCCACAUCACACAGUUUAUAGAAACUUAAUAGACACCGGAAACACAAUCCACAUAGCAGACUGGCUUAUAGAUGACACAAUAUUCAGAUAACAAACUUCUCAACUGAGGGUUCAGAACUUCAGAGAGACGCAUUCUGCAGAGGUCGAUGUUGCUGCAGGUUGCAACGACUCAGAAACCGUGAAUUUUGAUAUUGUCUUUCUUCACAAUCCCAGCCUGUAUAAAACAAAAUUGUGAAUCAGGACCAGACUCCUCCAAAUUGGCUCUGUAAGACCAUCUAAUGGAAUAAUUAAGGAAGCAACUUUGACGGUUUUAUAAUACAUGUAGAACAUUUAACGUCAUCAAACCAUUCUGUGAACUACCUGGACUAGAAAGGUAGAUACGUUCUUUCGCUGAUCACCUUGAAGCUGAAUGACCUACGGACAAACAACAAUACAACAAUUAGGGGGUGUGUAUUAGAAACUAUAUUAUAGAUUUUACUGUUAAGCACGCACCUGUCCUAGUUCUGGGUCCUGGACAACGGUACCAUUGCAGCAAAAUUCCUUCUUAAGGUCUUUGAGUAUCUUGUUAUAGCUAAACUCUUUCUUCAAUCCCUGCACAGUAGUCAGGCUUUUCCUGCCAUUGCGUUGCUGUACACGGAUGUGUACAUACUCUUUUGUCCCAGCACCCGAGUCCUCAGCAGUUGCCUCGGCAAAGGGAUCUGAACCCAAGAAACAGCAAUUCAAUUAGAUAAAUGGAGGGACGCACAAGAAAGGAUGAAAGACAAGCAAGGCAACGAUAGAUGCUCACAUCUCAUAAGAUCAUAAAAAAUUUAAAGCACUAAUCCAAUGUUCAAAUAGUGAAAACAAAAACCUAAUGUGAGGAUGUCAUGAAAAAUAGCCUUUCAUACUCCAGCCCCCUCAUGCAAAAUUAGACUAACAAGCAGCAGAUAUUUUUUUCCACGGUCUUAACCAAAUAUUCUAUACUCUCGUUUCGCACUCUGAAGGAUCAAUAAAUCAGAUUUUUUUACUUGCCAACUAUGUAUAAGCACAGAAAAACUCAUCAGCAAUCAAGAGAACUGAGGGGAAAAUAAAGGGGGUAGCCUUCUACAAGCGUAUAAACUUAUCAUUUUUAUCACUUACGCACAAGGCGGUGAAAUUUUUUAGUUUUGAGCAUAACUCAGAUUCCUAAGAAUGGUAUGCUCUCCCACUUUACGUACAAUUAUUUAGAAAAUAUCAAACAACUAGACACAAAUCUAUAUACCUUACAGUAAAAGCCCACUAAAUUAUAAUGGAGUAGCCUAGCUCCAUCACUUUUCAUAAGUUUUUAGGAAAAGAGAUGUAAUCUAUCCUAGUGAAUGUGGAUUUGAUGCACAAGAUCGUCUCUGCUGUGCUUAUAUUAUAUAAAAGUGAAAAUGACUUCCGAUCGUCCCUGCUCUGCUGUGCUCAGUAGAUAAGAAGCUAAGAAGCAACAGUAACCCAUAACUUUAAUGCCUACAGUUCAAAUCCCCACACUCACAACCCUAUAUUUUGACCAGUACAUAUUAAAUCAGAUCGUAUAGACCACGUUCCAAACAAUUGAACCAAUGCCUUCAGAAAGAAUUGUAGCCAAAUCAAACCAUGUAGGUUAUCAAAAAUGUCCAGAUAAGCAGUUUAGCUUGGUUUCUUGAGUAAAUCAGGUUGUCAGAUUGCUGAAUUACUCUAGUUGACACUAUCUCUUGAUAAACAACAACAAACCAAUUUCUCAAACUCCACGUCUACUAAAUUGCAACAGUAUUGAAUGUCGGUGACUAAAAAUGCUCUCGAGCAUAUAGGUGCCCAGUUUUUCAACCAAUCAAACGUCCUGGAGCUAUUAUCCAACUUAUCCAAUUGGAUUCGAAUACAGGCGCACACAAGCAUGCGUUCAAGCACAUAAACACACACAAAUGAGUUACGAAUCAGCCCUAAACAUACCAAAGGCAGUGGGAAGCUGUACGUCGAUGUCAGACAUGAAACUUAGCUGAUUCAACUAAGCGACCCUGCUAACCGGAAUGCUCAGACCUGGAUCACAUUAAACAAAAAAUAUAAAUCUUCAUGUCCUCCAUCACAUAUAAUCAAGAUAAUAACACAAAAAGAACAGAUCACAUAAUCGAAAAGAAUUUUCGCAACUCUUCCGGAAUAAUCAACUGCGUAAUCACAAGGGAGUAAACAAAAUCUAUAUCGAAUCAAUUGCAAUCCCACCCUCGGAAAAAACUAAUUGACACCGAAAAACAAAGAGGGUUCGAAAAAAGCACCAAACUUUUCGGCUUCAUCUAAUCAAACAUGAAAAUAAUAUAUUUUUCAAGUACUUUACUGGAAAAAUUAAAAAUCAGAACACCAAAAAGAACUUAAUUCCCAGUUUUUUUUCCAGAGCGUCCUGUAAAUAAUAAAAAUUAAUGUAAUUCCACCUCUCAGAAUAAUAUCAAUUUAAAAAAAUUAAAAAAUUAAAAAAUUUCCAAUUUAUACAAAACCCCUAAAAUUCGGACCAGAUAUUAAACCAUCAAAAACCCUAGAACAAAGACGAACAGAAAUCGGUAAGGGGAUCGAAGAACGAAUUACCUGAUCUGAUAAUUAGGGUUUUGGAAUUGGCGAGUCGGAUCGAGAAAAAACCCUAACCCCAAAUAUCAGAUGAGCCUGAGCGAGCUCUCUCGACCGCGUUUAGUAGAUUGCUGUUUGGGAAGACGGAAAAAGUGAACAGAAAAUUGGGGCUUUGAGAUAGAUAUUUAUUGAAUAAACAAAUAAACAAAUAAUAAUUAAAUAAACUUAAAAAUAUGUGCAAGGGGGAGAGUGGUUUUGGUCAUUUGCACGCGCAGGGGUUUCAUUAGAUAGUCCACGCGCUGAUGAGAGCACUAGUUUUGGGUUUGGUUUAUUUGAGUGACAGCUGUGGGUAGCUGGGAGCGAGUAGAAGUUGAAACAGAAAAACAAUGUCUGGCUUUCUGAGUUGGUAAGUCGGUCUAAUGACCUUGUCCAUUCUGGGCAAUAAACCGCACCGUCUCUUGCCGAGUCCGCGUGAAGGGCAAAAUAGAUGAGUCUUCCUAAAAAUCUAACUCUGAUCUAAGUUAGUAUUACAGUUUUGUAAUAUUUCUGUUUACUUAAAAAUAGAAAGUCUCAUAUUUGACACAUCAAAAAUACAUAUAGAAGUUGAAUACCCAUUUCUUAGACUAGAAUAUCUCAAUUCUCGUAGAGUAAAAUAUCGUUAUAGAAAGAAAAAAUCACACUUGUAUUUAUUUUUUUAUUGUUUCCACCCCCUGAGAAUUUACAAUUUAAGGUAAACUCCUUCAAAGUCAAAACUAUCUUCAAAGCUACUUAAUAUAAUUUGGGUGCGGUUGUUGCACCAGACUGUCUCGGACUGAACUAGCUUCAGAGACUAAGCUGGACUGGCUUAAACUAGACUAAGCUAAACUAUAUUAAUGAAACAUUUGGUGCAGUGUCAGAUUAAAAAGAAGGAUAAUGAAAAUCAAUGAAAAAUAAACCUAUUUGAACAAUCACAACAAAAGAAUUCGAUAAUACGACAUCAUAAACUAACCAACCUAGAUUCAUUAUAGAAGGAAAAUUGAAAUUAACUAAAUCCACUUUUCUCUACCUACCCAAUUCAAACCAAAACAAAACAAUUUCUCAUAAUUAAAACAUAAUAAUAAAUUUCUCACAAAGCUACCCAAUAAAAUAAAAAAUUGGGUAAAAAAUUGUAUUUUAAUCCUUUUGUCCAUCGCUAUAUGAGGUUCUAAAAUGUGAGCCCAGAAAUUGUGUUGCUCCUUAAAUUGAACGACAUCGUCGCCACAACCACAAAUCAACAAAUCCAAUUGAUGGCACUACAGAUCCAUCUUCGUCACCUUCGUGCAGUUGUGGUCGACCCUAGCCUUAGGCUGUCGGUCUUCGAACUCAGUCUUCAAACCCAGCCUUCGAAUGUCUCAUCGUUCGGGCCACUGUUGUAGACCCCCAGCCCUCAAUCGAUCACGAUAAUCAAAUAAACAUUCCCUUUUCUAAUUGAUCCACCACCCAAGGAGUGUUCUGUCACCUCGGCGAAGAGGAGUGGGUGGUGCUGACAUCGAUCCGAGUCUAGGUUGUCGGUGCAAAGAGAUAGAGGAAGGGAGAGAGAGGAUGCAAAGUGCAGGAACAGACGUGAGAAGACGAAGGUCUUAGCAAUCCCAUGGUUUUGCGGGGGUCUCGCUAAGAACUUCUAGUGAGGCCCUUAGUCGACGCGUAUCCCGGCUAGUACCAUUAAAGUUAAUCUGCGCGAGUAACAAACACGGUACUGGACAAAUCUUUAAUCAUGUCUAGUCCAACAAAGGCUAACGAGUGCAAACAAACGCACCCUUUAGGGUAAACUCCACAUUAGUAAAACUGUUCGUCAACCAAAAACUAAUAAAAUUAUUACUAUACCCUUUAAUACAAAACUGAAAGAAGAUAUUAGAAAAUAAAACAAUUUGGGCAUUAAAGUAAUUUUGUACAAAUAAGUUUUUUCUAAGUACAUCGAUAUUUUUACACUAGGGGGAGGGGAAGUUCGGCUAAGCCACACAAUGGGCAACCUUAUUUGGUAUCGAAUUCGCCUAUUAGGGAGAAUGACAAGUCAUCAAAUGUAGUUACUGUUAAAUAGUUUGUUAAAGCUAAAUGUAAUCAGUUUUGUUAGUAACUGUAGUUAGUCAAGGUAGUUAAGGGUAUUCUUGUAAUUAGCCUAAGGCAGCUAAGGCUAUAUAUAUUCACAUCUGUACAACUGAAUUAUUGAUUCAAUACAAUCAAGAAAACUUACUGUUGAAGUUUUCUGUUUCUAUAUGGUAUCACGCCAUCCUGCUUUACAGCACCGACCUUCUCUUCCGCUCGACCUCUCGAUCGAUUCCUGAUCGAUUCUUGCUUUCUUCUUUCUGAUUCUUCAGCUUUUCAUUCCCGAUCUCUCUUGAAUCUUGAUCGCUGCAAGCUAUGGUUGCUCAAUCUGCAUCGCAACCUAUUAGGUAUUCUUCUCCGAUCAUCUCUCAUUCGGUCCAAAACCCUAAUUCCUCUUCUAAUCCGAGUCCUCUGAAUUCGUAUACUUCUCUUACGAUUCACAACAUCGGCAGUAUGGUUCCAAUCAAGCUGAAAAGUUCCAACUAUCUGCCAUGGCGAGCACUGUUUGCUCCAAAUUUCCGGCGAUACAAGCUUCUUGGUAUCAUUGAUGGCAUUGAGAUUUGUCCUUCACCAUUCUUGCCCGAUCGCUCAAUGAAUCCUGCCUUCGAGGAUUGGUAUGAAAAAGAUCAAAACCUAUUGAUCUGGCUCAAUUCUACCCUAUCAGAAGAACUCAUUCCGUUCACAGUUGGUGUUUCUUCUUCUCGAGAACUCUGGGUAAAGCUUGAACAAAGUUUUGGUGGAAUUUCAGAGGCUCAUAUUCACCAAUUACGAUCAAGACUUCAAUCAAUUCAGAAAGGAUCUCAGUCCAUUUCUGCGUAUCUUCAACAAAUCAAGGAAAUUGCUGAUUCCUUGCACAUUGCUGGUGCUUCGGUGUCUGAUCGUGACCUAAUUGCUGCCACUCUAUAUGGAUUACCUGAUGAAUUCGAGUCUUUUAUUGACUUCAUCAUGCUGCGGCUCUCUUCUACAUCUCUUGAUGAACUCCAUGGCCUCUUACUCACCAAGGAGUUGUCUAUGGCUCGUCGCAAGGCUGCUAUUUCCUCAUCUGCAACUGAACCUUUUCAGGCCUUCUCAGUGCAAUCUCAGCCUCCCUUGCUUUCUACUCCAUCUGUUUUUUCUACUCAGUAUCAACCAUUUCACUCUGCUUUCCGAUUUAACUCAAAUCGUGGUAAGCCAGCUCGAGGUAAUUUCUCAUCCAAUCGCAGCAAUCGCUAUUUUCAUAAUAAUAGGGGCACUUUCACCAACAAUCGUGGCAAUCGAAAUUAUCAAGGUUCUUCCACUUUCAAAGUUCCUUGUCAAAUUUGUGGUUCUACCAGUCAUGAGGCAAUUGACUGCUUUGAUCGUAUGAAUCCGGAUAUCUGCGGUCGAAUUCCUUCAGCCAAACUUGCUGCAAUGUGUGUGCAUCAUUCAGCAAAAUCUGCUCAGCCUUGGUUAAUUGAUUCUGGCACCACCUCCCACAUCACCAAUGAUGUAGCCAAUAUUUCUUCUCUAACUCCUUACACUGGAGAGGACAAAGUGUACAUUGGAGAUGGUAAAGGAUUAUCUAUCCAUCAUAUUGGUUCCUUAUCUCUGCACACUCCUCAUUAUUCCUUUAAACUGAGCAAUGUUUUACAUGUUCUUUUCAUGAAACAUAAUCUCUUAUCUGUUUAUCAGUUUCUUAAGGAUAAUAACUGUUCAUUGACUCUUGACCCUUAUGGAUCCACUGUCAAGGAUCGCAUUUCGGGGAAGAUGCUUUUGCAAUGACCUGUUAGGGAUGGUUUCUAUCCUCUCAACAAUUCCACCAGUUCUUCUUCUUCACCUUCAGCGUUUUUCAGCAUUCAAGCACCAGUCACUGUAUGGCACAAGUGCCUCGGACAUCCUUCCUCCUCAAUUUUUCGAAGAGUCAUAUCUACCAAUAAUCUUGCACUGCAAGGCAAGAAAAUUGUUGAUUUUUUCUGCUCAGAUUGUGCACUUGCUAAGAACCACAAGCUUCCUUUUGGAGUGGCUUCUUCAUCAACAACUCACAGUCUCUAACUUCUGCAUUGUGAUCUGUGGGGACCUGCCUCUAUAACAUCUAAUAAUGGCUUCAAGUAUUAUUUACUUCUUGUUGAUGAUUUUAGCAAGUACAGUUGGUUUUUUCCAUUGAAGUCUAAGUCCGAUGUAUUUUCUACAUUUGUUACUUUCAAAACCUAUGUAGAAAACUUCACUGGCAAUAAAAUCAAGAUUCUGCGUUCAGAUUCAGGGGGUGAAUUUACUAGUCACUCUCUUACUUCAUUUCUUCGUGAUCAUGGUAUAUUGCAUCAAUUUAGUUGUCCACAUACGCCUGAACAAAAUGGCUGUGCAAAGAGAAAGCACAGACAUCUUGUUGAGACAGCUCACACAUUACUUGUAGCUUUUCAAGUUCCUCAGGUUUUUGGGUUAAAGCCUUCUCCACUGUAAUAUAUCUUAUAAAUCGACUUCGUAUUUCUGGUCUUACAAAGUCACCGUGGGAACUUCUUUUCCACCAUCAUCCAGAUUACUCUAAACUGAAAGUAUUUGACUGUCAAUGCUAUCCCUGGCUUAAACCGUACAUUCACAGCAAAUUGGAUGCUAAGAGUAAAAGUUGUGUGUUUUUGGGCUAUAGUCUUCAACAUAAAGGCUAUAGAUGUCUUGAUCCUGUCACUAAUAGAAUCUACAUAUCAAGACAUGUUGUCUUUGAUGAAACAACUUAUCCUUUUACAUCAUCGCCGCCCAAUAGUCCCACUUCAGAGAUUUCAUUUUCUACACCUUCUCCAUCCUUUGACCUUAAAUUCAGCAAACAUUUUUCCAGUUCUCCUCCAGUCAGUACCUCUUCAGCACCACAGUGUUCUUCUGUACCAUCCUAUCAAUCGGAUUACAUCUUCCAAUGAAACUUCUUUCUGUAAUCAGUCAGUGGAUAAUUCUCACACUUCUUCCAGCUCUGCCUCUUUCAAUGACUCAUCUUUCUUACCUAUUCAGCCUAGUAAUCCACCUAUUUAUGGGAAUACACAUCCUAUGAUUACAAGAUCUAAGGCUGGAAUAUACAAGUCUAGAGCUUAUGCAGCAAUAAAACAUCAACUUCCAGUUGAUCUUGACUUUGUUCCUAGUACUUAUUUACAAGCAUCAAAGCAUGCUCACUGGCGAGCUGCAAUGCAGGCUCACUGGCGAGCUGCAAUGCAGGCUGAAUAUAAUGCCUUAAUAACCACAGGCACUUGGUCUUUUAUUCCCUCUCAUCCUUCUCAGAAUGUUGUUGGAUGUAAAUGGGUGUUCCGGGUCAAGAAAAAUCCUGAUGGAACCAUUGACAGAUACAAAGCACGCUUGGUGGCAAAGGGCUUUCAUCAGCAAGAAUGAGUUGACUUUCAAGAAACCUUCAAUCCUGUUGCUAAACCAGUCACCAUUCAGAUUCUUCGUACACUUGCUGUCCAAGAUAAUUGGUUCUUGAAUCAAUUAGACAUUAGUAAUGCAUUCCUCCAUGGUGAUUUAAAGGAUGAUGUUUACAUGCAACAACCUCCUGGUUUUAUUGAUCCUAACUCUCCCCAUUCUGUUUGCAAGCUGGAGAAAUCCUUAUAUGGCCUCAAACAAGCUCAUCGAGCUUGGUUUGAUAAAUUGUUUCAAGCUCUUCGAACACUCGGCUUUCAUCAAUCUCAAUCUGAUGCCUCUUUGUGUUGUCUUUAAUGGACCUUAGUUGGUUAUUGUCCUUGUUUAUGUAAAUGACAUCUUAGUUACUGGACCCAACUCUCAACUCUGUCAAUAGUUUAUCCAACAACUUAGUACUCAAUUUCCAGUAAAAGAUCUUGGUCCUUUACACUAUUUCUUAGGGUUGGAAGUCCACAGAUCCAACAAAGGCAUAUUUCUUCAUCAGACCAAGUAUUUACUUGAUCUUCUUAAGAAAACAAAUAUGGAGGGUGCCAAACCUUGUUCGACUCCUCUUGGUUCUUAGAAACUGGAUCACAGUGGGCCUCUCUUGUCAAAUCCCACUGAAUAUCGCUCUAUAGUUGGUGGUUUACAAUAUCUCACUUGGACUCGACCUGAACUUGCCUUUGCUAUUAAUCAGAUAUGUCAAUUUAUGCAUGCUCCCCGAGAACAACAUCUUCAAGCAGCAAAACGGGUUCUCAGAUUUCUUAAAUGCUCUAUUUCUCAUGGUUUAUGGUUCACCACAGGUCCUAUUAACCUUUCAGCAUACUCUGAUGUUGAUUGGGCUGGCUGCACCUUUGAUAAGCCGUCCACCAGUGGAUAUUGUGUAUUUCUUGGUCCAAAUCUUAUCAGUUGGAGUGCAAAGAAACAAAGUACUGUUGCUCGUUCCUCCACAUAAGCUGAAUAUCGUUCCUUAGCACAUUCUGCUGCAAAACUAACUUGGGUUUGCAAAAUCCUCAAAGAUCUUCAUUCUCCUCUCCCUACACUGCCUACCCUAUGGUGUGAUAAUAUUUCAGCAAUCUCUUUGGCAUCUAAUCCUAUUUUUCGUGCUCGCACCAAGCAUAUUGAGAUUGACUAUCACUACAUCCGGGAGUUGGUUCUCGCAAAUCUCAUCAAAGUCUACUAUGUUUGCAGUGAAGACCAAUUGGCUGAUCUUCACACCAAAUCUUUGUUUAAAAGCAGAUUAUCUUAUUUGUGUUCCAAGCUUCCAAUUGGAAUCCUAUCUGAUUCCUCUUUUAGCUUGAGGGGUGUAUUAGGGAGAAUGACAAGUCAUCAAAUAUAGUUACUGUUAAAUAGUUUGUUAAAGCUAAAUGUAAUCAGUUUUGUUGGUAACUGUAGUUAGUCAAGGUAGUUGAGGGUAUUCUUGUAAGGCAACUAAGGCUAUAUAUAUUCAUAUCUGUACAACUAAAUUAUUGAUUCAAUACAAUCAAGAAAACUUACUGUUGAAGUUUUCUGUUUCUAUAUCGCCAUCCACGAAAUUCGAACCUAAGACCUCUCACUUCUAAGUGAAGAUGAAUACUACCAGACCGUAGUACUAAGUGGUUAUACAAACAAGUUUUUACUGUUUUUUUUUCUAAACUCCACAACUAUGUCACUUUACUAAGGAGCAGGGGAGUGGGCUUAGUCUCACAACGGGCUAGCAAUAAUGUGAUUCAAAUUCACAUUUGACGAGAAUCGAACCUGAGACCUCUCAUUUAUAAGUAAAGAUUAAUAACAUUAGAUCAUAGUACUAAAUGACCUAAAUGAGGCAUCUAACAUGUGUGUUUCAAAAGUUCUUUUCUUUCUUUUUCUAUAUGACUGUACGUCUUGUAACUAUGCAGCCAGUCAGAAAUACAUUUUAUUGUAAAAAAAAUUAAAAAAAAAAGAGUAAUUUUAGCCAAUUUCAGAAACAGUUGGUAUCCUAAAAACUCAAAAGUAUGGUUCAACCAGUCUUCUAUCUCUUUCCAAGAUUCAAAAUCUUCCAAACAAAUUGUUUGUAAAUUUGAAAUCUAGCAUCCGUGAUUUUCUAAAAUUUGGAUUCUAUUUUUUGAUAAGUGCUAAUAAUAUCCUAUUAAAACUUGGCGUGCAUGCCAAGGAAAAUAAUUAAUCCUUAUGCGUGGCAUAGACUUGUGGCUUUUAAUGCAUUAAGUCGGCAUUCGAUCCUAUAAAUUAAGGCUCUUCGAUGCCAAAUCAUUCAUCGUUGAAAGCAAAGGCAUAUAGAAGUUCUGUGUAGCUGGCUCUCGUUCUCUCUCAAGGUUUGUACAUAUUUUCCAUCAUAUUCUGCAGUUAACGUUCUUCAGUAUGUUUUUAGGGUUUGAUUAAUUGUUUGAUUCAAUCAGUUAUUUCCUAGAAUUAUUUUUUAUCUUUCAUUUUUUUAUGAACGCCUGAGAACAUUGGAAAUUUAGAACACAAAUUUGAUUAAAAUUUUAUAUAUUCGUUUGAUUUGAUUAGUUACUUUGCUACAAUAAAUUUUGUAUAAAUUACAGGAAAAUAUUGGAGGUUGUUUUGUAUUCAAUUUGAAAAAUAAAUUUUAGUUUUAACAAAAUUUUAGUUUUAACAAGUGAUGAAUGUAAGGAGUCUUUUGUUUCGAAAACAAAGAAACUGAUACCAAACGGGAUCUUAAGUAAUUAAGGGCAUUGAUUUACGAUUUUUUUCUUCUCUAAACAGAUGCAGAUCUUUGUGAAAACCCUAACCGGAAAGACCAUCACCCUCGAGGUUGAAAGCUCCGACACCAUUGACAAUGUCAAAGCCAAGAUCCAAGACAAGGAAGGUAUUCCCCCAGACCAGCAAAGGCUGAUAUUUGCCGGCAAGCAGCUCGAGGACGGCCGCACCCUCGCCGACUACAACAUCCAGAAGGAGUCCACCCUCCACCUAGUUCUCCGUCUCCGUGGUGGUAUGCAAAUCUUCGUCAAGACCCUUACCGGGAAGACCAUUACUUUGGAAGUGGAAAGCUCCGACACUAUUGACAAUGUUAAGGCUAAAAUCCAGGACAAGGAGGGCAUCCCUCCGGACCAGCAGAGGUUGAUCUUUGCAGGCAAGCAGCUCGAGGACGGAAGGACCCUUGCCGACUACAACAUCCAGAAGGAGUCCACCCUUCAUCUUGUACUCCGCCUCCGCGGUGGUUUUUGAAUUCGAGCUCAUUGAUGCUUGUCCCAGCCUCCUGGUCUGAGGAGUAGAAGUGAAUCUAAUGUAUUCUUUUGUGGCUGUGUAUUGCCAGUAAUUUGGGUUAUUAAUACUGCUUUCGUAUGUGCUUUAUGCUGUUGCAAUUUCUAUUAUUUUGGUACUCCUGCAUUCAUUUGUUUAAAUUGUGUGUUGAGAAUAUUUAAACUAGCAUUUGUAUGUUGAGGGAUAACUUAUACCUUACGUGCAUGUAUGUAUAUUGGUGUGUUACGAAAAAUUCUGUUAACAAUGUCACUAAUUCAUUAUCUAGAAAAAUGUACUGAAUUUGCAUGUGCAUCAGUAUUGUAUUGAUUUUGUUGAAAAUAUAUCGAUACUUUGUCGGUACAUUCUGUUGGUCACAGUAAAUAUUGGUGAAAUAUAUCAUGUACUCAUGGUCUAGCCUAACUGUUCAUUUGCAAUGCAAAUAACACCUCAUAGCAAAAUUGGUAGCCUACUUUUCCAAUGACCAGUGUAACUCUAAAAGUGACUCCCCCAACUUCAUGAUCUGUGCAUGACCAGUUUUGGGUUGGAAGUCACAAAUAAGCGAAGUACAUACACUACAAGAAAAAAGGCUAAUUGUCACAGAGCAAGUGCGGUCGUUGCUAGGAAAAAGGCCAAUUGCCACAGAGCAAAUGCGGUUGUUGCUAGGGUUGUUAUUGCUAAAAGUGUGACAAUUGCUAUGCUAACAACGCCCCCCCCUCUCUCUUGCUGCUUCUCGCAGUGAUAACUACAUAUGAUAUGAGUCAACUAUGAAGUACCUCAUCAGCGAUGUAAACUAGCUAUGAUUGACUUACAUUGCUAGCUAGACCUAACUGUGCAACACCAUUUUAAUUCCAAAAUUGAUCUUGGGAGUUUCUUCAAGAUCUAUCCAUGACCAGUUGCUAGGAGUGUAGUUACCAAUGGCAAGUACUCGUCCAUGUUCUUUCCAGCUGACGGUUGUAUAAUUAGUUGAAUAGUUAUUCAACUUCUAAUCAUGAGAUUGUGCUAAAAGUGGGAAUGGCGUUUUUGAAUGGGCAAUGCUAGGAAUAUCAAAUAUUAGAUAAAUUUUGUAGACAAUAUAAUGUGAUUGUUGAUUAACGUGUUUAUUGUUUAUGAUGACACAUCACAUGAUUUGCAAAUAUGGUCUAAAAAUUUGGUCUACGCAUUGCUCAUUUUGCAUUGAGGAGUUCUUACUGUUCUUCUGUUGUAUAAUUUAGACCCAUUGGGCCAACACUGAAAGGCCCAGUACCAUCACGACCUCACCCCGCUCAUACCCCCCCCCCCCUUCCCUCUCUCUCUCUGAUCUCACCCUCCUCUCCUUCCUCACGCGGGAAUUGUGGACUCUCACUGUAAUUGCAAUUUGUCGUUUAAAAGGUACGAAAAAUUUCUGUAUACAAUUGAAUUUUAAAAGUGAUUUGAUAUAUUUGUUUGGGUUUCUUUAGGGGUCUGUCACUGUCAGUAAACUGGUUUUGCUUGUGAUUUCUCGAUAAUUUGCUGAGAUUUGCACUGAGAUUUGGUUGUUAAUGAUAUUUUUUGUAUGGGAUUUGGUUAUGUGCACUGAUUCCUCAUGGCAUUAAUGAAUUUUGUUUCAAUUUUUUUGGGAAUUGGGAUAUUUUCGUAGUAGGUCGAUGUAUGGAGAGAAUUUGGCGAUUAGGGUUUAGAAAAAUGUUUGAUGACUGAAGCUCUUGGUGUCUGCUUCUAAUCAACACGGCUAUGGCCGAAAGGAUCUUGGGUAAUUUGAUUUAUGUUGAGAGGGGUUGAAAGUUGACACAUUUGGAUGUGUUGACUAUGGCCAUAAGGAGCUUACUGACCUGCACUCAAGCUCUGUACCUUGAGUCCUUCACCUGUGUGAGCUCCCUUGAUUUAUCACCGUUGGCAAACAUUAAACGUCUAGAUAUCCGUUAAUAUUUGUUGUGCUAAAGGAGUUAUAGUUUGUUUUUCCGUAUUGUACUGUGUGCGCGUUUGGAUGGGGGACUUUGAAAGUUUUAUAGAACUUAGGCUAAAUAGUUAUGAAGGCACUACAAAAAUCAUGUGGAUCGACUGUGAAAUUGACGUGAUGCUAUACAUUUGCAGUGCAUUUGUAGUGUUCUAGUGUAGGUGCUAUACAUUUGUAGAUUUUAGUGUUCUAGAGUAGCGUUGAAGCGUUUGAGUAGUUCAGUAGUCUCUUGUAGUGCUGUUUUAAGAAUAGAGUUCGAUGUUCUUUGGGACUUUGAAAGUCCCUCAUCUAAACAUUGCAUAAGGAAUCGAUAAAUGCAUUUGGUCAGAUCCAUCUUCAAAAAGAAAACUUAUAUAAGAAAGCUCUUCCUUUAAGAAACAAGACCUUAGACUACUCUGUACACAAAGUGGAGUGAUAAACUACUAUCCAUGGUAUCUAAUCUACAUGUCCUAUAUUCAAAAUAACAAUAAGGUAUGUCAAUAUGUCAUGGAGUUACCAUAACAUUGAUAGUUACUUGAAGGUAAUUAAAAGUGUGUAAAAGCUGCUUUUGAAAAACAAUGUCCAGAGAGAAUGGCUUGUUGGCUUAUAAGAUUGGUGGAUUGAGUUUUUAUGGGAAAAUGAUCGGGGUUCUGUUCACUCUUGGGGUGUUUUGCUUUUAUGUUAUUGGAAUGUUAUAGCGAAGGUGUAUGGAUUUAUAUUGAUUUGUGUUAUUUGUUCUUACUAUAGAAAUUGAUGUAUGUUGUUAUAUUAAAAUUCUACUGUGUUUUCUUUCUUUUUAAUUUGUUCUUACGUUUAUAGUUGUGUAUAGUUUGUUUAGUUGUGUGAAAAACAUAUAUUACUAAUUUACUAGCCACGUAAAACAAUUACGAGAAAAGAAAUCAUCUUUAGUGGGUAUUUAGUUUCUUUUUGAUAAUAACCAAAAGAAAAAACUGUAACAGUUGCCAAACAAGCUUUAUGUUAUUAGUGUUUUUCAAAUGAAAACUAAAAUCUAAUAUUCAAAAACAGUGAACUGAAAACAAAAUGGUUAUCAAACAAGGCCUAAAAGUUGAGUAUUUUUUUGUAAUUUUGUAGAGAAACCUUCAAACCUCUCGCUCUUAUCUUAGAUCACCAUGCCUCCAGUUGGCCCUCGAUCUGGUGAUGCAAUCUUCGCCAACGUGGAACGUGUGGUAAGUGAAACCCCAAGUCGCCUUAAUGUUUUCUUUAUCCUCAUAAUUUGGAAAUUGAAUUGGUUUCAGAAUGCGGAGUUGUUUACAUUGACGUACGGUGCGAUUGUGCGCCAGCUGCUUACGGAUCUUGAGGAAGUUGAAGAGGUUAACAAGCAGCUUGAUCAAAUGUAAUUUUUUUUGCUUUACUUUAAUUCUCUAUACUCAAGUUUGAUGUUGCAUUUCUUUCUUUUUUCUCUGAGAAUUAUGCCUUUCUUAGAAGUUUAGUUCUAGCUUUUACAUUAUAUGGAAGUGUGUGCUUGCAUGCAUCGACAAUUAUCUUGUUUUCUUCAUUUUUUUGUUGUUGUAGGAUUCUGUUUAUGGCUGUUAAUUUAUGUCAAUCUUUGUUUUGAGCUAUAAAUGUGUUGCAAGGAGGACAACUUUUAUUUCGUGACAUGCAAUGUUUGAUGACCAGUAACCGUAACUUUGAUAAAAAUAUAGUUAAUUUUCAGUUUAGCUGAUUACGUGACAAUUUAAUUGCAUCUCAGGGGCUAUAAUAUUGGCAUUCGAUUAAUUGAUGAGUUUCUAGCAAAGUCUAAUGUAUCUAGAUGUGUUGACUUCAAAGAGACAGCUGAAGUAAUUGCAAAGGUUUGUUGCCACCAUCCGUUUCCUUUCAAAUUUGAAUAUUCUGUGGAUCUUAAUUGUUCUGAAACCUGGUAAACUGUUUCUUCUGUGCUGAACUUUGGUACCUGUUGCAUGGAAGUUAUUGAAUCUUCUAUUACUUCCCAUGGUCUUUUCAACUGUUUGGUACAAAUAUCUUUCAGUAAAUGUUGGUGGAAAUUUAAUUCACUUGUCCAAUCUUUGCCUUUCUUGAGGAUGACAGCGGAGGUUUGUUAGUGAAAACCAAGAUUUGAAUCAUGGUUAAUGGCUAAUAUAUCUGAUUGAUACAUGUCAAAAUGCUAAAUGCUGAAUCCUGUCCACUGACUGUGCAACAAAGCAUAUUAGUAGGCCUAAACAUAUUGAAUUUAGAAUCAUUAAGUGGAAUUACGGUUAGUCUAUCAGUUUGUUUGGGUUUGAGGCUCUAUCUUGCGAUGGAAAAAUGGUAAUGGGCCAGGAUUGUAAUAUCUGUAAGACAGUUCCUCUAGUGUUUGGUGCAAUCUUUUCAUGCGUCGCUAGAUCUAAACUGUUCAUUUUUUGCUGUGUUUUUAUUUUUUCAAUUUCCACAAGCUUCCAGGUGAAGAUAUGAAGUAGUUUUUUGUUUGUCAUAAUGGCUCCAUCAAUAUUUUUUUCUACAGGUUGGUUUCAAAAUGUUCUUGGGGGUCACUGCAUCUGUUACAAAUUGGGAUGCUGAUGGAACAUGUUGCAGUAUUGUUCUGGAGGACAAUCCUCUGGUAGACUUUGUUGAGCUUCCAGAUACGUGCCAAGGUCUUUACUAUUGCAAUAUCUUAAGUGGAGUUGUAAGAGGCGCCUUAGAAAUGGUGAGUUGUACUUGUGAUCUCAUGUACUGCACUUGCCUUGACAUGUGCCCCCUCUAUGUGAUGUAUGGUUUUCCCUUUUUGCACUGGUCGCUAUAUAACAGAAUACAACUUCUUACUCUUAUACACGUCUCAUUGGUAUUGGCUUUUAUUUUGACUUACAUAGAGAACACCGUAACUUUCUACUUGUAGUUUCAAUUUUAUUCUUCCAUUUAAAAUAUUAGUUACGGAAGUUGUAGCUAAAAAAGCCAGCUCGCUGCUAGUAACAUCAUUAUCUAUCUAUUUAUAUAUAUUUUUUCAAACUUGGGGGAGUUUUAUUCCUUACAUAAUUCUAUUGUGCUUUGACUCAGCUUCAGUCGUAGUUUAGUUUUAUUGAUUCCUUUCUAAUAUGUAUUGGUAGAAAGUUUUCCAUUUUUUCUCCUACCGAAUGAUUUCGAUUUUCUAUUCCCCAUGCACUUUUACUUAUAGUAUCUAAGAAAACUUGUAUUACCUGCUUGAGGGGAUUCAGCUGAUUCGCAAGGCUAAAAGCACUUUCUGAUGGGAAUAUGGGUCUUGAAGGUUCUAUUAAAACCUAAAAAAAUGAAGGGUGGUAGAGAUUCUGUUUUGACGUCAUAUAUGAGUUUUCUCCGUCUCUUUAUUUUCUCUCUUGCCUCACAGUUACGUUGUUUCCAUGGUCAGGUAUCAAUGAAGACUGAAAUUAGUUGGAUCCGUGAUAUGCUUCGAGGUGAUGAUGCAUUCGAGUUGCAAGUUAAACUCCUGAAGCAAAUUCCAGAAGAGUACCCGUACAAAGAUGAUGAGUAAAAUGCUUGCACUAGCCUGAUACAUAAACAGUUUUAUUUCUGCUUCCACCUUUUCCUUGAAGUCAAAUGUUAGCAGCAGCUUGUUAUGUCUUUAGCACGCGUUCGCGGACACAAUGGAUAACGGUGUUUUUAUUUACUCGCCGUUUAGUUUUUGCCAUUCCGAUGAAUCAUUUUAACGGCUUAAAUGUGCAAUUUGCAUGUUCUGCGACUCUCAUCUUAUUUUUCAUGGAACGGUUUAGUACAAAUUUCAAGAAGAAAGUUAGUUAUUUAAUUGGAAUUUAUUAUUGUUCUAAAAUUAUUAAUGUUUUAUAUAUAUAAUUGUUGUGGGUUGUAAAGAGAAGCUAUCCUUUUUUUCUUCUCUUUUUAAUACAUUCGAUAUUAUCUGUACUAAAGCCAACUUCAAUAGUUGCACUAAAACCAACUUCAAUAGUUGGAUUAAAACUAAGAACAGUUUAAGUUUUAAACUCUCCCAAAAUUGCUCCAAUCAUUGGGCAUAAAAGCAAAUUUGGGUUAAAACCUAUUCUUGGGCCAUAUUCUGCCCAAAAUGCCAGUUAAUCCUAAAAUUCUGGCCACCGUUGGGGGUGCGCGCACAUGAAAAAGAAACACUCGGUGCACUGACGUGCCCUUUGUCCCACGCUCGACAAAGCAGUUAGUGGUUAGUCGUGAAUAAUCUUCCAAUGAGAGUUGAGUACUCAAGGAAAGAGCGAGAUUGACAUUACAAGUCACUGAAUCCUUUCAACACUUAUGGGUAAAGACCACGAAACCGGCUCCCCAGUGGAAGAAGCGACACUCGAAUGGGUAAAACGCCAAUGGAGUGCGCUUCCAUAAUUGUAUAUCGAUUUCAUCAAAUGCUAUAUUGGUGAAUACAUACAAUGUCUCUGUUAAACGAUGCAAAGCCAAUGAGAAUCACUGAAUGAUGGAGCGAGUGGGCAAAAUGUUUGUGUAUCAUCAAUGGGUGAAGCACAAUACUUCUGAUCCCGAUAAACUGAGCACCGUCAAUCUAAUUUUGUCAAGGAGCUCAGAAACAGUUUCCAUACAAACCCUACGGGCACCGGCAGUAUCUAUACCGUGCAAGGCAGAAAGCUUAGUGAACAUAUAACGCCAUGUUCGAAAUCAGAAGCGCAUCACGCUAAUAUCAGAAAAGACAGCCCAAAUAAAUAGAAGUCAAUAGAACUCUCUCUUCCAGAUUGUCAUCACAUUACUGGUUUUCCAUAAUUGUCAAUUGAUAAAUUCUAGCUAAUGUUCAAGGAUCAUUCUAAAGUGAGUCCUAUGUCAUUUUGUGACUUCAUUCAAUUGUACUCUCGCUAAGUAAAUCAGGAGACUUGGAAUCAUACAUUGGUAAGCCCACACAUAUUAAGUGAGAACUUCCUGUUGACCUUCUUCCUGUACUCUACCAAACUAACCAUCAUGAUACCAGUACCAAGACAAACGAAACUUAAAGACUGUUAUUCCAACAACUUUCAGCUGAUUUGAUAAUCUACCGAUCAAACCGUUCCACCCCCUUUUGACGAUCUUUACACAUGAUUCUUUUGGACCUGCAAACAGGAAAGAACCACAAAGAUGGAAUAUAAUUGGCUUUGAGUCAGAACAAGUGAAGAAUUUACAAAAGCUAUAGACACUCAUCACCCCAAGCAAGAAAAGUGCAACCAAGAACUGGGUGAAAGGAAAUAGAGGACGAUUCGUGUUUCUAAGGAGCGAGCUACUCAUCGAAAUGGGCAUACUUAUGGCUUCAACCGGAAGUAGGAGGGUUGGAAGAUUUUGUGUCGAAAGUCUCUUUCGCAAUGUUUGAGACUCCUAAAACAAAGUCCAGACAAUCCCAUCCAUGUAAGCUCGAAGAUCAAUGACCCAAAGGUCUCUGAAAGACUCGUCCCCUCCCAUGUCCCAAAGCGUACCAAUUUGGGAAACCGUGGUCAGUUCGAAGUGUAAGAGAUCAAGACAUGUCCGACCAAUACACUGAGAAUUUGAUAGGAUAAUUCAUUUGUGCGAGUCCAGGAGGAAAAUUAACAUGCUUUUGAUCAAACCUUCCUACUUCCAAGAGGAGAUGGAGAUUUACGAAAGAAAGCUCCUGUGGUAUUGACUCCACUCAGGACCCUCUUGUCUACAGCUCCUUAAGGAAGUAAACAAGUUUGAAGGCCAACGCAAGCUGACUGACCUAAUUGGAAACCACAACAGGCCUGACCCCUCAUUACAAGGAAUCCUCGUACACCCCAUCCAAGCAAGGAAAGCAAGAAAUUUGGCUUGCAACUCUACUACUGAAAUGACCCUGAUGAACACACUAACCUCUGAGUCCAACAUGGCAUACGCCACAAAAUGAUGCCUUCAAAGCUUAACGAAUCUGACUGGGUCUUCGUCCUAACAUCUGAAGAUUAGACUCAUUUGAGGAAUGUGGGAACAGUUUGAUUUCUCAACACAUUUUUCCAGACCGAAUCGCUUGCAUUCUGCGGAUGACUUUGUAAGAUAUUCGCAGAAGUUAUCGUUGUACGUCCAGUAUGCUGGACGCUUCAGUGACAUCUCCGUGUGUGCCCCAGUGACGACAAAGACUGCCCCGCUCAAAGCCUUCAACGGCAAUGCCUACGUGAUUGUUAUUCAAGUAAAAUGAUCAACCACAACUGGAGGACUUACUCUGCAAGGUGAUGUCACAUGCUUACAACUAUGCCUCAGCCGAGGCAAGGGACAUGCCAAAGGAGAAACCCCCCACAACCAAUCCCCUUAGCAAGCCUAGCAGGAGUUGGAAGCCAAACUCCAACUAAAUGAAAAAGACAAUCACAUUCCAAACGGCAACGGUGCAUGCCCUGCUUCCUUAAAAUACUUCGCCAAGUCAACAGACAUAUCAACUCUUAAGGGCAAACGAAAGAUCCCAUCUUCCUUCAGAUAUUAGUAAAAGGAGUAAAGGACACUAUUGCGAUAACCAAGGAUCUGCCUACCCAUCGAUAUCGCCUCCCCCAAGUCCACACAGUGGCAAUACGUGUCAGGAAGGCCCUACACUCGAGUAUGAGACUACAACCUUUGAAUGCCAAUGCCCCGGGCCAUUUCCCGAGGUGAUAGCACCACAUAAUACAUGCCAAUGCCUGGGGGGCAAGGGGGGGGGGGGCCCAAGAACAUGGCAUGUUUUUGCUGAUACCAUGAGCAUAACGGCCAUGACAGCGAAAAGUGUAUCACCAUUCGUGAUCAUAUUGAAACUUUGGUGCGUGAAGGAAAAAUUGAUCAAUUCAUCCUUCAUUCAAAUUGGCAAUAACUAUAACCAACAGCCAAGUGAAUGUGAUUUAUUCCAUAUCAGCCGGUGGGCACACCCAUAUCUGAUCUUCCAACAAAGCAGAAAAAACGCUAAACGGACGAGCUUUAAUGCCUGGUCACCAAGUGUUUGGAAGGACAUUUAGGGGGGGCAAGUAUCAAAAAGCCUAAAUGGGAUCCAAUAUGUUUCUACCCUGAGGAAGAAAGAGGUAUCAUCUACCCUUACAAUGACCCACUGAUCGUGGAAGCUCACAUAGCCAACUUUGAAGUACUACGAAUCCUGGUAAACACGGGGGCUUCAGUCAAUAUUCAUGUUUGCUGAAGCUUUCAGGGCACUUAAUAUAGCUGAACACUUGCUCGAUUCGCUCGAUUUUCCUCUCCUCUAUAGUUUCUCCGAUGAUGAUCGUGCAUUAGGGAGCAUUACUUUACCUUUUCACCAUUGGUAUAAUGCCCUUACAUAACUACCAUGUACCACUAACUUCUUGGUGGUUGAUUGCCCAACGGCAUACAAUGUCAUCUUUGGACGCACAGGCAUCAAUGAUCUCAAGGCCAUGGUAUCUACACAUAUGUUGUUGAUGAAAUUUCCAAUCCUCUAUGGCAAUGGUUACAUCAGAGAAGAUCAACUUAGUGCACGGUCAUGUUUCACACUUUAGUCAAACAACAUCACCUACCUAUGCCCAAGGAAACCCUUUCUAUACAUGACCAAGUCAUAAAUACUAGCCCGAACGAAGCCAACUUAGAUAUUCACGAUGACAACAGUCAACCUGACGAUCCUCAAGACGACUAUUUCACCCAACAAGCAAAACCCGCUGAAGAGUUAGAGAAGGUUUCUAUCUCAAAAGAUUAUUCAGAUCGCAUGGUGAAGAUUGGCACCACCUUGUCACCAUCUAUUUGGUUGUCAUUGAUUUCUUUUUUGCAAGAGAACACUGAGGUCUUCACCUGGUCAUACGAAGACAUACCAGACAUCUCUCCCAAUAUCAUAUGUCAUCACUUGAGUAUUGACCCCAAGACCAAGCCGGUGAGACAGAAGCGAAUAUCUUAUGACGCUGAACGAUACGAAGCAAUGAAGGCAGAAGUUGAAAAACUCAAAGGUAUAGGCUUCGUCCGCGAAGUCAAUUGCCCAACAUAGGUAGAAAAUGUGGUCCUUGUUAAGAAAAAUCAAACCAAAGAAAAGUCUCCUGCUCCAAAAGGUCUUGUGGAGAAUGUGUGUUGAUUACACCGACCUAGACAAAGGAUGUCCGAAGGAUAACUUUCCUCUUCCUCUCAUAGACAGACCUAUAGACUCUAUGGUAGGGUGUGAACUCCUCAGCUUCAUAGAUGUUUACUCAAGAUACAACCAAAUCCUCAUGAACCCUCCGGACCAAGAACACACAGCCUUCAUUAUUGACAUGGGACUAUAUUGCUAUAAAGUCAUGCCCUUCGGCCUAAAGAAUGCAGGGGCGACUUAUCAGAGACUGGUCAAUUCAAUGUUCGUCGAACAGAUUGGGAAGAGCAUGGAAGUUUACGUUGAUGAUAUGCUAGUCAAGAGGAAACAUGCUGACCAACACAUCACCAACCUAUCUGAAACUUUCACCAUUCUGAAGAGGUAUCGAAUGAGGUUGAACCCCAACAAAUGUGCCUUCGGCGUAGACUCUGGCAAAGUCUUAGGCUUCAUGAUAAGCCAACAAGGUAUUGAGGCUAAUCUCGAGAAGAUCAAAGCAAUCAUCGACAUGAAGGAACUGGUAACUUCAAAAGACAUUCAGAGCCUUACUGGCAAUGUGGCAGCCUUAACUAGGUUCAUCUCUAAGGCCACAGACAGAUGUGCUCCUUUCUUCAAAGCACUUAAGGGAAGUAAGAAGUACAUUGCAUGGACUGAUGAAUGUGUCGAGGCAUUCAAGAACCUCAAAGACUACAUGAGUAAAGCCCUUUUGCUUUCCAAACCUGAGGUUAGUGACACUCUCAUUAUCUAUCUGUCGGUAUCAGCUUCAGCAGUAUGUUCUGUUCUCAUUCGAAAAGAUGGUAAUGUCGAACGGCAUGUCUAUUACGCUAGCAAGGCCUUACAAGAUGCGGAGACACGAUACUCCAACAUUGAGAAAUUGGCUCUAGCAUUGGUCAUGUCUGCUUAAAAACUUCGCCCUUACUUCAAAGCACACUUCAUCAUCGUGUUUACUAAUCAUCCUCUUCGACAGAUACUCCAAAGUCUUGACACUUCUAGGCGAAUGAUCAAAUGGGCGAUAUCAUUGGGUUAGUUUGACAUCUCCUACCAACCAAAGCCAGCUGAGAAGGGCCAAGCAAUGGAAAACUUCAUCGCUGACUUCACAUAUCCUGUUGACAUUGUUUCUACGCCUAAAGAAAUGGUUUCAUUACCCUCAGAAGCUCAGAAAAUAGAACCAACAGCCCCAACAUGGAGUCUAUAUGUUGAUGGCUCGUCUAACCAACAGGGUUGUGGAGCAAGACUAGUCUUUACGACCCCUAACAAAGUGGCGAUGGAGUAUGCUCUUCGUUUCAAAUUCAAGGCGUCGAACAAUAAGGCCAAAUAUGAAGCUCUCAUAGCAGGCUUACAUUUGGCCAAACACCUUGGGUUAAACGAAUUGAUAUCUUCAGUGACUCCCAAUUGGUGGUUAAUUAGGUCACCAACAACUUUGACGCUAAGGAUAGCUCCAUGGCAGCAUAUUUAGCACAAACACAAUUGUUGCUCAAGCACUUCUACUACCAGAUCACCAAAUUCCUCGAGCGGUAAAUAGUUAUGCAGAUGCUUUGGCUCGCCUCGCCUCAGCGAUGGAAGACAAGAUUGGGAGAAAAAUUCAGGUUGAAUUAUUGGCAGCACCAAGCACCAUGGCUACGAAAGUGUGCAACUUACAACAUGAGGAUAGUUGGAUUACCCCAAUUUAUAGAUUCCUGGCUCAUGACACCCUUCUAAAUGACAAAGUCCAAGCUAAGCAGAUUUGAUACAACGCUACCUGUUACUUGAUCAUUAAUGACCAACUCUAUAAGCGGGGUUUUAACCUACCAUACCUAAGAUGCCCUACGCCCGCAGAGGUGGAAAUUGUUCGUCAGGAAAUAUAUGAAGGAGUCUGCGGAGAUCAUGCUGGAUCUCGAUCCUUAGCACACAAGGCUUUUCGCCAAAGAUAUUACGGGCCAACACUCUACCAAGAUGCUAUCAGAAUAUUUCGCUCAUGUGAUAAGUGUCAAUGCUACGCAACUAUUCCUCACUCCCCUCCCGAGCCGCCCACUCCUAUGAUCAGCCCUUGGCCCUUGGCCCAAUGGGGACUUUAUUUGAUCGGCCCAAUGCUUGCAGGGAAGGGUAAGGUCUGCUAUGCAAUCGUUGCAGUUGACUACUUCACAAAAUGGGCUGAAGUAGAAUCCUUGGCAACCAUUACUGAGGCAAAAAUAGAAGAUUUCGUAUGGAAGAACAUCCUUUGUAGAUUCGGCAUUCCCAAUGCUAUAGUCACUGACAACGGGUGACAGUUCGAUAACAAUAAGUUCAGGAUGUUCUGCUAUAAGUUAAACAUUAACUUAUAUUUUGCCUCCCUAGCUCAUCCCCAGUCUAAUGGACAAGUUGAAGCCAUCAACAAAAUAAUCAAGCGAACUUUGAAAACCAGCUUGGAUAAGGCUAAAGGUUGUUGGCCAGAAUUUGUACCCCAAAUUCUUUGGUUAUAUCGCAGUUUGUAUCAACAUCAACAGGAGAAACCCCAUUCUCACUUGCCUUUGGUACGGAGGCAGUUGUUCCAGUUGAGCUUGAGCAAGCAACGUUCUGAGUCCAGAACUACGUGCAAAGCAAAAAUGACAAACAACUUACCCUCAACUUAGAUCUAGUCGAGGAACACAUAAACCAGGCUCACUUGAGGAAUGUCGCCUACAAGCAGCGCAUCUCCAACUACUAUGACUCAAGGGUCAAACCUUGUUCUUUCAAAGUAGGGGACUGGGUAUUGAAGAAAAGAUUACUCUACGACAGAGUCUCGAGUAAAGGAACACUUAGUCCAAACUGGGAUAGAUUGUUUGAAGUUGUUGACAUUUGUCGCCCUGGGUCCUACAAGCUUAUAAGCUCCGAUGACAAAACCCUUGGCCAUCCAUGGAACGCUGAUCACUUGAAGUACUAUUUCAAGUAAACUCACAUUGUACAAGUGUUAAGCUUUAGCCGUUCGGUAUCCUAUGUAACGAAGACUAUUUGGCAUGAAUUCAAUAAAGAUGUGAUUUAGACAACUCGGUCCUAAUCCUCUUACAUUCUUUGCAAUGAAACACUCAGGUUCAAAGCUUCAACAUGAAUGCUUCCAACAUGAAACAAAGUCUAUGUCAACAAGACUAUGCAAAUAAACGAACAGCUUCACAGUAUAUUCGUUCAAUCAUACAUUCCAACACAUUCAUACAUAAGCCAACUGUGCUUCGAAAGGGUUCAACUUACUUUGUGUCAUUCGACACUUGCUACAAUGUGCCUCGACACCUUGCCCUUAUUCUCACCAACCAGGUGAUGAAAUGUAAAGAAUGAACUCAUCUUCAUGCCACCAACCAGGUGAUGAAAUGUACAACAUGUACUCUCUUCAUGCCACACCAGGUGAUGAAAUGUACAACCGUACUCUCAUUCAUGCCACCAACCAGGUGAUGAAAUGUACAACCCGUACUUUAAUAUCAUUAGGCAAUUUGCCACUCAUGCCACCAACCAGGUGAAGAAUGAACUUAUCUUCAUGCCACCAACUAGGUGAUGAAAUGUACAACCCAUACUCUCCUUCAUGCCACCAACCAGGUGAUGAAAUGUACAACCCGUACUCUAAUAUCAUUUGGUAACUUGCCAUUCAUGCCACCAACCAGGUGAAGAAGGAAUUCAUUCUCGUGCCACCAACCAGGUGAUGAAAUGUGAUGAAAGGUGAUGAAGGAACUCACCUUCGUACCACCAACCAAGUGAUGAAAGCAACUCACCAUUCAUUCCACCUACCAGAAGAUGAGUGGUACAACUUGUACAUGUGAACUCCUAGCAUUCACAAAUAAUAAAAAACCCUCAAGCUUAACAACUCAACUAGGGGAGUACUUAUGCCCAUUAAGAGUUAUAGUCACCAACAAAGUCUUAUUGCAAGCCAACAACAAUUUCAGUGUAUGGCAUGCGAAGAUCAAGCUAUUCAGCUCUCUUGCAUUUGUUUCAGACAUUUCCCCUCUGUAACAAUGCAAACACUACAACUCGUAGAAAGCUUCACACACUUUUGAUCAAGACAACAAAACCAAUUUAUGGUGCCAACAAGAGCUUCAUCAAUUGAGGGCAACCACAAUUCUCAAAAGCUUCACACAUUCUUGAUCAAGACAAUGUGAAGUAAAACCAAUUUAUGAUGUCAACAAGAGCUUCAUCAAUGGAGGGCAACCACAAUUCUCAAAAGCUUCACACACUCUUGAUGAAGAUAGUGUGAAGCAAAACCAAUUUAUGGUGCCAACAAGAGCUUCAUCAAAGGAGGGCAACCACAAUUCUCAAAAGCUUCACACACUCUUGAUCAAGACAGUGUGAAGCAAAACCAAUUUAUGGUGCCAACAAAAGCUUCAUCAAUGAAGGGCAACUACAACUCGUAGAAAGCUUCACACACUCUUGAUCAAGACUGUUCGAAGCAAAUUCAAUUUAUAUGGUUCAUCCAAACCUUUGACUACUACAAGGUGUGGCUUUCAUCACAAUCUCUUGCUUAACAGUGUGGAAGCAAAAUUUGUAUAUGUUGUCUCUCCCAUAUUUUCAAAUUUCUAGUUUCCCAAAAAAAACAAAAAGGGAAAUUCAACAAAGCUUCAUCAAUGGAGGACAACUACAAAUUAUCAAAAGCUUCACACUAUCUUGAUUAAGAUAGUGUGAAGCAAAAUCAAUUCAUGGUACCCAACAAAGCUUUACCACAAAAGCUUCACCAACAAAAGCUUCAUCAAUGGAGGACAACUACAAAUUCUCAAAAGCUUCACACUAUCUUGAUCAAGAUAGUGUGAAGCAAAAUCAAUUCAUGGUACCCAACAAAAGCUUCAACUCCAAAGCUUCACUUACAAAGCUUUAAAUCCAAAGCUUCACCUACAAAAGCUUCAACACAAAAGCUUCACCUACAAAGCUUCAACUCCAAAGCUUCACCUAUAAAGCUUCAACCCAAAAGCUUCACCCACAAAAGCUUCACCUACAAAGCUUCAACUCCAAAGCUUCAUCUACAAAGCUUCAACACAAAAGCUUCACCCACAAAAGCUUCACCAACAAAAGCUUCACCCGCAAAAGCUUCAUCACCCACAAAAGCUUCACCCACAAAAGCUUCACCCACUACAAAAGCUUCACCUACAAAAGCUUCACACUAUCAUGAUCAAGAUAGUGUGAAGCAAAAUCAAUUCAUGGUACCCAACAAAGCUUUAACCUUAAAACUUCACCUAUAAAGCUUCAACACCAAAGCUUCACCUACAAAGCUUAUUUUUUUUCUUUCGGAAAUUCGAAAAUUUGAAAGAAAAAAAAAAUUCAAAAUUCAAAAAAAAAAAUUUGCAUAGGCCUCAUCUUUUUUGGGCCUAACAACUUUCAUAAGGAGUUUUGGGCUACCAUUUAGAAAGGAAAUGCCUCAUUCGUCAACUCCCUCGACCAGAGACUUGGGGGACUCCUACCAUAUGCUACUGCACCUUGAUACUCGGAAGUCUCACGACCACUCAGUGACUUGGAUUUUUCAAGUCUCCAGCCAAGAAGUUUUCCUCACUCAGGAAAUUAAGGGAGAACUACUUCAACAUGCAAGCUUCAACAAAAGAAAAAACUCAAAGAACUUAGUGAAGAAGGCCUUGGUGUAUUUAACACAAUAUGUUGAAAUGAAGCAAAGCUUGUUUAUUGAUAUCUCCGCUAAGUUACAAAUAUGUACAUAUACAUGAAUCAAAAUAAACAAACAAGAGGGAGCCUUCACAAAGGUUGCUCAGAAAAAGUCUCAGCAGUCUGCAGAGCCCUAGAAAGAGGAGGCACCAGAGGAUGAUUAUUCGGAGCCUCAGUACUAGGCAGAACCCUAGAAGGAGGAGGCACCGAAGGUUAAUCAUUUGGAGCUUCAUUACGUGGUACAGGCCCAAAAGACGAAGGCAAUAAAUGCUUUUGGAACAAACCCACAAACCUCUGAUGAUCAAGUAAAAUCUGACCAUCAGAUUCCUGCAGUUAGUCGAGCUUCCUCUUCAUGUUUGUAGCAUAGUCAUGUGCGAGCCUGUGCAACUGUGUAUUCUCAUGCUUGAGCCCUUUGAUCUCCUGUUUGAGACUUAUCACUUCAGCCGCCAAUGAUUCAACUUGGCGGGUUCAAGCAAAUAGGCAUUGGGCCAUAUUAGACACAGAACCUGCUGAACAUUGAGAGCCAGAGAAUCCUUAACAGCUAACUCAUCAGACCGUUUGGAAAGUAGUCUGUUAUCUUUGGGAGUGAGAAGGUUCUUGGCCACCAUCGCAACUGUCAUAUCAUUCUUCAUCACAGAGUCCCCAAUGAUAAGAGGACCAGUAGGGGAUAAGAAGGAUGGGCGCCAUAUGUUGUCUUGAGAGGGCAUGGCUGCCUCUUCACCAAAGUUCAAGUCAAAACGAUGGUUGGAUGGGCCAUACAUUCUCAGAAAUGAUGAAGGAGAAAUAAGGUGCAAUAAAUCUCUGAAGUACAAAAAUAAGGGGAAAAUUCCUACAAGUAAUAACUCUCUGAACGUACUUCUUGCACACAAUUGGUGCCUCUAUAAAAGAAAGGGCAACAAGGCCGUUGGUUCCAAAAUCGAAGAUGCACCACUCUUCGGAUUUCGAGAAGCAGAUUUUCCUGAGUAAAAUAUGUCGACAAUCCCCACACGCAACAUCAGCUUCUUAGGUACCACAGAUAACUUUGCCAAAGAUCUCUGACAAAGUUUAGACACAUAAAUUUUGAAGGUACAGCUACCCUACUAUUACCCACAAGGGUAAAAGAACAACACCACUACUUGAUAACUGGAAAGUCCCUAUGUGUGUCAACCUCCGUGCUCCGUGGCAAGGCAGACUGGCAAAAAUGCCCAACCUUUACUCACAUUCGAGAAAACACUCCCAACAAGAUUGCUUGCUCAAAAAUCGAAAAGGCACAGCUCUCCGAAUUUCGAGAGUCAGACUCCCACCAGGAUUACUUGCUCAAAAAUCGAAGAGGCACCGCCUUCCAAAUCUCGAGAGCCAGACUCCCAAUAGGAUUACUUGCUAAAAAAUCGAAGAGGCACAUCUCUCUGAAUCUCGAGAGCCAGACUUCCAACAGGAUUACUUGCUCAAAAAUCGAAGAAGCACUGCUCUCCGAAUCUCAAGAGCUAAACUCCCAACAGGAUUGCUUUCUCAAAAAUCGAAGAGGCACCGUUCUCCGAAUCUCGAGAGCUAGAUCCCCGACAGGAUUACUUGUUCGAAAACCAAAGAGGCACCGCUCUUUGAACUUCGAGAGCUAGAUUUCCUUGGAUAAAUCUUGUCUGCAAUCUUCACACACAACAUCAGCUUUCCAGAUACCACAUACCACUUUUUCAAAGUGCUCUGACAAAGUUAUAACACAUGAAUCUUGCAACUUCCACUACAUUGCUAUGACCGAUAAGGGUAAAGGAAGAGCAUUACCACUUGCUGUUGGGACAAUUCCUAUAUAUGCCGACCUUCAUCCUCCACAACUAGGCAGACCUGCAAAUAAAAAAAAAUGCUCAACUUUUCUUCACAUCCGAGAGGGCACUCUUAGUAGAGUCUCUCGAAAUACUCAGCUUCUUUUCCCCCCGAUAAUACCUCUGCAAACAAGCCACACCAGAGUAAGAGUAUCUCAUAUCAUUAGGGUUCAAAACAAGAGAAUCCCAUAUCAUGCUUUUUCCCUGUCUUUUCCUUUGACCUUGUUUUUACCUGCAAGACAAGGAAAAAGAGAGCAAUCAGUCAGCACUUGGAAUCAAGCUUCCAGUCAGGAACUAACUACCUGGAACCCCUUGCCUGAUUACUUACCUGGCAUUGCUUUUGAGUACUCAUCUUUAACAUCUUAUGCUUCUAGAGAAGAUACCACACCUGCCUGAGGAACAGAUAGGGUACGUGAGAAUGAUAUAACACGUAAUAGAACAGAUAGGGUAUGUGGAGACAAGCGUAAUAGAACACGUGCCGAUACAUCCACUACUUUGUUAACAGCAAAAGUAUCCCAUAUCAUAGGGUCGAAUGUACUCUAGAUUUGAUGGACUUGUUUUGACCCUCAAAUUCUUAAGUCGGUCUUAUACUCUGGAGGAAACCAGAAAACCCUCCAGCCCAGUUCAAGAAUAAGCCUGUGGAAAGUUACUUCUUUAAAAGUAAAAGUAUCUUAUAUCAUCUAUUCUCCAUUUGCUUCUCAUUGUCCUUGUUGCUGUUUAUGACACAAAGAGAAGAAGAACAAUCAACCGAAAACCGAAGUCGAACCUCUGAUCCAGGUUGCUUGCUUGGAAGUCUGAUUGCUUACCUUGUCUGUUACCUCUUUCGGCAAAUCUCCUAGCUCGGCGACUUGGGGGACUCCUACUAUAGGGUUUGUAUCGCACUUGACCAAGCCUGAAACUACAAGUAAGCUUCAAGUGAAAUUGAUACAUUUCCUUGUACAUCUUCAUCGGUUAAAGAUACCACCCCUGGAUAGAGGAAAAGUACUUCCAGAGAAGAUGCCACAUCUACAUAUGAGACAGAUAAGGCAAGUGAAAAUGAUACCACACUUCGGUACUUAAAAGUUUCGUGAUUACUCAAUGGCUUGGAUCUUGCAAGUCCCCAACCGAGGAGCUUCCUUUACUCGGGAACUUAGAGGAGCACUGUUUGUACCAUACUUGACCAAUCCUGAAACUACUGAGCACCGGUCAACGUUAUACUGUAAAGGACCCAGAAGAGUUUCCCUCCAACCAGGAGGCUAAUCACAGUGCGACACAUGUCGACAUCAGAAGCCAAUCAUAGUGCGACACGUGUCAACAUCAGAAGUCAAUCACAACACGACACGUGUCAAUGUCAGAAUGAAACUAGAAACUCUCUUCUAUAAAUAGAGAUCAUUCUCUUACAAUAUUUCCUAAUGUCAUUUGUACUAAAUCAUUCACUAGUACUCACUAAAGGAGAGCUUGAACCUAUAUACUUGUGUAAACCCUUCACAAUUAAUAAGAACUCCUUUACUUCGUAAACGUAGCCAUUAUGGGUGAACCACGUACAUCUUGUGUUUGCUUCCCUAUCUCUAUCUAUUUACAUACUUAUCCACACUAGUGGCCGGAGCAAUCUAGCGAAUGACACAAACUUAACAAUUUCUGUUGUACCAAAGUCCUUGCUGAUUUUGUGCAUCAAUAGGUUCAAAUAUAAGAGAAAUUCUCUAUCAACAAUAUCUUUAUUCGCACUUCAAAUAUGAAUAUUACUGCCAGAGUUUUAUGAUGUAUCAAAAAAAUCAAAGCUCCUUAUCAAAUUUGAACCAAUGACUUACGCAUUACCAUGACGUUACUCUACCACUGAGUUAAAAGAGCUUGUUUGAUCCAAUUCCUAAUCACUUUGAUAUUGAUAAUGACUCCUUAACCAAUUUUUCCAUUUGAUUCAUUCUAGAAUUGCGAAGAUUCUUAGGUCUUUAAUUCGGAAUCAAAUAGUUCUUGUCUUACAACAACCAAAAAAAAAAAAAAAAAUCCUUUAUUUCAUUUUUAAGAAAAAAGGGUUCCACAUUAUAUUGAAGUACGGAUUUCAAUUCCUAUAAAAGGUACUUCAAAUUGUGAAUUCAUUGCCAAAGAUGGCUUAGAAUCAAUAGUUUAUUAUCUAAUGAAUUUUUUUGUUGAAUCCUGAUUGGUUUGAGCUUUGUCCUUAGUCUUGAAGUUAAAAGCCUUAGGAGUCAGGGAAUCACGCUCCAGGGCUGAAUUUUUCCCUUUGAUGGGCCUCUACUCUGUUAACCUUAGGCCUGUGGCUGGGGGGCCUUUUGCCACGGCCAUGACCCCUCUUGCGUCCUUUGUAUCCUCGAGAAGUGGUAGAAUGCGUUUCAGGUACAGCGUUCGAGCUAGUAAGUCUAGCUUGAUAUAUCUUCAUCAAAAGUUAAUUGUGCUUUUCAGCAAGUAGUAAGAGAGAUAUAUCAAAUUCAAAAACUUAAUGAAUUCUAUGCCCUAUUGGAUGACAAUAUUGCUGGCAUGAAAAGUUGAAUACGUCUUCUUUAGGAGAUCCUGUUUAGUCAAGCCCUCAUUACAAAACUUGAGAAGUGAUUGGAUUCGACAAAUUUCAGAAUUGUACUCAUUUACAAACUUGAAGUCUUGGAGGCAUAAGUGCUACUAGUCAUGUCUUGCUUCAAGUAAUAAGAUAUUAUUCUGGCGAUUAAAACGAUCUGCAAGAGCUAGCUAGAGAGUGCAUGGAUCCUCUUUUGUGUGGUAUUUGGUUUGCAGUACAUCAUGCAUAUGUCUUCAGAUGAAUUGUUAAUUUACGAAAUUGGGUUGCUGGCCAUAAAUUUGUGCAGGAAAAUAGAAAGUGGCCUAGCAGCAGGGCGGGUCGAGAAAUAGGGACCCAUCAAGGUAGCUGCAGGCUAUAGAGAGAAGCACAGAAACCUUUGGGCUUGAGCUCGGUGUGCGACAAGAGGCCCAACACAUGAGCCGCAAACAAAUGCCAAAACGCAGUCGUUUGGAGCAGGGGCUGCAAGCUUGGCUCGAAUUCGCCAAGUGGCGCAGUGCAGCUUAGCUUCUAGCCAUGCCAGGCUCGGCUUUCGGCACAGCUAAGCCGCGCUGUAUCAUUUUUACCAUCGGUUUUAGGGUUUUCAAAAUCCUAGUUCGUGAUUCUAUUUUCUUGUUUUUUUUUUUUUUUUUUUUUUUUAACUCACAUAUCAACAUAGCAAUGUAGCAUAAUAUAUGGUAAUUUGCAUGAUGGAAAUAUUAAUUGUUUAUGCAUGAACAUGCUAUAUAUAUAUUGAACAAUGUAUGCAAUAUACAAUUAUAAAAUAUAAGCAAAACGGGGGAUUCAUGCAUCAUGGUGAAUGUUUUCAUGCUAACAGUGGCAUAUAAAAUAUGUAUUAAUUGAAAGGCAAGGAUUUUCUCUUCCUUACUACUAUAAAUAAAAGCAAAAUGUUAACACACACAUUAGAAUUCACCAAUUCUUAUAAAAGAUACUAUAGAAACUCAUAAGGAGUUACAUAAUCACAUUUCUAACUAAAUUGGAACUGCAACACAGAAUUUUUUUUUUUUUAUACAAAGUAAUAGAAAUGCUGUAAAAUCAAAGUAAUAGAAAUGCUGUAAAAUCACUAGAUGUUCAAGUCUUGAACUUUUUAAGGACGAUCAUAAUAUCUCUCUCUACUUUUGUAUGUUGACAUAUCCAAACGCGUGUUCUCCCUUUCAGCCAUAGAUUUCUAAUCAACGCAUUACUAUUACCGAUCACUCCACUGCCGAAGCUGUUAUAAAUUCUAUUUCACACUUCCAUGGCGUAGAUCCCUCUAUAUUUAUCUUCGUAAUGUCCUGGAAUCCUAGAAUUUUCUGUUAUAUUUAAGUCAUUUCGAAGUAUUGAUUGGCAAGAAUGACAUAACUUGGAGCUCUGAGGAUGGUUACAGGUAAUCGAUCGGGUGCACUUAUUGAUCAUCAUAGUUCAUUUAGUUAUUGCACCAAGAGUGAUCACAAUAAGGGAAUGAUUUCCGCACACUCGUUUUCAUUUUUUAUGCAUUUCUGUUUAUGUCUCUUGAUUCUCAUUUGAUUUAUUCAAGUUAAAGAUAAAAAAAAAAUGUGAAGAUCACUUGCUAAAACGAAAACUACUUGCUGCGUGUUGUAUAAUUUUCUUUAAGUAUAUUGGAAGUUUUCAAGUUGGAAAUAAUCUUAAUUUCUUGUACACAAAUUUGUUUUCUGUUAGCAAAAUAUUUUGUUCAUCAACCUUUACAUCUGUUUGACUGUUUCUGCAUAAACAAAGAGAUCAGUGUAAGUAUUUGCCAUUUCUAGUCUUAGGGUUUUAUCAUCCUUCUUCCUAAAAUGGUAUGCAAGAGAAAUGGAAACGUGAUUACCAUAAUUAUGUGUAGUUAAAAAUUGAAGCGAAUAAAUUUGUUAGCUUCGCUGGUUAAGCUGGUGGAUGGAGAAGGUCAAUAGACCCUAUAACACUAUUUUAAACACACACACGUAUAAAUUUAGGUAUUCUUUCAAUGAUCAGUGUUGUAAAAACCCAGUCAAGUUUGAAACCACAAAAUCACUCAAUUAAAUUGUUGUCGUUUUAGUGUUUUCUCAAACUACUGUGUUCGUAAAUUUGUUGUUGCUAAAUAUAUAUGUAUGUAUGUAUGUAUAUCCAACAAUGGCAAUGUACAUGAGACUGGUGUUUAACAGCUUUUCAGGUAUUUGAUGAACUAGGUUCAACCAGUAUGAGAUUAAUAUUAAACUAGCCAACAUAAAAAGUACCUUCCUUUUUGUCAAAAUACAGCACAGUACUUUAUUCUCUAAACAAAACUCUCUUCAAAAUCAUUUUCAUUCUAAAAAUCAGCUCAUUAAAACUAUCAAUCAUUACUAUGUCAUUUGAUAUGAAAAUUGGUGCUUAUAGGCAUAAGUUAUCAGACCAAACAAUUUUCUAAUCUAGCUUGAUGAUUUUACAAGGAAAAUCCUUGAAAGAACUAAAUGCACUUUAACAUUUCAGAUCAUUAAUAUAUAGUUGAGCGACAUCGAGAGUUUGAGAGCGAUAUCGAGAGACAGUGAAUCCAAAACAAAUGGAAAUCUUAGGUACAAGAGUGUAUGCUCUUAAUAUAUAAUUGAGUCAUUUGCUUGUGUUUCAUAUUAAAUAUUAAAUUUGUGCAUGGCUUAAUUUCGGAAUGUCUAAUUUCGUGGGAUGCAUUCAGUUAAUUACAUCCCUCAUUUCUUAGGGUUCAAAUCUUGCAAAUUCUGAGGGUUUGAAAGCUUGUUUCAGAUUCGAAGGCAGUCCUAAUGGAUUUCAAACCUCCCUUCCAACAAAUCUGCAAGGCAAUACUCUUACAGAAUUCCACCCAUGAAGCAUUAUCAAGUCAUGAUGAUGACAAGGUUUCUCUUGUUGAGGAAUGUGAACUGCCGCUGAUAGAUCUUAGUCAUCUAAAUUUGGGUCACUUUGAGGGAGACAAGUGUAUGAAUGAGAUCGCUCAAGCAGCCAGCCAAUGGGGUUUCUUCCAAGUUGUGAAUCAUGGAGUUUCACAAGAAAUUAUAAAGAGUAUGCAAAAUGAGCAAAGGAGGCUAUUUCAUAAGCCUUUUGCAGAAAAGGUUGAAAAGAAUUUCUUGAAUUCAUCCAGCAAUUGUUACCGCUGGGGGAAUCCACAAGCUACUUGUUUGAGGCAGUUCUCAUGGUCAGAAGCAUUUCAUAUAUCUGUCACCGAAAUUCCAACGAUGAAUGAUCAUCACAACAGUCUCAGGUACGUAUAUGAUUAUAUAUUUGUUAAUUAACUAGGCUUAUGACUACAAAAAAAAAAAAGACAAUAUAUAGCAGUGGAGAUGCUAUACUUAAAUUUCUGAGAAUGAAAAUGACAUGGAUAAUUUAAGAACGAUACUUUAUAAAUUGUUUAGGUAUAAGAUAAGCAUACCUUGAUAAUGAUAUCUUGCUGAAAUUAAUUAGAAUGUAAUAUAUAUUUUUAAAAUUUGUGACUAAUAUGCAUUUAGAUACAAGAAGUUUCAUAUUGUGAUUAAUGUGUUGUGACUAAAUAGUCACUUUCUUGUGGUGCAAUAGUCUGAAUACUAAAUCAUCAUAAACUUUGAAGCUUUAACUGUAAAUCUUGAUUAAGGUUAUUUCGGAUGUGGGAUUUUUAUCAAGUCCCAAGAGAUUGUGGCCGAGCUAGUAAGGAAUAGAUCACAAAAUAUUAAUAGGAGAAAUUACAAUGCACCAUAUGAAUGUUGCAAAAGUAUACAAGAGUGAUCUACAAAUGACUACUUUUAAAGGAGUCAUUUACAAAUACCUCUUACAUACAUUUGUAAUAAUUAAUCAAGUAGCGCAUUUCUUAUCCCUCGUAUCUAACAUUUUGUAGUACAUAUUUUUCUCGUUUGCCCUAUAUCCCUUGAAAUAAGAAAUCCCUCCCUCAAAAAUAGUUUAAACUAUUUAAUAUAUAUAAUGUACGUAUAUAUAUAUAUAUAAAUUCUUUAUAAAAACAAGUAGACGUUGAUCAUAUAUGUUUAGAUGGGAAGUGAUUUUUUACACUCUUUAUAGUUUCUCACAAAUCUUUUUUUAUUUAUGACCAUCAGAUUAAGUCCAACAAAAUCAACAACCAAGAUUAAACAGAAGUGUGCAAGAGGCUAAAAAAUGUGUCAAACUCACUUCCCUAUUUAAAUUCAUCUGCUUUUGGUAGGUGUAUUUAUAUUCAUCUUUACAACGCUAACAAUUAACAUGGGAAGCUUUGGAUUAAACUACAGAGAAAUAGGACAGAUGAUCUUCUUGGAUCUCUUUAUUUAUUUAUUUUUUAACAAACGAUAUUAUUUAUAAAGAGAAAAGGGGUGAGCUUAGCCUCAGAAUAGGCUAACAGUAAUGUGAUUCAAAUUCGUCUUUGACGAGAAUCGUCUUGGUUCUUUUUAUUAACAAGUAACAACCAUCCCAAUUUUGAAUUAAAUUUUAAUGCGACAGUAUCGCCAUGUACUAUUUAUUGAUGUAUCAUAAUAUGCAUGAAUGACAUAAUUGAUGUACCACAAAUAUAGAGUAUAAAAUCAAUAAAUUACUUAUACGAUUUCAUAAUAUCUACAUUUGCAAGACAACUGACCAGUGACCAAGGAAAGGGAGAAAAAUUCAUGGACUAAUUCCUUCAGCCCUUUUUCUACCCCUACUAUAACAAAUUCCACUGAUGUGUUUGCCAUCUUUGUACUGGAGUGCUUGUACUAAUACGAAAGUGUUUGUGCUUGUUUUAGUUGUUAAGAGUUUACUUUUAUGUAGUUUUAAGCGAAUUAUCUCCAGAUCAAUAUAUUGAACAUUGAAGAAUGUACCCGUACAACAACUCUUAUAAUUGUGUUAUGGGAUGUAAUAUUCACACAUCUCAUUUUACUUCUCACACACCUUUUUAAUUUUCGACUGUCGGAUCGGAUGAAUUGAAGAAGAUCAACGGACAAAAAUUAUCAAAAGGUGUGUGAGAAGUAAAAUGAAAUGUGUGGAUAAUGCACCCCUUGUGUUAUUAUAUGAGGAUGUAUAGACAGAGUACCUUUAUUUUUAGAAUCCAUCUAUAGUAAUAUAGAUUGGCAUUCUAUGGUAAAGAGCACCUAAGUAUGUCGCAUGUCGUACUGAAAGUGAAGGACCUCUUGUCAUUUGACAAGCCAACACUCCGCACUUUUGCAGGCGUCAUGCAUAAUUUGGGGUUUUAGGCUUUGGGUAGUUUCGAUAUGGUUAGUGUUAUCUUCUUUGAAAAGGGAUCCUCUCCGGAUCUCUUCCAUCAAAUCUAAUAAUUUUGAUCUUUGAAAUUUAAUCUAACGGUUAAAAAUAUGGGUUCCUUUAAAAGUUAUAAUAAUUUUAGCUGUUGAAUCAAAUUUUAAGGACCCAGAUUGAUGGAUUUGGUGGAAUUGGUGGAAUUGAUACGGAGACGAUCCCCUUCCAUCUUCUUUUAACUUCUAUAUAUAUAUCUGAUUAUUUUUGUUCAUUGAUCUUUUUUAAUUCGUUUAAUUUGAUGAUUAAAAACUAAUAAGAGCGUGUGAAAAGUAAAAAUGAGUGUAUGAACAGCACCAUAAUCACCCUUUCAGUAGAGGUCAUUCACAAACUUGAAUAUUCGUAGUCUAUGUCCCUUGGUAUAUACGUUGUACAGAAGACACAUUGCCAUAACUGUAUAACCUCUCUAGUCCCUAGGGAUGUUAUACCACUUUUGAGUUAACUAAGAUGGAUUAUUAGUAGCGUUUCUUAAUUAUUAUUAGUAGGUCUUGUGUUCUCGUAAAUUGCAAGUUUGAUACUAAUUUAUUGUAGUUAUUUCAUUGUGUUACUCACUCAACCCUUAAUGUAAUUAUAUAAUUGUAUAUACAGAAAAUAUUAUGAAAAGUGACAGUUGUUUUGGUAAGCAAGUCCAAAUUCUGGCUACAUAUUUGUUGGCUUUGCCUAAUCCUAAUUUAAUUGGUUCUAACAAUAAGUGAGAAAAUAAAAAUUCCUACGUUUUCUUUAGUCGAAUGAUAGCAUCAGUGAGGAUCAAACUUGCACCAAGGUGCAUAUGCAUAAUUAUUUGUUGUCAUUGUAUAGUAAAGCGUCAUCUGCUAAAAAAAAACUCGUAUGUUGCUCAACCAUAAUUAUAUCACAUAAGCUAACAACACCAAGUGAAAAUGUUAUGCUCCUGCCCCAAGUAUUUUGUCACUACAAUAUGCUUCUAGUCAUAGACUAGUAAAUUAUCUAUGGUCAGUUUGAUUGUCAUUUUAGUUUUCAUCUGAAAACUUGUUUGAUAAUUGCUUUCAAUUUAAAAAACAAUUGAAAAUUUAAAAGAAAAACCAAGCCAAAAUUUGAAAACUUACAAAAGUAGCUUUCAAAUUUUAGUUUUCUGUUCAUUGGAAUAAAAACUAAAAACAAUAACCAAAAAUUUUUUGUUUUGAACAAAAUGGUUAUCAAAACCACCUUAGUUUGGUUUUUAUUUUCCCAAUUUUUGUCCGAUGUUUGGUUAAUCACCGUCUUACAGAUCAACAAUUGAAGCAUUCGUGAAGACGGUGUCUGGUUUGGCUAAACGCUUAGCUGAAAUACUGGCACAGCCUUUGGGUGUCAAACCGAAUUACUUUGAAGAGAAUUGUCCACCAAGAACUAGUUAUCUUCGACUGAAUAGAUAUGCUCCAUGUCCAUUUCCUUCGCAAGUGUUUGGCCUCAUCUCGCACACCGAUACCGAUUUCCUAACUAUAGUUCACCAGGACCAAGUAGGAGGCCUGGAAAUAUUUAAAGAUGGAAGAUGGUUGGCUGUUAAACCUAAUCCUGAAGCUCUUGUUGUCAACAUUGGGGACUUCUUUGAGGUAAUACUCGUAUAUUUUUUAAUUAAUUGUUCAAAUUUACUUCGUAUAACUAGUGAGGGAAAUGGGUUCCUAUUGACCAAAAAAAAAAAAACUAACCAAAAGUGAUUUUAGUUUUAAUCAAAAAGACAAAAUAAAGGUAGUACCAGGAGUGAUUUUUCAAAGUAAAAAUGUCAACGUUAAAAAUGAAUUGUACAAAGAGUGUUUCAUUAAGAUUCCAAAAAAAAAAAAAAGGGAAAAGGGUUUCAGUUUUACUAUGGUUUUUGUAAAGUUGAUUUUUUAAGGGUAUUAAAAACUACUCAAACGUUGCAUCGUGAGAUCACACACACAUAUAUAUAUAUAUAUAUAUAUAUAUAUAUAUAUAUAUAUAUAUAUAUAUAUAUAUAUAUAUAUGUGUGUGUGUGUGUGUUUUGCAGGUUGUCUUGCAUUCUAGUCCUUACUUUUAUUUAAAAUAAAAAAAAAGGAAUGUAUAAUUAAGUAUAACCGGAUUUUAGAUAUUGGGAUUAGGGUUUAACUCAAAUUAAGAUCUUUUUAAGUUAGAUAGGAACUUUGAUAUAUAUUAAAAUUCUAUUAACUACAUUGUAAAAGAUGAAGAAUUGGUACAAAGGAAGAUGAAGAUGAUAGAGAGAACCAGAAAGAUUGUAUUGAUUAAAAUGGAUAAAAUGUAUACAAAAGAACUUAAGGAAAUGAUAGCUAUACAAUCCCUUAUAUAGCCAUAUAACCUAAUUACAAUAAUACCUUCUAACUAUACUAACCAAUCUUAUCCUUAUGACAACCUACCAACACAUUUCAACUAACUAUAUUCUUCAUUACUAAGUAACCAUGUCAUCACUAAUGACUAUGGUUAAUACUCCCCCCUCAAACUGAACUUGGUGUAGCCAAGUGAUGGUUGAACGAGCUAGAUCGCUAAAACUGAUCUGGAACUGCAAGACCAAGAUGUAUGCAGGGGCUGUUGUCGUUCAUCAAUUCUGCCAUGUUGGCUAUUUCUCAUUUAUUGGUGGUGGUUCUGUGAUGGCACAGGAUGUUCCAAAGUACAUGAUGGUUGCGGGAGAAAGAGCUGUGCUUCGUGGUCUUGGUCUGAACAUACCCAACAAAUUUUUUACUGUGAACUGAGAAGCCAUAGUUGACACUGCCAAGAAACUAAAUCUACCAAGGAGAAUGACAAUCCCAAGAAACUAAACUACCAUGGAGAAUGACACUCCAAGAAACUAAAUCUACCAAUGAGAAUGACACUCCAAGAAACCUAAUCAGCCAAGGAGAAUGACACUCCAAAGCACAACACAAAUCUCAAACUUCUACUAAAAAAUACCAAAUAAGGAGACUGACACUCCAUGAACACAAAUCAUACUGCAACUGAGGAGAAUGAAACUCCAAAUCAUACUGCAACUUAGGAGAAUGAAACUCCAAGAUUCAUAGAAAGAAUGACACUUUCUUCUUUAAAUCGACAAGAAAACUAAUAUUUACAGAGAUCAACACAUCAAGACCACAGCUUCACUUCAAUUAAACCUCGAAAGUACAUCAAAGACCACAACUUCAAGAAAUAAGCGUUGCAGAUCACCAAACAAUUCCAAAUGACUGCUAUCAACACUUCGAUGAUCUAUUGCACAACCCAUAUACCAUAAUGCAUUUACCAAUUCAGAAGAACACAUAACCAAAAUCCCAAAUCAAAUUCGAGAAAAGAACCCAGAUGAAGAAAAUAUGGGCAAUUCGUCAAACACUUAGGCUGCACAUAGUCUAAACGUUCUGCCAUACCAGAAAACAGAGCACGGAUCAAAAUCACAGAAAAUCGAAUUCAGAAAACUGCUCUGAAAACACCACCAAGAUGAAUGAAGAAGUAGAUAAUCAACAGUGCAAAGAAAGAAAACUCUGCUCUCAGUCACACAGAGUCUCAUGCAUCGUCGUCUUCCGCCAAGACCGAGUGACUCGACGGCAAGGCUGUCGUCAACAAGGCGGCUACACGACUUUCCCAAGAACGAUCAACCCAACAAGAAUACGCAACCAGAACAAUCGCAGAAAACCAAUGAACAUGAAACCCAGAAAAUUCUCACCGAGACAUUAUCACAAACAGUUGAUAUGCUGGAAAGAAAACCAGUAAUCGAAAAACAAAAUCUGAGAACUUGAAUCUUGAAAACCCAGGAAACCCAGAAAAAUCCAACACUCUGAUUUCGGAGACAUCCAACAGCAAUUCACGAAGACUGCCACUCCGUCGUUCCAACUGUGCACCUCUGCAACAACCCUUGAAGACGAUAACAGCGGAAGAAUCAAGAUCGAAGAGGUAGUAAACCUGACAGAGUCCAAGAUCCCAUUUUCCAAUCAGCAACGCAGAAGAGAAAUUCCCAGAUGAAAAACAGAAAUAAUCACCACCGAAUCGAGAUUUGCAUAGCAGAAAGAAGAUGAAUCUCGGCACCAUAAUCUUUUGACGAUCCAGAUUUUGACCGACACUCUGUUCAUAGCCAAAAUCUCUCACAAAUCCCUAAUUUCUUUUGAAUUUCAUAUCCCCAAUUUCUGAAACUAUGUAGAUCUUCAUGAAAACCCAGGCGAAUUAGUCACCAUAUACUGACAACCAUAGCUUCUUUUUGGUAAAGAUUACGCAGAAUCAUGGGUGAACUUCGAUUUUGCUCCCCGCCAAAAUUUCAGCUCUAAAGAACGGUGUGCUGAAGGGAGAAGACCGACGUCUUCCAUGUGAAGGUCAAGUAGUGGUGCCGUGAUGGUCUCGCCAGCUUCAUCUUGAAACCCCGAGGAAAAACCCCAAAACUAAACACAACCCUCGGCGGAAAAAAAAAAUCCAGAUCCAAAGCUAAACACUUAACACUAAUCAAAUAAGCGAAAACAAAAGAAAAUAAUGAAGAAAGAUAGAAAGUAAUGAGAGAAGAGGAAUCGACCACCAAGAUCCAUGGCGUGAGCCUUGGUGGCUCUGAUACCAUAUUAACUACAUUGUAAAAGAUGAAGAAUUGGUACAAAGGAAGAGGAAGAUGAUAGAGAGAACCAGAAAGAUUGUAUUGAUUAAAAUGGAUAAAAUGUAUACAAAAGAACUUAAGGAAAUGAUAGCUAUACAAUCCCUUAUAUAGCCAUAUAACCUAAUUACAAUAAUACCCUUCUAACUAUACUAACCAAUCUUAUCCUUAUGACAACCUACCAACACAUUUCAACUAACUAUAUUCUUCAUUACUAAGUAACCAUGUCAUCACUAAUGACUAUGGUUAAUAAAUUUAACAUAUCAAGAUCUUUCUUUGCGCAAAAUAGAAUGUUUUUGGGUAGAAAUAUAUGAUGAAAUAUGUAUUAUCUUUUUGUAUAAUUUCUCAUACAUCUUGGUGAAAUAGUACCAUGGAAAUUAAGGUUCCACCCUGAAUCCAAUUAGAAGUUGGGUAAGUGCCCCAACUGCGCUUAAACCCUUGUAAGGUUUCUUAAUUCUCCGAAGUGAAACUCAACUUCAUGCCUUCAUGUAUAUACCUACUAUUUUAUGUUCCAAUUCCAGCUUUCAAAAUAGUCUCUUGGAAAACAUGUACCCUUAUAUAUAUUCGUGUGUGUGAUAUAACGCAGGCCUUGAGCAAUGGCGCAUACAAAAGCAUCAAACACCGAGUGGUUAGCACACAAGAAGUUGAGAGAUUAUCUGUGGCAUAUUUCUACUGCCCCUCCUACGAUGCUGUGGUCCAAAACUGCGGUAAUGAACCAUCAACUUAUAGGCAGUUCACUUUGAGGGAGUAUAAACUCCAAACUCAAAUUGAUGUUCAGGAAACUGGUGAGAAAGUAGGGCUCUCAAGAUUUCUCCUUUGAAAAACGUCUCAAAACUGAUGGCAAGCAAACUAUAUAUGUACCUGAUAUAUGUAAAAGAGGACAAUAAUCGUGAAAUAACAAAGUAUGGUAUGUGAACCAUUGUUUUCUUUCUUUUAUUCAUUAAGUGUCAGCUGUCUUCCUAUUGAAUUUGAAGGAUCGUGACCUUCUGGUCCUUCUCUAACAAAAUGAAGAGUUGUCAUGCAUUUAUACCAUCCCUUUCUAGUCUCUUUGUGAUGUUUUUGAGUAAAAAUGGUUGCAUUUUACCCUAUUUUGUGUUAGUGUGCAGUUACAUGUACUCUAGGAUCAAUUUGAGGGCAAAAGAAGUGAAAACAUGCCAUUUUUGGAGCCGAUCCUUAUUCAAACGUGGAGAGAAGUUUAGUGGCCUGUUUUGGAGCCCAAAUAAAGUUGUUACUUGUUUUGAAGUCCAAAUAAAGAAUCCAAGACGAAUCUGGAUUGUUAGAAGAUCAGGAACAGAAUGGGAAAGGAAUUAGGAUAUCUAGCCUGAUUUGGAGGUGCCAAAUAAGGCAAAAAUGUGCAAAAUAAAGGCUAAGUUGUUGGGAUCACUUUGGAAUAUCUUACAACCUUUUUUACCCCAUAAAAACUUGCAUCUUAGCCACUUUUACAUGCCCUUUUUAUUCUAGGCGAAUUACACAAUUCUGAUUACCUAUUUAUCCUCUCUUUUUCGUUCACUCUUAAAAUACCCUAGCUGUUCCAUACACUUUCACCAUUAUUGAAGACUCAUUGCAGAAGGCUGUUCUUUGAGAAUUUCUACAUCAGAAAUGCUUUAAGGGUUUCCUCUCCUAAAUUUAUUUUCACUUAUGUUGUGUAUUUUCGUUUUAAUUUUUGUGAACAUGAUGUGUAACUAAGUUCAUAACUAGGGAUUUCGAUGUAGCCUUGCAAAAUUGAUCCAUGUUUUUAAGUUGAAGUAUGCAGUUCAUCAAUCUGCUUCUUGUUUCAUUCACUGAAUCUAUUGUUAAAUUUGUUUGUUGAUUUUAAUGUUUGAUCACCAUUAGGGUUAACUACAAAUCAUUUAAUCAAGAUUAUAGUAAACAUCAUGCUUAAUCUUGGUGGACAUGUGAAUGAAUGAAGAGAAUGUUAUGCAAACAUCAUGUCAUGUAUUUUCUUUGGUUAUUUAAUGUUUUCUUGCAUGGUAAAGACUCUUAAUUAGGAACCGAAGUUGAACAUCCCGAUUAGGUUGCAAAUUAGGAGAAUUUGAUCAAAACCACACAUCAUAUGGCUGAUCAUAUAUAUGUAAAACGAACUCAGGAAACAGGUUGGUAGUUGAAUAUGAUAUAACUUUAUAAACAUGGAUUUGGUUUUGUAAUGGUGAAUUCGAAUCCUUGGCCUCAUUUCCAUUGCUUCUACAUCAAUAUAUUAUUCGCUACUACAUUCUUGCAUUUUAAUUUAAUUAAGUUUACAGCACAAAAACUACUCUCAAUUGGUUACUUUCAUACUUUAGUUAGGGUUCUAUCAAAGUUAGCAACUUAUAGAGGUCCAAUUAGUCCCUGUGGUUUGACACCCUUACUUGUGCCAUUAUACUAACCAUAUUUUUACACUAGGAAGGAACACAACAAGUUGCUGUCACUAGAUACUAUUAACUUGAAUGAAUUUUCCUAGCAAGAAUCUUUUAAUUCUCUUUAUUAUCAUCUCUAGAAAAAUUCAUUCAAGCUCGAUAUCAUUUGGGGGUGUGCUGUUGUAUCUAGAAUUUUGUUGUCGGUCACAUGUAGUUUUGAUUUGGAUAGUGGUUUUCUGACUUUUGAGAUUUACAACGGCUUUGUACCAUUUUUGGGUUUAAUUUUGAGUGGUUUUGUACCAGUUUGGGCUUUGAUGUGGAGAUUUGGGAAUUUGGAUUUUGAUCCCAUCAAUUUGAAAUGGCGUGAGUUCACUUAAAUUUGUGGAAGUUACAAGACCAUCGCCCCUCACUUAAAUUUGUGGAUGUUACAAGACCAUCGGCCUCGUCUUUGCCAAACUUGUCAUUUUAUUUUUCUGCCGAGAGGUUAACUUGGAUCCAGUGCCUUUGUCAAAGUAUUCCUUUGAUGCCUUCAUGUGUAACCACAUAUAUUGGUCCAGGAGCCCAUCAUGGUGAUGACAACGUGUAUAGCAUUGGGGCCUUGAAGCUUUCUCUUUCUCCCUUGUUAGUACUUCCUCCUCCAAGAUUGUGGACUUUCUGAAAGAUAUGUUUGUUACAGGACAUCUCUUAAGGUCACUUUGUUUUACUGCUUCUUUCUUUUCUUCUACUACUUUCCGGUAGUUUCCUGGCUGUUUCGGCAUAGAAUUUUGGUUGUGCGCUCAAAUUGCUUCCUGGUCUCCUUUUACAAGGACAAGGUUUGCAACCUAUUUGACACACUAAAAGAAACUUCUAACUGCGGUGCUUGACAAGAAUGGAGAAGGCAGUCUCUUGACUCUCUUCUCAAAACUUAUGCGCAUAGGGUAUUCACACCCUAUCUCUCUUUGUAGAAUCCAAGUUAUGGAAAUGAAUAGAGCAGAUGUUUCCUUUCUUGGCACGAAGGAGCAAAAGAGAGUAAUUUGGUUCAAUUUUGGCAGGGGACCAUCCCCUAGAAAUUCAUGGGGUUAGACAACAUCUGUCAUAUGAGUCAUGAGUAUUUGUUAGGAUACCAUACCAGAUGGCACAAUAUAAUGGUGACAAGUGUACAAUAGGUUGUUAUUAGUUAGUUGGUAAUAGGAGUUUGGCUAUUAAAUAGUGGUUUGUUAGAGAAAGUAAGAUAAUUAUGAAAUAAUAUGAGUAUUUGUUAGUAUUCUCUCUAUACAAUCAAGGAAGAAGUAGAGCAAGGUUCUAAUAUUGGUAUCAGCCAGUUCGAUCCUGUCAAUCCUUCCCUAUUGUAUGACGCGGCAAGCUUCACAGAAGAACAUGGAAUCAAUAGUUUCUAGUUUGGAGAGCAAAUUCAAUGAUUUCAAGACUUCGCAUGAUGAACUCAAAUCAACACAGGAUUUGCUUCUUCAUCAAAUGCAGUCGAUCAUGGCACAUUUUAAUAGCGGUUCUAUGGGUGACACUUUAGAAGCCACGAUCGGUGAUCCCCAAUUUCAAGAAAGAAUGUACCCAAAUUUCAACUGUCAAGAAAAUGGGUAGAAUUUCAAUUAUCAAUCGCGACCACCGUUCUUGAAGAUGGAUUUUCCUAGGUUCAAUGACAGGGAUGAUCCAUUGGGUUGGAUCUAUAAGGCUGAACAUUACUUCGAAUUCUUUAAUAUCGAAGAAUCGAAGAAAGUAAGGUUAGCUUCUUUCCACAUGGAAGUGGAAGCUCUCUAAUGAUUUCAAUAGGCAAAGUGUUUGGUUAAUUACCCAACAUGGGAUGAAUUUUCCAAGAUUUUGUGUCAGGAAUUUGGGCAUUCAGAGUUGGAGGAUUUAGCAGAGAAUUUGGUGAAGCUAAGACAUAAUGUUACACUACGAGAAUAUGUGAUGGAAUUCAGGAGAUUAGUUAAUCGAACAAGGGAAAUCAGCCCCUCACUUCUCAAGUUUUGCUUCAUUGGAGGCUUGAAACUUGAAUUGUGACAUGAUAUGAAGAUUUUGAAGCCCAAAGAUGUCAUGGAAGCAUUAGCUUUUGCACAGCAACUCGAUGCUAAAUUGGCAGACCUCAAGGUGAAAAUUUUCCCUAAAGCUUCUACAGUUCAAUCAACCUUUCGAUCUCCUUUGCAGAACACAAAUUCCAAUUCUUUACUUGAAAAUAGACCUAAAAUGCCUAAUGUGAGAAGACUUACUUUUGAAGAAGUAUAUUUUUAUAGGAAGACUGGGUUAUGCUUUCAUUGUAAGGAGAGAUACUAUAAGGGUCAUAGUUGUGAAAAGAAGCAUUUACUGUUGAUUGAUGUGCAAGAAGAUGAAAAUGGUGAUCAUGCAGUGUUAGAAACUGAAGAUUUGGAGAUUACAACUUAUGCUUUGUUUCGUACCCCUACACCAUCAUCUAUCAAAACUAUAAGAGUUAUUGGUUUUGUUAAACAAUGUCUUGUGACUAUCUUGGUUGAUUCAGGCAGUUCCCAUAACUUUGUGGAUUUUGGGUUGGUUAAAAGAGUGAAAGGAAACUUGGAUACAGGACAUACUUUUAAUGUCAAAAUAGAUGAUGGGGGCAAAAUGUUUACUUAAGGCACAUUGGCUUAAGUACCUCUUAAGAUUUAAGAUUAUGAGUGCGUAACAAAUUUAUAUGCAAUUUCAUUGGGAGGGUGUGGUGUAGUGAUCUGAGUGCAAUGACUCAGAACCUUAGGACCAAUCUUGUGAGAUUUCGAGAAGCUAUAUAUGAAGUUCCAAAAAGGCUCUUCAACAUACUGCAUUGCUAGUCCAGAGUCACCUUUGGAACAAUUAGAGGAUAUCUCAGCCUUGCAGAUGUCCAAACUUGUGCAGCAAGAAACAACUGUGGGGCUAUUUUAUGUCAUAUUUAGUCAGUGGAUGUGUUUAUUCAACAUAUGGAGCCUGGAACAGUGGAUCAACAAAGAGACCACAUUUCUGAAGAUCAACAACAGCAAUUAAAGCAGUUAUCGGAAGAUUAUGAAAUGGUUUUCAUCACUCCUACUACACUACCUCCUCAUAGAUCUCAAGAUCAUCAAAUUGCAUUGUUGGAAGGUAGCAAACCACUUAAUAGUAGACCAUAUAGGUAUGGUCCAGUACAUAAAUCAGAAAUUGAGAAAUGUGUGAAGGGAUUAUUGCAAUCUGGUUUCAUUAGAACCAGUAACAGUCCAUAUUCUUCUCCAGUGAUCUUAGUAAUGAAAAAAAAGUGGACUUGGUGCAUGUGCAUGGAUUACAGAGGCUUAAAUGACAUUACCAUCAAAGAUAAGUUCCUUGUUCCUCUCAUUGAUGAGCUACUCGAUGAAUUAUUUGGUGCACAAUUCUUUUCUAAACUGGAUCUGUAACACCCCGGUCCCAAAAUAUUUGUAUAUUUUGGAAAAAUAAUUAUGGUAGGCCCAACCUAAAAACAUAGCUAAUUUAUUUUCUUCUCUUGGAUCAAUUUCCAUCUAUAUACUAAUUCUUGAAUAUUUAAACACAUUUAUUUUAUGGCUACAUCUAACGUCUCGUUAGAUUGCCUACGUACCCUCAACAGGGAUCAAGCCUUUCGUAGUUCAAAACUUCAAAAUUUAAACCAAAUCCGAAAUAUUCCUUUAAUCCAGCAUAUACCAAAAUCGUAAUAAUAUUCAAACCACAGCAAUUUUGAUCUUGAAGACAUAAUUUGAUAACGAAAUUCGCAUAAAGAGCAAUAGUCGACUUCUUGGCCGUGCGUCGCCGCACCCGCCGAAGCGGUUGGCGGUCGGCCGCCUCGAUUCGUCGGAAACUCAACUAUUUCUAAAAAUUACCAAAAAUUACAGGAAUGAAGAUCUCAAUGUGUAGCGUAACUUUCAUACCUGUGACCAAGGGCAAUUUAACUCGGAAAUGCUCCAAUUUGCCUCGAAUCCGUCGGGAACCCUAGAAAUGGGUGUUCUUGAUUCGACUCCAUAGCAGCUCCGACGCCCCAAAACUUGUUUGGGCUUUAUUCCUGGGUUCUUAAGGAACAUAUGGGUGGUGGAAAUGGGAGAGUUUGCUUCAGAUUUGAUGGAUCGCAACAAUGAACUCGCGCACCCCCUGGGGUUUUGCACAUUUUCAGAGCCAAUACCUAUCUAAUUUGUGAUAGAAUCAGUCAAGUGGAGGUCAUGGAACCUUUUUAAGAUGGUUUGGUAGUAUAAUUCGUCGAAAAAACCGAUGAAAAGCCACCGGAGGAGGUGGAGGAAGCCGGGUCGGGUUGAUGACAUAGAACCGGGUCGAAGGAUCCGGUGUACUUCCUUCCCCUCAUUUCCCCUCCUUUCUCUCUUCUCUCAUUGGUUACUCUCUCUCUCUCCCCCUUUUCUGAUUGGCCCUUCUCUCCCUCAUUUCCCUCCUUUAUCUUCCAUCUCCACCGCCUAACCUUUCUUACUUUUAAUCUGGGCCACACACAUGGCCUUCCAGAUUUGGCUCCAAAAAUCUUGAGCAUUAUAGAAAUGAUAAAUUUACCAUUUUAUCCCCGACUUUAAACGUUAAUAACUUCUUCGUUCUAACUCCGUUUCACGAACGGUUUGCGCCUACACGUUCGUGAGGUCGAGCUCUAUUUAAAAAUAUAAAUUUUGACUUCGAAAGGUCUAUGUAUUUUAAAUAAUUAAGGUCCAAACCUUAAACCUCGUAACUAGUUUAAUUUAAAACUAAACUUACACAAAUUAUUAUAAAUUCUUGAAAAAUCAUAUAAAAGCUCAAUAAUACAAAUACGUUGAUUAAUAUAAUUUCCGGAAACAAAACUGUAAAACUUCUCGAUUAAAUUCUUCAUAAUCAUAAAUCGAUUUAUUUCGAUUUUCUCCACAUAUGCAUAAUUAUGAAUAUAUAAUUCAUAUAUUUAAAUUUUUAGGGUAUUACAGGAUCUGAGAGUUGGUUACCAUCAAAUGUAUGCAUCCUAGUGAUGUAGAAAAGAUAGCAUUUAGAACUCAUGAUGGCCAUGAUGAAUUUCUAGUUAUGCCAUUUGGUUUAACUAAUGCACCAGCUAUAUUUCAGUGUCUUAUAAAUGAUAUUUUCAGGCCACAUUUAAGAAAAUUCAUCUUGGUUUUCUUUGAUGACAUCUUGGUUUAUAGCUUUUCUUGGAGUUCACAUUUAUAACAUUUGAAAAUGGUAUUUGAUACAUUAAAAGUGCAUAGUUUAUUUGUGAAGAAAUCAAAGUGUGUUGAAAAUCUCAAGUCGAAUACCCAGGACAUAUUGUAUCGAAACAUGGAACACAUAAGCAACUCAAGCAUUUCAGACUUUAAAACAGGCAAUGUUGUCCCCUCAAGUGCUUUCUCUACCUAAUUUCAGCAAGCCUUAUAUCAUAGACAGUGAUGCUUCAGGUAUAAGAAUUUGUGUAGUUCUCCAACAAGAGGGCAAGCCUAUUACUUUCACUAGUAAGGCCUUAUUUCCUCGAAAUCAAGUUUUAUCAACUUAUGAGAGAGAUGCUAGCUAUUAUACAUGCAAUACAUAAGUGGCAAUCUUACUUGGUGGGAAACCAUUUCAUCAUACAAACAGAUCAUCAUGGCUUAAAAUAUUUCCUUCAAGGCCAAGCUCACACUCCAUUUAAGCAAAAAUGGGUCGCCAAAUUGUUGGAAUUUGACUAUGAAAUUCAAUUUAAGCAAUGGAAGGAUAACCAGGCUACUGAUGCCUUAUCUAGAUCUCAUCUCAACACUAUUUCACCAUCACUGUAAUCCUUAGAUGAAGUUCAAUUGGAUGUUAUCUUAUCCCUAUUCUAGUUGGAUGAAUGAUCUUCAGAGACACAUUGAGAAAGAUCUUUGGAUAAUUUCAAAAAGACAACCAGUGCUUGCUAUGGAGGGUGAUUCAGCACCUAUUGCCAAUCUAAAAUUUCAGUGUGAUAAUGGUUUUUUAAAAUACAAAGGAUGGAUUAUGAUUAGUCCUACCAAUGAAUAGAGAGAUAAAAUCUUCAAUGAACACCAUUCUAGCCCCACUGCAGGUCAUGAAGGAUUCUUGAAAACAUAUAAGAGAGUGUCAAGAUCUUUCUAUUGGGAAGGGAUGAAAAAAGAAAUUUAAGGAAGAGUUACAGCUUAUGCAACCUAUCAAAUGCACAAAUAUGAGAUCUUAUCUUCUCCAGGCUUGUUACAACCUUUACCAAUUCCAACCAAGGUUUGGGCUGAUAUUUCAAUAGAUUUCAUUGUGGGAUUACCUCAUUGUAAGGGAAAAUCUGUGAUUUGGGUGGUGGUAGACAACUUGUCCAAAUAUGCACACUUUGUGGCAUUAUCACACAUAUAUUAUGCUGUAUUAAUAGCUCAGUUAUUCAUUGAUCAUUUUUUAAGUUGCAUGGUAUGCCACAAUCAAUAGUGAGUGACAGAGAUCUAGUCUUCAUGAGUAAAUUUUGGAAAAAGUUUUUCAAUCUUCAGGGAUUAGCCUUAUGUUUUAGUUCAGGCUACCAUCCACAAACUGAUGGCCAAACUGAGGUCCUCAAUAGGUGUUUGGAAACCUAUCUUCGAUGCUUUUGUAGCUUGCAACCUAAGAAAUGGGCAAAUUGGCUCUCUUAGGCUGAAUAUAGCUAUAACACUAGCUAGCACAGUUCUACCAAAAUAACUCCAUACGAAAUGUUAUAUGGAUAGCUUCCUCCAAUCAUUACUGCAUAUGAAAGUGGUACAACAAAGGUUGACUCUUUGGACCAGGCUUUACAUGAAAGAAACAGAAUGUUAGCUCUUCUAAAAACUAAUUUGGAAGCAGCUCAGUGCAGGAUGCGAGUUCAAGCAGAUAAACAUAGGAUUGAGAGAGUGUUUGCAGAAGGAGAUUGGGUUUAUUUGAGAUUGAUACCAUAUCAACUCAAGUCUUUGGCUUCACAUUAUUUUCACAAACUGCAACCCAGGUUAUAUGGUCAUUUUUCAAAUUUUGUCUAAGGUUGGUGUAAUUGCUUAUAAGUUGAAAUUGCCUAAACACUCGAAAUUACACCAUGUGUUUCGUUUCUCAUGUCUGAAGAAACACUUGGGAUCACAAGUGCAAAACACAGUCCAUUUACCUGUGAUUACAGAAAAUGGAAUACUGCAAGAUGUACCUAUUGCAAUUUUGGAAAGAAUUAUGACUAAAAAGGGUAAUGUUGCUGCCACAAAAGUCUUAGUUCAAUGGCAGAACCAUACUCAAGAAGAUGCUACAUGGGAGUUGUGCCAUGAACUAAAGUUCAAAUUUCCAAAAAUUGUUAAUCAUUGAAGUUCAAAUUAUUGUUUUUCUUGUUUCUGAACUUUGUAAUUCUAGGUUGUUGUUGUUGUUCUGUGUUUUUCAAUUGUAAGUUUGGUUUUAAAGGGGGGUAUUGUUAGGAUACCAUAUCAGAUUGCAUAAUAUGAUGGUGACAAGUGUACAAAAGGUUGUUAUUAGUUAGUUGGUAAUAGGAGUUUGGCUAUUAAAUAGUGGUUUGUAAGAGAAAGUAAGACAUUUAUGAAAUAAUAUGAGUACUUGUUAGUAUUCUCUCUAUACAAUCAAGGAAGAAGUAGAGCAAGGUUCUAAUACUCUUUACUUGCAAGACAAGACAAUUUACCUUGCGGGCUAGCCGAUAUUGCAUAUUUUUGCAGAGGUUAUUUAGUCCAUAUUAGGACUUUCUUUGACUUGGAUGCCAAGGAAAAACUCUCCAAAUAUUUUUCCACGUAUUUUAUCGCCUCUUUCUUUUUACUGAAUUUUUUUUAUGCCAAACAACCAUACAAUAGAAAACCAAACGAUCUAAACAAGAACAGUAGAAAGACAAUCUCAUUGCCUCUCUCUCCAUCUUGGUCGAUCUUACGUUCAGGUAUGCUAUCUCUCUUAAUUACUGGAAAGUCUACUACUGUUGAUUUCAAAGGGUUUAAGGCUUAGGAUUUAGAAUUUAGGGUUUUGAAAAUGGUAAGCAAAUAUUCUUAGAAAUAUUUCCCCUUUUUGUUAGAAAGUUUGGAACUUUGGCAUCCAAAGUGAAGGUUCCAAUCCUGAUUUCCAAAAUUUGAUGAUUGAUUUCAACUGAAAGUAACUGUAAUCAUAAUUUUGAUGGAGUUGUAGUUAAGGAAGGUAGAAAAAACUGAAACAUACUAUUAACUGACACUUGUCACUCAGUACUACCGUCUGAUAAUAUUUCUCUUCGUUUAGAAGUGAGAGGUCUUAGGUUUGAAUCUCAUGGAUGGCGAAUUUGAUACCAAAUUAGGUUGUUCAUUGUGACUUAGCCGAACUAUCCCUUCCCCUCUAGUGUAAAAAUAUCAAACCAACUAAUUAUCGUUGUAUAAAAAAAAUAAACAAACGCACUAAUGCGCACUCAUACAAUCUAGUCCACCUUUUUGGUUAAUUUAUAUAUAUCAAACCAACUAAUUAUCGAAACCAACCGUUUAUAAGACCAAACCCUAACUUGCUUGCGAAUUAAGCAACUGCCAAAGAUUCUUAACUCUAUUAACUAAUCAAGGCAAAACAUAGUGUAAAAAGUACGAAACAACUCUUUAAGUAUUAUUCCACGCAAAGGGAUAAAAUAAAAAAAAUUAAAAAAAAAAAAAAAGAUAUAAAACUCUUUACUUAUUGAGUCCAAAUUUGACAUCUUCUUGUCGAUGCCUCAUGGCCAAAAUAGAAAUCUUCCGACAUCCGUAAAACUAAAGUGCUAAGAAACAAACAUUAAUGAAAAAUGGGAAAAUGCGGUGGCGGCUUUAACGGGAUCUUUCUAAUUUUAACCUCUAAAAUACAUCGACAACAUCGUUUUAAUUUUAACCGUUAAAAAAAGGAAAAAAAGUAAUGUUAGGUAGGUUAAAUUUUAAAUCAAAUUUGCAAACUAAAAUGUUGUGUCACCAAUAAGAAAUAAACAAGUUAAUCAACACUUAAGUAAUAAUCUAAUCAUCUACUUCCAUGUCAUUUAGUUUACAAAAUUUAGCUUACAAAUUUAGUGUAUGUAAACAGGACAAGGAUUGUCUGCCCUCCGCUUCCGGUGCCCUCCCCAUGCCCUCCUGUUUUGUGUGGUCACGGUUAAGCCAUGUCAGCAUUUUAUAUUGUUUUUUUUAUAGAUAUAAUAAGACAAAAAUGAAUAGUAAUAUAGAUAUUGACGUGGCUUAACCGUGACCACACAAACAGAAGGGCACGAGGAGGGCACCGAAAGUGGAGGGCAGACAAUCCUUGUACAUGUAAACAUUACCCAAAAGAAAAAAAGGUUGUUAUGCUGCUUUUGGUUGUGAAAAAGUGAAAACUUUUGUAAUCAUGUAGUACUAUGUCAUAGUGUUUUGGGAACCUAAAUAAAAAGCUUAUAAUAUUGUUUACUUUAACGAAAAAUCAUAUUUGUAUACUAAAAAGUCAAUCAUGGUACUACUCACUUUAUCUUUUAUUUUGUCCUUAUCGUUAAACUCAAAGUUUUCAAGUCAUUUUCAUUAGUUUUCGUUUUUUUUCUUUCUAGUUUUUGUUGUGGGAAUUUUCUUUUUCUUGACAAAGCUUUAGUUAGAGCAACUCCACCAUUAGAGCCCUUCCCCCAGGCAAUCCAUUAUUCAAUCCACCAUGUGAACAGUAACUACCAUAAUGAACAGUAACUGUCUUUUGCAUCUCCCCCCUUUCACUUGAAUAGCCCUGGCACUAGGCAAUAAAAUAUUUAUUAAUUUUUUUUUUACAAAAUAAUACUAAAUAAUUUUUUUUGUAAUUUCGUAUAAGAUAUUUUAAAUCGUUCUCGUUAUGCCACGUGUCAUUUACCCAAAACGACUAUUAUUGGUCAUAGAUUUCGAUAAUUUUUAUCCAAUGUCAUCGUGCCACGUGUCGUUAUCUUUUCAGAAUCUUUGAGGAUAGAUUUCGAUCAGAUUUUAAAUCAUUCUCGUUGCACCACGUGUCAUUAUUCGAAAAGAUAAUUAUUGGUGAUGGAUUUCGAUAAAUUUUUUAUCCAAUGCCGUCGUGCCACGUGUCGUUAUCUUUUCAGAAUCUUUUAGGAUAGAUUUCGAUUAGAUUUUUAACGAAUGGCGGCAUGUCACGUGGCACUAUCUACAACAUAAUCAUUUCAGAAUCCUCCAUAUAAUCCAUCAUCCAUCCUUUUAAAUCUUACACCAAUUUUCUCAAUAUCUCUAUCAUUAUUCAUAGUUUCUGUUUCCUUCUUCACCAAAUCAAAAUCUGUAUCAUUAUUCAUAGUUUCUACUUACAAUGUCUUCUUCUUCAAGCAUGAUGUGGAAAAUCGAUCAAGAAGAGGAAGAAUUGUUUAACCAAUCUGAAGGAAUGUUCAAUCUCCAUAUAGCUCAAAAUGAGAAGGAAGAGGGUGAGGAGCGGAGAAGGAGAGAUGACGAAGCAAGAAUGGCCAGAGACUCACAUUCUCGUCGAGUCAUUCAAGCUAUGGCUCAUAUAUGCAGGCCCACCUGUUCCAGAAACCUUGAUAGAAGCAGGCAACAACGAGGUGAUGAGUUGUUGGACAAUUAUUUUGUCCAUAAUAGUGCAUUUCCUAAUACGUACUUCAGACGUCAUUUUAGAAUGGAACGACAUUUGUUCAACAAAAUCAUGAUUGUUGUUUGCAACCAUGAUUCUUACUUUGUGCAAAAGAAGGAUGCUUGUGGUGCUAUAGGUCUCAUUCUCGAGUAAAAAAUUACUGCUACACUGCGGAUGCUUGCGUAUGGAGCAGCUGCAGACCAAGUGGAUGAGAUAGCGAGGGUGGGGAAAUCAACCAUUCUUGAGUCCUUGAUGAGGUUUUGCGAAGUAAUCGAAUCUAUCUACACCGCAGAGUACCUUCGGAAACUUACUCACAUGGACUUGGAAAGGCUUUUGAAGAAGGCUGAGAUGCGAGGUUUUCCUGGGAUGAUUGGGAGCAUUGAUUGUAUGCAUUGGACGUGAAAAAACUGUCCAAGUGCAUGGCAAGGCGCUUAUGGAGACAGAAAAUGAGCAAAAAGUAUCAUUUUGGAAGCAGUGACAUAUUUUGAUACAUGGAUUUGGCACGCCUUUUUCGGGGUUCUGGGAGCUCAAAAUGACCUUAACGUCCUUGCCCAAUCCCCAGUAUUCAAUGAUGUCCUGCAAGGAAAGGCACCAAAAGUCACGUAUGAGGUCAACGGACGUAUGUAUGACAGGUCAUACUACCUAGCUGACGGCAUUUACCCAAGGUGGUCAACAUUUGUCAAAACAGUGCUACGUCUGCGAAGUGUAAAGGAAAAACACUUUGCAAGAUGUCAAUAGGGGUGCAGGAAGGAUGUGGAUCAUUGUUUCAGUAUCCUCCAAGCUCGUUGGGCGAUCGUCAGGGGUGCUGCCAGAUUGUUUGAUGUAUAGUCACUUCGAUCCAUCAUGAUGACGUGCAUCAUUCUUCACAACAUGAUUGUGGAAGAUGAGUACGAUUAUGAAGCCGUUGAUGAAUAUGAGGCGGACAUGAUGAACAAUUCAAGAACACGUAUAUAUUGUGCUCAUGACGCCACCGAUGAGCCCGUGCAACAUGAGCCAUUAAAAAGGGAUGAACGUUACAAUGAAAGGGUCAUUCAACGAUAUACUGCAUUUCAAAGGCCAGACAUGCACAAUGCCCGGCAAAAUGACUUGAUAGAGCAUCAGUGGGUAUUGAAACAAGCUGAAGAUAAUUAAGUUCAUUUAGUGUGUUUUUUAUUAUUUGGUAUGUUUAUGUAAUUUUAUUUGGUGUGUUUUAUUUUAGUUCAUUUAGUGAGGUUUUUAUUAUUUGGUGUGUUUAUGUAAUUUUAUUUGGUGUGUUUUAUUUUAGUUCAUUUAGUGAGGUUUUUAUUAUUUUUUAUUUUAGUUCAUUUAGUGAGGUUUUUAUUAUUUGGUGUGUUUUAUUUUAGUUCAUUUUAGUGAGGUUUUUAUUAUUUGGUGUGUUUAUGUAAUUUUAUUUGGUGUGUUUAUGUCAUUUGAAUAAAGAUUCUCUUAUAGUAUAAAUAUAUUACCAUAUUAAAUAAAUUUAUUCUCACUUUAAAUAAAGUACUAAAUUCAAUAAAUUCAAAACAAUAUAAAAUACUCAAUUCAAUAAAUAAUAAAUUACAACCCAAGGUGAUUGGAAAACUAUGGGUUCUGAUUACAAAAAAAUACUUUAAUCAUCAUCACUUAACCAAUUUGUGGUGCUAGGAUGAUCUUCUCUUGUCGUGCUAGGACCAUCUUCUUUUGCUAUCGCUUCUCUUGCACGCCUCCUAUGCACCACAUCCUCUUUCUCCGACUUCCAAAAAUAUUUAGAAUUUGGAGACUUCCCUUCUAAAGGCAUGUUCAUAAUCUCACGAUCUCAUUGAGCCAUUCUUUCUUCUCUAACCAGUUCCCUUUCUUGCCUAAGUAGCUCUCUUUCUCUCUGAUUAGCUUGAAAUUCUCUCUCAACAACUGCAGCUUUUGCCUCCUCUUUAGCCUUAUCAGCCUUAAAUUUCGCCAUUUCCCGUGCCAAAGUCAAUUCACUAUGGCUAGUAAGUUCUUCCAUGUACUUUGCAUAAUCAUGCUUGGAAGCACUUCCUUUUCUUUUUGAAGCCUUCUUACCUUGAGGCCUAAUUGGAUAAUGGGUCGAACCCGACGCUUGUUCAGGGAUGGGUGUUUCGGGCACUUCUUCUGCAUCAUCUUCAUGCGAGCCAUUAUCAGGUGUAGAGUAUAGCGGGGUGUUGUUCAUGACAAUUUCUGGACCGACAGGCACAACUCUGAAUUUAGGACAAUCUUUGACAAUAUUCCAACAUUCCCACUGGUUGAAUGAUUUAUUUUUAGUUUUGGUUUUGGCACCAUACCAAGCUUGUGCUUGAAUUAGCUACACAAUGGGGGAGAAGAAAUAGUUAUAAUCAAAGUAGGUAACAAAUAAAUAAUACAAACAAAUAAUUAUAAUUAAAGUAGGUAACAAAUUAUUGGUAACAAAUAAAUAAUACAAACAAAUAAUUAUAAUUAAAGUAGGUAACAAAUGACACAUCCGACCGAGGUCAAGGCAUGUUGGCCGUCACAUGGGGGUGACGUAGCCAUGUGCACAGUGCGGAAGCGAUAAAGAUAGCAACUAUACGAAUAAUUAAAAACCAUAUUACUAGAGUGCAUUACUAAACAGAAAGUAAUAGGAGUUAGUUACAACAGUAAACACUCCUAAUCAGAGCAUAAAUUCUAGGUGCAGUCCAGUAGAACAAGUACUAGUUAUACAGUACCAGGAAUGUCCUACUAUUAUUUAGAUAAGUCUCUUACAGCUGACAAUCCCGAGCCACCAACAGCAAGCUUACUUAGAACCUGGAGGGGCGCAAAACAGAAAACGUGAGUGGGCAAAAACAAAUGUUUUACAAAAUCAUUUCAUUUAUCAAUAUACUAACCCCUCGCUGUAAAACAUGUAUAAUUUUCCCAGAAUCAAGAUAUAAGUAUGUGUGUAUAUAUAUAUAUAUAUAUAUAUAUAUAUAUAUAUAUGAAAUCAUAUCAAUUCAAUUCAUGCUUCACAUAAUUAUAUUCAUAUGUAUGCCAUGCCAAAAUAUAACAAAGUAAACAAUCCAGGUAAGAAUGAUUUCAUAGAAACAUGAUAUGUUAACCAAAACCCUUGAGGUAGUCUGUACGGCUGAAUUCAUAGCUCAAAAGUCAAUCAGGCCGGAGUCACUACAAUGACCUAUACGGCAAUAUACUGCACAUAAGUCGGAACCACUAAAGAGGGUCUGUACGACAAGAUUAGGUGAAAUAUAAUUAUGCUCAACUUUAUUCUCUCAUAAUAACCGGGCGAUGAAUCACUAGUCACCUACGAGUCAGAACCAUGAAUAAGGUCUGUACGAUAAGACUGUGCACUUAAGUUGGAUCCAAUAUGAGCAUAUAGUGCGGGAGGUGACGUAAAUAAACAGGCAUGUACCUCAUAUCUCUGGCUAAUUCACAAUCACCCUAGGUGCAGCUUUAUGAGCUCAACAUUACUUAAUCACAUAUCACAUAUCACAUCAUCGAUGAUUCACACAACCAAACAUAACUUACCUGAACUCACAUGUGCCUCCACAUCACCACAUAUAUAUAUAUAUGCAACCAUGCAAUGCAUAUUCUAAAUAUAGAAGCAUUUGGCAUAUUAUUUCAAAGCAUACUUUCCUUAAAAAUGCAUUUCUGGGAAAUAUAUCAAGUAUAUAAAUAUAUACUGAAAACAAAAGCCCACUCACUGGUAUGUCGAAGGGUCGUAGCACUCGAGUCGCCCGUGGAUACGCUCGUCCUCGGGAUAAGUCUUAUCUAUAUGCGAAUUAACUAAAAAACGUUAUUUUAAAGCACAUAAGCAAAAACUAGCUAAUAACUUCUCAUACAUUGCUCAAUUUUGGUAGUUAAAUAUACCAACAUGACCUACACAACCUCACGAACAUCGUGAUAUUUUUAGAUAAAUUUUUAGGUGGCUCACGCGCCCCCACGCGCCGGGGAGGGCACAACACGCUCAUCAUCUUCAACCUCCAAACGCUAGAAUAGUGUCGCCGACGCUGGAUUCUAGGUAGACCUGCAACUGCCUUUUUCUCACUCGUUUUUGCACUAUUUUUCACGCAAUUUAUACCAAAAUGAAGCUCUUAACUUGAAGAACACGAUCAUACUAAUUUAAAGCUCUAAAAGUCACGGGAUCUCACUGGAGAAUUCUAAGAAAAUCGGCCAAACUUCGUCCACACGAUCCCGACGUCCAAAACCUUCAAACGAAGCACUCCGAGCUUCCUUAGGACCUCACUAAGCUCGUAUGAGCUUGGAUUGUCCUAAAACAUAACCAUUUAAAAGUUUGUGAAUAGUGCUCAACUCGGAGCUUGAAUUUUUAACGUGAUAUCGAACGAGUUCUUACCUGAAAUGGGUACCUUUGAACUCAUACGGUCCUCACGAACACAAUGGUACUAAUUUUGUCCACGAUCUGUGAAGUUUCAAGGGUCUUGGGUGCUUGUCCAUACCAUUUUGAAGGAGAGAGAGUGAAACCAAGAGAGAGAGAAGAGAGAGCACGGGGGAGUGAGAGAGAGACAGGAUGUGUGGUCCAGAUUUUUGGGUUACCAAUCAAAACAACCCAUUUUCCUUACUUCCAAUUGGUUCCAAAAUAAUAGGAACUUAACACAUUGGUCCUCAACCAUACAUAGUCCCACAAUGCCACAAACGCUCAAGGGCAUUUUAGUCUUUUCACAUCAAUGAUAACAAAAUAAUGUACAUUUCCUGGACAGGUUGUGACAACAAAUUAUUGGUAACAAACAAAUAAUACAAACAAAUAAUUAUAAUUAAAGUUGGUAACAAAUAAAUAAUACAAACAAAUAAUUACAAUUUAAAUUUGGGUAUAGUACAAACAAAUAAAUAAUAUAUUGUUACCUGAUCCGUGUAAUUUUCCCCACUGCGAAUAUUACUACUAGCUUGUGCCAAUGCGUCUCUCCAAAUAGUAAACGAUUGGCUAAGUAAUUUCCAAUGACUAGACAUCAAUUCUUUGGUUCUACUCCCACCCAUUUUCUCAAGAUAAUUGAUAUGAAUAAGACUCCACAUUUCUUGAAACUGCAUCUCAUUACCCGUACGCGAACUAUGAGUAGCUUCAACCCAGCUAGUACACAAUGCAACAUCUUCAAGAGACGUCCAAUUCGUACCUGCAUCAGUAGUCAUUUUGUUGAAAAAAAUUGGAUUGAAACUUUAAGAGAAAGAUAGGAAUGUGAUUGAAAGUAGUUGAGAACAUAUGAAAUUGUGGUGUAAGGUAGAUGAUAAUAAAAAGGUAUUUAUAGAAAAGUAGAAACAUUUUUUUUUAAAAUUUCAGGUAUUUUUUCGGUUUUUUUUACAAUUUUUUUAUUCAAAUAACUAAUCUCUGCCGUUAGAUUUAAAAAAAAUUGAAUUCCAACACUUCAGAUUGUGCCACGUGUCACAACGGUAACUUUUCUUAAUUUUAAAACUAUUUUUUCGUUUUAUUUAUUUAUUUAUAAAGAAUAUUAAUUUCGAUCGUUGAUCUCAGAUCGAACGGUUGAUAUUUGUUGAUGCACAAAACUGGAAGGUCUUGGAACAACGUAAAUUCGACUGUGAAUCUGCAAGAAUGUAAAUAACACAAGAUGUAUCGUGAUUUACCCCAAUGUUUGGGCUACGUCCACACUGAUAUUGUAUUUCUCUAAGAGGAUUGUGAGGGAGAGAGAGAGCCUGUAUGUGAGAGUAAGGCUCUGGGGAUCUCAGGCCUAAGAAUUGGCCUCCCUUAAUGAGGAGAGUGAGGUGUCCUUUUAUAGAAUAAGGGCUCCUCACUUAUUACAUAUUUGCCCCUUCAUUUAUUACAUAAUUAUAUUUGAGUCCCCCGAGUAUUUAUACGAGAUCUAAAUACGAAGGCCCUAAGUAUGGUACAAACAAUAUUAAAUAAGAUUUUUAUUUUUUUUUACUGUUGAGAUCGAACGGUCCAAGUUAAAUAACCGUUGAGAUCGAACGGACCGUGGGAAGCCACGUGGCUCCCCAACAGUAACAUUGAAGUCUGAAAAGGCUUCUGUUUUUUCUAAAAAGUUGUGGGCCGACGUGCCCCCACGCUCAAGUGGGGUGCACGCGCCUGAUAGAAAAAAAAUUAAAAAAAGGCUCGCAACUCGGGCUGUCAACUCUUAAUAGGCCCGGAGCUCAGGCCUCCACCUCUGCUCGGGCUCCUUCACGCUAGAGUAAAUCCAUAGGGCCUCGGGCCCUUCUUCUCUCGCCUGUCCCCUAAGCAAUCCACAAGGGUGGAGUUGCUCUUAAGGAACUGAAACGGGCCGAAAUAGGAAUGGAAGAUCAAAAGCCCAAAUUCGGAAUGGAAAUACCAUACUGCCCUAACGAAACAGCCUAAAACAAGAACACGGUAGAUAGACUCUCUGAUUACCUCUCUCUCCAUCUCGGUCGAUUUUACCUUCAGGUACUCUCUCUCUCUCUCUCUCUCUCUAUUUGUGUUGAUUUCAAAUUUUGGGUUUGAAUCAUGUUGAAAAUGGUGAUCAAUAUUGUUAGAAAUAUUUGCCCUGUUUGUUUGAAAAUUUGGAACGUUGGCAUGGAGGUUCGAAUCCUGAAUCCCAAAAUUUGAUUGCUUUUUACCGAAAGUUAAUGUAAUCAGGGGCAAGUUGAAUUCUUGGUGUUGUCAUUAACCUUUAGAUUAUUGGGAAUUUAUAGAAGUUGGGAUUGAAUUGUUCUUCAAACUGGAUUUUAUAGAUUAGAAACUCAUACAGGGUUUAAGGUUAAAGUUGUUCCUGCAGAUGAAAGGUAGGUGUUCUUUUUCUUGUUAUAUAAAUAAAAAAAAUCCAUUUACUCUUUUCACAAAAAACCAGAGUCAGGAAAAUUGCAACAAGGUAGUAGAAUUUGAAAAUUUAGGUGUUCCUUUUCGUUUUGUAAAUAAGAAUGCCUUUAGGUGUUAUUGUUUACACUAAAAUCCAAGUUGGGAAAUCGCAAGAAGGUUGUGGAGUUUGAAAGUUUAGGUGUUCUUGAUAGUUUUUUUCGCGAACUACCAUCCUUGAGCUUGUACAAACUGAAAGAAACGGAGUAGUGGUAGUCAUAUCCAUGCAAAGUUUCAAUCUUGAUUAAGCUUAUGCUAUAAGGAUACCAUAUACUGUUCUUAAACACUGUAAAUGCAAUAACGGACUCCGGUAGAGAAAGUCUAGUUGAUAUUGACAAGGCUAUAUUUUGUGUGUUUUUAAGUUUUGGUAUGAAUUUUACCUGCUACAGCAUGAAAACUAAUAGUUAAGCUAGAUUCCAUGCUUCGUUAUGUGGUCUAAAGCUUCAAAAGAACGUUAUUAUUAGUGGAGGAGGAAGUGACAUGACUUUCACUGGGACAACUCCCUGCUGUUUGCCUACUUGCGUUCAUUUUGUCUCAUCAAUAGAUAAAAUAGGAGAUUUCCCUCAUGAGAGCUUUUGCACCUCUGUCCAAGAGUGACAGAUUAUCAUUCUAUAAUCCCAGGUUUUUUUUUUAACACGUCUUUGCCAAAGAGUCUGUCUUUCUUAAUUCAAGUAAGAUGCUAACUCACUCGCCUACUAUACCCUACUAUACAGUAGAUUAGUAGGGUAGGAGUUGAUCGUUAUGUUGUCGACCUUAUCUAUUCUUUGUUCCUUAUAGCAAGUGCUAAGUAAGCACGGCAAGAAGGCCAUAGAAGCCUUUGGGGCAGUUAAAUGGUUGUUCAUCCUUCCCUGCAGCCUCUUUUUCUAGUGGUAUAGAAAGUUAAACAUUUUUUCGGGAAUUCAUUUAGUGACUUUGCGGUUGCCUAUUACCCUCCAUGAUCAGAGUCCAUGAUCUUGGGGAAGAGAAGUAGGGCCUUCAGUCAACCAAGAGAGGUCCAGCCCUUCUCCAACCAGUUUCCUGAAGCGUUGGAAAACUGUGGAAGUCUUGGUUGAAAGUUGUUUAACUUCUUGAGCUAAAGGAUACUUCAAAAGUUUUUUCACUACUCUAUCCCGUCUUUUGGGAACUUGUGUAUGUAGUGGAAAAGGGUUUUUGGACUAUUGAGCAUUGUGUUCAUAAAAUCACUUUUCAAAGAUUACUCUCCUGCAUCAAUCUUAUGCCUCAUUAUAGUUUGUUUUGAAUGUAAAACUCAAUUUGCAAAUAUUACAUUGACUAUCUAACAUAGGCCGGGAAAGUGCAUUACAUAUCCAUUAGAUCCUUUAUUAUGUUUUUUCCUUGAAAUUAACUCACCUUGUAAAUAUUGAAGUAACGCAAAGUUUGGCUGUAAAUUACAUUUUCCUUGUAUUAGUCAUUCGAAAAUGUAUUUUCAGUGUGCUUGAUAUUGAUUUUGCACCCCCUUAAUCUUAAUUUAUCGUUUUGGAUCCCUAAUUGGCAAUUGGUUAUAAGGGAAAAAUUUUGGCUCCUGUUUUAAUGUUCCCCUACUGUUUGAUAUUUGAUGUACAUAUAUUUUCUCUGCCCUUUAAAUUGCUUGGCGGAAUCAUCUUUCCAUACAAAACCGAAAAAGAAGAGAGAGCACUACGCUAUGGUGUCUUCUUUAGCCUGAACUUGCUAAUUAGGGAUUUGCAGAUUGGCAGCAUAAAGCUGAACUUGCUGUAGUUUAUUCUUUUCUUUUUCUUUUCGGAUUUGCAGAUUGGAAGCAUAAAGCUGAACUUGCUGUAGAGUUUUGCUAUUAGAUGGCUGGGAUGUCAGGAUUUAGGAGCCUUGCACCUAAAACAAAGAAUGCUAUAGUUGCUGGGGGACUUUCAGCUUUUGUUUUUGGAGUAUAUUUCUACACCAUGAGAGCUGUUGGAGGUACCGAUGAAUUACAAGUGGCUAUAAACAAGUUUGAGGAGGAAAAAGGUCAGAAAGAGGCUGAAGCAAGCUUGUCAUCAAAGGUUUGAUCUUUUAAUAGUAACUCAGUUAUGCUGAUAAUGUAGUCGGGGAAAAAAGGUAACCCUUACUGUGAAAGACACCAGCCCUUUAUAUAUUUAUUUGCUUUUCGAAUAAAUAAAUUCAGUAUUUUUCAGUAUUUAGUGCGUUUUUCAAUAUUGGUCUUUCAAGAUUCUAUUAGUCACUACUCAUCUGGAUUCUCUUGGUAGAAACUAAAGUCUAUGCUUUAAGUCUCCAACCAAUUAGACGGUCCAUGUGAAAUCUUAGAGAAGCUUCACAAAAAAUGUUCAGCACGCGACUCACACCUUGCUAGUCUUUACAAGAAUUUAUCCUCUCUUCCUCUUAGCUCAUUGGAAAUCUGGAGGUUUUUGGUUGUUAUUUCAUAUAAGAUAGUCCUAAUAUGUUAUACAAGUUCUAGGAAAGAUACAACAACAACAAAGCAUUUUCCCAUUAAGUGGGGUCGGCUAUAUGAAUUCUAGAAUGUCAUUGCGCUCGGUUACGUAAUAAGCAUAUAUGUAGACAUUUGUUAGGGUCGAAUGUACAAAAGGAAUAUUCAUGUGGUGAUUGAACUAUGGGUUAUCUGGAUUAAUGUUUGCAUCAAUCCUGGCUUCGACCGUGAUGUAGAUCUCACGCCAAUUUCGUGGUCGGGUAUGGGUAUGACAUAAUUCUUCGUCCUAUUUCCGCUUUCGCUUCUUUUGCUUAUUUGAACUUUAGGGUUUCUACAAUUAGGAUGACAAGUAGUUUAGUUAAGGGGACACUUCGGAUGCGGUUCUUAAAUAUCAAUAUUUUUUUACUAAAACCUUGUUUGCUUUCAAUUUUUUAUCGAAGUCUCUGAAAUUAAUAUGAUAAUGUAUUUAUUUGUAGGUUACGAUAUUUUUUAAAUUAAAAAUUAAAAUUUAUAGUUGUUUGUAUUAAUGAGAUUUUAAAUAAAUAAAUAAAUUGUUUAUACCAUAUUUAUGGCUU